GCGGCGGAAUGGAUCAUCGAUCGACGAUCAUCAGGUCGUCGUUUCGGUUUAGCUCACCCUGGAGCAGUCGGUGGAGGUGCUGAUGGUGUAGGGGAUGCUGACGCCGCACUUGGAGGGGAUGCUGGCGGCCUUGCCGACGUUGAGGCCGCGGAUGCCACGGGCGGCGUUCUUGAGGCAGUUGCAGGCGGCGCGCCUGUCGGCGGUGGUGCGGGCGGCGGAGUUGAGGCUCCUGACGCCGCUGCAGCAGCCUGCGGAGGGUCCAGAGCCCUGGCCGCGGGCGUAGGACAGGCAGGGCCCGAUGGCGGAGCUCACCUGACCGCAUGUCACGGCGGCCUCCGAGGUCGUCGCCGCCAGCACCACCGCCGCCACGACGGCGAUCGCCACAGCAAGCUUCAUGCUGCGAGCCAUGUCGAUCUCGAUCGACCUCCUGUGAUAUAUGUGCUGAUGCUCGUAGGUGACUGAUAGCUUUUGGGAUGCAGUGAGUGAGCAAGUGCUAGCUGGUGAGGAGAUUGCAAUGGAAUGUUGCUCCUUAAAUAGGCAGGCUUUGUGAUCGAUGUGUGAGCUAGCUAGCGAUUGCUGAUGAGUGAUGUGCAUGCAUGGGAUGGGUGUGCAUGCUGUUUCAGUCGGUGGAUGCAUGCAUAUGCGUAUAUGUCCAUGGAUCGAUGGUAUCUCUCGCCAUGCAUCGAAGUUAACUGCUGGGGAGGAGGUGGUUGGGUGUUGAGGGAGGAGGGCAGAUGCUUGUUUAGUUGUUGUAAUACCCGAUUUUAAGGACAAAACCAGAUAUGCACCAUAUGUGAGUUUUAAAAGCCAAAUCUCACAUAUAGCUACAAAUAAGGGGUAAUAUCAAAAGACAAUGCAAAAAUUAUAUAACGUACAUAAUAUAAAAGAGAUAACCUUUGAUAGCAAACAACGGAUAGACAACUCCAAACUCCGGGUAUUAACUUCUCUCUACAGGAUCCAACUGACUGGUUGAUCACAAGCCUAAACUUCUCCUGAGGUUUGGGGGAAAUAGCAAGAGUGAGUCCAUGUCAAACUCCACAAGUAUAGCAACUAGAUUGUAUAGCUCCCACAAUCUCAUGAUCAAUGUGACAUAAAUAAUGUAAAGCAUUAAACAAUAAGCAAUGAGCAUAUUUAACACACAAGAUUCAUCACCCUUAAUGUAGAUGUCCCCAAGGCCGUUCCUGACCGUGAGCUCGGCUAGUAUACUAGUUUUAACACUCUGCAGAGGUUGCACAUCUUUACCCAUGAGUCAUGAUUUACCCUUUCGCCCGAGGUGAUCAGCCUCUUAACCCACUUCCAAGGAAGGUCGGCAGGGAUCACUAUGAAGCCUUUCAAAAGUUCGUCUAACAUGUUAGGGCCGCAAGGUUUCCUUUGCGAGCAGAUAUAGAUACCCCCCUUCCGAAUGGCACAAUGACGCGCAGCCUAUACACAUAGGGACAGGGGCUCGCACUAUACCCGUGUCGGUUCAGCCCCUCCGCCCUUUCGGGUAACCUCUAACAAGCUAGAAAAGGUCUUCAUACUGAGCUAAAGCCAGAGCCAUUAUAGCCCUCAUGGUUGCACUGUUAUCCCGGGUGAUCACGUACAGACAAAUCAUCAAGUUGUUAAAAAGUCAUUUUUACCAUUUAUUACUUAACAUUAAUCUAGUCACAGGAUCAUGGUCACAGAAAUAAAAUCCAAAUGCUAUACUUGCCUCAAUCCAAUUGCUCUUGCUUAUCCUUUUGGUCCUGCUGGUCUCACUUGUUGCCAAAGCUUUGAUCUUGAUCACCGAAACUGCUCUCCGUCUAAACUCGAUCAUCGAUCAUCAACACACAAACAAUCGGACACAACAUACACGUAGCAAACAAGGCUAUAAUUAGAACAGUACACCAAUCAUAUAAAAACAAUAUGAAAAAUUUGUAAAAUAAUUCUACGCAUCGCUACGAUCUCACAGACGUAAAGAUGACGAAAAUCGGAGUUAAAACGGAAAAGAUAUGGAUUUUCUAAGAUUUUAUAUAGAAAAGUAAUUAAUUAAUUAAGGUCACGAAAUUAAAAGGUUUCAAACUGAGUGAACAAUAUUACUAACAUGUAGUGCUCGUGAUUACGAACCUAACACAAUUUCAAUGGACAAAACGGAGUUAAAACAGAGAUGAUAUGGCCUAAAUAAACUAGCGUAUUUUCUUUGUAUUUUUAGGUUUGUUUUUCUAAAGGAAAACGGCAAUAAAACAUGUCUAUGUUAUAACGACGUCAUCAAGCUAGCCAGCAACGUUUAUUCGCAGAUAUAUGUUAGACAUGUACAUCCCUAGAUCGAUUGCUGCGCAGAUAGAAACAUCGCCGGGCGAAACAAAUCAGUGCAUGCACUUGUAGAGGCUUUGUGAAAUUUCUCACACAGGAAUCGACAUAUUAAAGAUGCAAAGUUACCUCUUAUGGUGAUUAUAAGAUUCAAUAGGACAUGCUUGCCGAACGAUGGGUCAGUGGCCACGUCGUCAAGAACAGGUUGAUCUACGGCAACACCUUCUACUCCCGUGCUCUGUUGCUUGCUACUCUUCACGUGGCCAGCGAUUUGGUCUUCUGCUUCUUUGGUCCACAAUCACGAUGGUUCACCGGAACAUGGCAAGCAGCUCUGGCAAGCAGGACGUGGCAAGAGCAGAGCGGCGGCCGUAACAUGGCAAGGGCAGCAUCUAUCUAGGCAUGGCCGACGGCGGCGGCUCUCAAGGGUUUUAAGGACGUAAACACUCUAGACGAAUAUGACGUGUAUAUAUACGUGCGGUCUAGAUCAAGUUUGAUUAGGGUUAGAACUUAUUAUUUUUGGAAUUAAUUAUUUUCAUGGAUAAAAUAAUUAUAGAAAAGUCCAGAAUUAUUAUUUAAACUAUGAAAAAUAUUCUAAAAGCUCUGAAAAUUCGGAGAAAAUUCUCAGAGACAUUAUGGAAUAUGAGGAACUCAAAUAACGUAUUUGGACCUCAUGAUAAGAUAAUUUGGAGCAUCUAAAAAUUAGAUUUAUGCUCAUAGAAAAGUGAGAAUAGAAGAUGGAAAAAUUCCCGAAAAGUUUGUAGAGAUUGCUUGAUGGACGAGGAACUAAAAGAAGUGCUUUGAGUGACAAAGAAAAGAUUUUAGGAAGCUCCUAAUAAAAAAUUGAGCUGAGAAACCAAAGAAUUUGGUUAUAGAUAAAGAUAAAGACGUACUGGUCAAGGAAGAUCUACUAAACGCAUUUUAAAACUUUGCUCACUCAACACAUAAAGGAGCAACAAGUCAACAUCACAUCAAAACAUAUGCACCAGCAUGUAUGCACAACAAUAUUGCUAAGGCUUAUGAUAAAUUUUAAUUUAAUGAAAAUUAUUAUUUUCCUUAUAUUUUCGUGAGCACAAAAUACAAAACUGAAUAAAUUUUCAUCUAUUUUGAAAAGAGCAAAAUUUAGGGUGUUACAGUUGUCAAAAUUUUUUAAAAUUCUCAAUCAAAUUAAAUCUUGGGACACAAUGUAUCAAAUAUUAAAUAUAGAUAAAAAUUAAUUAAUUAUAUAGUUUGUAUAUAAUUUGCGAGAUAAAUUUUGUAAACCUAGUUAAUCUAUAAUUAAACAAAAAUUAUUAAAUAUAAACGGUGCUAUAGUAACUAGAUCCAAAAAUUUUCACCAACUAAGGGCUUGUACAACGAUGGGCGCUUAUGAUCAGGUAUUGGCCGUUAAAUAGUUUUUUUGCCACACGGUGGAGUCCUGAGCGGGCGCUUAAAAAUAGAUUUGCCGCUCCGUAAAGCAUCGACGCCUAGACCGGCUCCUUGCUUGAUACUGGUGUUUGCAUGCGACGUAACGGUCACAACUUAAGCGCCUUCAAAUACGUGUUGUGUUGUAGAUUAAGGUUAUAAAGAGACGCUUAGUUACAAAAGUAUUUUCUCUUUCCAUCUAAGCGCCUUUUGCAUUGUACGUGCUCUAAACAAGGCCACAGAUACAGACAUACAGUGGUUAGCUGAGGCAGAGUGAAAUCAUUAGCAGCAAACAUAUAAUAAAUAGCAGCCGCCUAGCACGACUUAGCGCCACUUAAGUUUUGUUUAGUUACGCUCGAAAUCCAAAAACUUUUCAAGGUUCUCUUCACGUCGAAUUUAGAGACACAUACAUGUAGCACGACUUAGCGCCACUUAAGUUUUGUUUAGUUACACUCGAAAUCCAAAAACUUUUCAAAGUUCCCUUCACGUCGAAUUUAGAGACACAUACAUGAAGCAUUAAAUAUAAAUAAAAAAAUAACUAAUUACAUAAUUUAUCUGUAAUUUGAGAGACGAAGCUUUUGAGUCUAGUUAGUCUAUAGUUGAACAAUAAUUAUCAAAUAUAAAAAAAAAUGUUAUAGUACCAAAAAAAUCUUUUCACUCACGAACUAAAUAAAGGCCCUAAUCUCAUCAUCCGCCUCACUGUUUAAUCGAAUGUCCUUGAUGGCCACCCACAGGCUCACAAAACCUGAGACGGUGAGACCUUGCCUGGGGUAGUAUAUGGGGCCAAUGGCCAAUCCAUUUAUCAGUUUGCCCAAGGCAGGUGGUGGGCCACUCUGUUCAAUUUUGAGUCUAAUAUAUGCAAUAUCUUCUCUUUUGUGCAAUUUUUGUCCGUGGGUUCAAACAAUCCUGCCACCGUGUCACCGGUGGCUGAUCGUGUCAACCCUUCGCCGCAGUCCGCUCCACCACAGUACGGGGGGCCCAGUUGCAGUCUCUGCCACCGCAGUAGGGAUGUUGAACUUGUAAUAAUAAAUAUGUGAGUGCUUUUAAUAUAUAAUGCAUGUUGGUGAUAUAGAUGUGAUAAUUGGCGUGUGUGUAUAUAUAUUGUCUGUUACAAUGGAAUGUAAAAAAUAAAACAAAUACAAUUCUCGGGGUCUUCGCCGAGUGCGGUGCCAGGGUCACUUGGCAAAGCAAUUUAAAAAAACAAUUUUGCCGAGUGUCGGGGCCACGACCACUCGGCAAAGAAUUUUUCUUUAAAAAAGAAAAGACACUUUGCCGAGUGCUGAUGCUAGGGGCACUAGGCAAAGUAUUUUUAAAAAAAACAAAUAUGCGGAGUGCCGCGGCAAGGGACACUCAGCAAAUAUUUUUUUUUUAAAAAAAAAGAAAGAAAAUCUUUGUCGAGUGCCUGAGGCCAGAGGCACUUGGCAAAGCAAUUUUUUUUAAAAAAACUUUGCCGAGUGUUAAGGGGCCAGGGGCACACGGUAAAAUAUUUUUUAAAAAACAAAAACUUUGUCGAGUGUCGUGUCGGGCAACUCGGCAAAAUAACUGUUAACGGCAGAUGCUGUGACGGCCAAAAAUGUUGCCGAGUGCUGUCGUAAGCACUCAGUAAAAUGUUUUUAAUAUUUUGCUAAGUGCCUCGGUAAAAAGCACUCAGCAAAGUCUCUUUGUCGAAAAUUUUUUUGCCGAGCGAACUUUGCUGAGUGCUACGUUCGGCAAAGCCUUUGCCGAGUGCAAAGGGCUCUUUGUCGAAUGUAAAAACACUCGGCAAAGUCCUAAUUUCCAGUGGUGGGUGUGCUGGGACAAUUUAGAAAGCAAGCAACGAUUUCAUUUUGCGUUAGAUCACUCCCAUCCUCGAAGCCUCAGUUUUUUUUUUCAGAAAUAAGUUCCAGCUGUUGCUGCUGAGAACUAAAAGAAGCUUUUCACCCUUGAUUGAUCAAUGGAUUGGCUCUCUAGUUUAACAGGCUUCUUUGUUGUACUCUUUUUGCUCUUUUUUCCUUAGUUUUUUUGUUCCUUAGUUAAGACUCCACCCUACUGCCUCCUUAACUGUUGUGCUUUUUUUUUUGUAAAAGACCUUUUUUAUUAUAAUUUUUGCAUUGUUGUAGGGGUGCAAACCCCUCCAAUCUCCUUCAAAAAAUUCAAAAGUAAUAUAACCUUGCAGAACAAAGGACGGUAAUCCCACCAUUUUGCUAUGUGAGCCCACUCCUCUUAUUUUUUUUACUUUUAUUUUGAUUAUGCCCACUCCUGUUAAGCAGUCAUUUGUUCCAUUCCCUAAAUAUAUUUCUAUUUUUUAGAAUAUUCAAUAAGGCGUAUAUACAUUAUAUUUUAAGAAAUAAACUAUAUUCAAGACAAAUCUACCCACAUCAAUAUUACUUGUAUACAUUCAAAUAAACAUGUAGACAUAAUAAUUCGAUAGUUAAGGUUUCAAAAUGAUUGAAAUAAGACAACUUGAAAUAUGUCACAAUAAAAAAUUAUUUGUGGUCAAAGUUUCUGAAAUUAUUGACUUACGACAACGUACAUCCAAGUGUCACUUAAUUGCUUUGUGAGCAGAGGGAGUAUAUAUUUUGGCAAGUUACCCUCCAUCUAAAAAUAUAAAACACAUGUUUUUAGGACAGUAAGAUUUGACCAAUAGGUGCUUGUGCCAUUAAUAUGCAUAAAUCAUAGAUACUUUUGAAUACAAAUAUCUAGUUACAUCAAUUUGCUACCACAAAAUUGCAAGUAUCUUGGUUAAAGCCAUGUCUAACAAAACAUGAGCUUUGGGAUGGAUAUAUAUCAUAUUGGUGUGUACGUUUAGUAGUCUCUCUUCGUUUCAAUUUAUUAGAUGUUGUUUUGGCUUUUGUAGAUACAAAAAUUUUUUUAUGUAUCUAGAUAACGUUUAUUAUGAUAUAGAUAUAUCGUAUAUCUAUAUGCCUAAAAAACUGAAUAUCUAGAAAAACUAAAAUAACCUAUAAUUUAGGAUAGAGGGUGGUAAUAAUUAUACAUCUUCUGCUACCAAGUCCCUUAAUUACAGCACACAGCUCUGUUUUCUAGUUGCCUUGAUCGUUCAUCAGAUGAAUUAUGUAUUUGAAGAGUAGCGCGUGUGUGGUCAUGUCAUGAAAACGUGCUAGCUAGGUACUUGUUUUAAUUUCCACCGUGUGAGUAUUUUUUUUUUUCAAGUGGCGAGAGUUCAUUAAUUAAAUAAAACCAUUCAAUUUUUCAAAUCACAAUACGUUGUCUGCAAAUCCUCUGAGUCAGCCAGUUUUUCGUUACGUGCUAUACUCCGUCCAUUCUAAAUUAUGUUUUUUAAACUUUUUGGUAUAUUCAUUUUGCUACAUACUAAAAAAAUUAAAAAUAACUUAUAAUUUAGAACAGAAGAGGUAUAUAUAUAGUUGCAUAUAUGCUGACAAGUGUUUGGGGGAGAAUAGAGCAGUAACUCUCUUGACCAAGCGUUUGGGAGUCAUGGAACACAGUCACAUGGCGCAUGCAUGCGUAACAACAAUUUGGAAACAAAGAGAUGUGUGUGUGCAUGUAGCAGUGAUCGAACUAGUACAAACCACAGGAGCGAGAGGAAACGUACACGGACAUAAAUAAUAAACACCGCACAUAGUGCAUGCACUCAAAAAUAAACCCAACAAGCAAAAGUACAUCUCUCACACACACAUGUACACACGCACGUACGUACAUACGCUAAGAUGCAAGCGUAUCACAGCGUACACGACGACACGUACGUACAUACGGAGAGAUUUUUAUUCAGUAGUACGACGUAGCAGUAGUAGACAACUCAUCAUCUCAUCAUAUCAGGCGUAGAUAGAUACUCAUCCAUGGUCGAUGCUCCGGCGCCGAUCGACGACGACGGCGGCGGCGGCGGAAUGGAUCAUCGAUCGAUCGAUCAUCGUUUAGGUUUAGUUCACCCUGCAUGAUCAUGCAUGCAUGGAAGACGAAGCACAAGUUAAUUAAACGACUUGAUAUUCAAGUUGAAUCAGACCAUGCAUGCAUGCAAAGUUGCAAACAACUUGUAGUGAUUGGAUCAUUCAUUCAGAUCAUCACUUAAUUACCUGGAGCAGUCGGUGGAGGUGCUGAUGGUGUAGGGGACGCUGACGCCGCACUUGGAGGGGAUGCUGGCGGCGUUGCCGGCGUUGAGGCCGCUGAUGCCACGGGCGGCGUUCUUGAGGCAGUUGCAGGCGGCGCGCCUGUCGGCGGUGGUGCGGGCGGCGGAGUUGAGGCUCCUGACGCCGCUGCAGCAGCCUGCUGAGGGUGCGGAGCCCUGGCCCCGGGCGUAGGACAGGCAGGGCGCGAUGGCCGAGCUCACCUGCCCGCAGGAGAUGGCCGCCUCCGAGGUCGUCGCCGCCAGCACCACCACCGCCGCCGCCGCCACCACGGCGAUCGCCACAGCAAGCCGAGCCAUGUCGUCGAUGUUCUGGGGGUGUCUGAGACUUGCUUGUACUAGCUUUGGAAUGCAAGUGAGCAAGUGCUAGCCGCUGGUGAGGAGAGUGAGAUGGAGUGUGGCUCCUUAAAUAGGCAGGCUUGCGAUCGAUCUGAUCUGAUCUGAUCUGGGAGCUAGCUACAGUAGCUUGUCAUUGCUGAUGACAGAUGUGCAUGCAUGCACGGUGUUGUUGCAUUGCAUGCAGUUUCAGGCAGGCAGUCGGUGGAAUGGUGGAUGCAUGCAUAUGAAUGAAUGAAUAUGGUGGAUGUUCCAACAUCAUCUUCCAUGGACGACGGACGGUAUCGUCGCCAUCCGUCGAAGUUAAUUGCUGGGCAGGAGGUGGUUGGGUGUUGGGAGCAGGAGGCAGAUAGAUACAGAUAAUACUACAGCGGUUAGUUGAUGAGGGCAUGAUCGAGGCAGAGUGAAUUCAUUUGCAGCAGCAAUAGCAACUUAUUAGGGUAUGUUAUACUAUAACACUUUCGUUUAUAUUUAGCAAUAAAUAUUUAAUUAUAGACUAACUAGACUCAACAAGUACUUUAUCUCGCGAUUUACAUAUACAAACUAUGUAGUUAAUUAUUUUUUUUUUAUUUAUAUAUAUUUUAUGUUUCGUACAUGCGUCUAAAGAUUCGAUGCGACGAGAAAUCUUAUAAACAUUUAGAAUUUUAAAGACAUUUAAACACGCCCUUAAAUAGCAGCCGCCUAACACGACUUAGCAGGCAGGGUGAUGGCGGCAGUCGGCAGGGACGGACGUACGUGGCUCUCAUCUGAUGAAGUUGGAGGCGUAUUCACUCUCUCUCACUAGUGUGUCAGUGUGAGGUAGUUUGCAGUUGGAUCCGAGUGCUUAUCGCACAAUAAACACAUACUCUUCCUGCAUUAAGACGUCAAUUAUAUAUGGAUCGUCCAUCAUCCAUGAAUCCUUCCAGUAGUCUUCGUUAAUUCCUCCCGGCCGCAACCAGAAACAGAGAUAUCAGUACAGUGCAGGAGGUUACAUGCACAUUCACAAAUUGAAGUUGCAGCAGUGGUAGCGAUUAAGUUGUCCAGCAAGUAUGGGAGCCCACAUGUCGCUGUCUCGAUCGGAAGCUCCGCCACGUAUUACAUACAUGCAUCCCGUCCCCAACCUAGCUAGCUACCUCUGUGUGCACAGGCAGGUACCACCGACGGUUUCCCAAAACUCGUAUGUGUCCGACCCUCAAAAACAAAUCUCUCAAUUUUUGUUCAAAACAAACAAAUUUUUUAAAAUUUUAGAUUCAAAAACAAACAACUUUUGACCAUCAAAGAAAAAUACUGCUCUACCUCGAUCCGUUCUAAAAAGAACUUGGGAUUAUAUUCUAGAAAGUAACAGAUAGAUUCGUGUGUAAUGUUUAGAGAUGAGAUCUUGUAUGAAAAGAUUGGUUGAUGCGUAUAGAGCAACUUCAACCAAACUUCUAAAUGAACCUCUACCUUUUUAUAUAAAGGGGCUAAAACUCAAAUAUACUCUCGAACUGAUCCGGUCCCGACGGAGAGGGGCUCCCAUUUAUCUUUCCUCUAGAUGUAUGAGGCGGUGUUUCGGAUGGUUUGAUUCAAUUCCUUGCAGCUGCUAUUCAAUGAUGUCUUAACUGUAGCUCAUUUCUACCACUCUUAAUUAUGUAUGGCGAAGAGAAGAUUAAGCUCCCAAUCGAGUCCGAGUUGGAGGAUUUCGGUGCAACGUGGAGUUUGAUCUCUGCAUGGAUCGUUAAAUCUAAGUUGAGGUCAAUGUUUGUACUACAGAUCAUAGUACAUUGUGGUUGCCCUUGUUUGUAUGAGAUCUAGUGUAGAAUUUGUUGAUACUUUGUUGGCUACACAUUUGAUGGUUCCUUUCACUUAGGUUUCUUGGAUGAGCAGUUGUAAAUGCCAUUGCUUUCAUUAGUCGGCAGUUUGGUGCGCAUAGUGGUGUUCACAUGUGCUAGUUGCUCAUUUAGUGAUUGUGGUUCCUGAAUUAUGUGUUUGAGGUGGAGCACAUUUAGAAAGUAUGGAUUUGCAUUCUUCACUAUCUGUUCAAUUAAUGCCUUAGGUGAUUUCUUCGCAUACCCUUUCGUGAUCGAGCAAUUUGUUCAGACUUGGGUUAGAAGGCAGUAGCACAUGCUCAAACAUUUGCUGCGGUUAGAAUUUGUCGAAGACUCAGUUUUGUUCAUCUGAAUUUGGUGAGACACGAUUUGAACUUCCUAGUUAUUCUUGCUUGCUCGAUUUGGUAGCUUCUUGUGAAGCAUUUGUUGGUGGUUUUGUUAGUGUAUUUGACUUGGUGUUGGAGAUUUGAGCAUUUUGCAUCAUGAUCAUUGGUGUGUUGGCCAUGUUGUUCACUCAUUGGAGUUCACUCAUGAAUUUGUUUCUAGCUUCAUCAUUUGCCAAGUCAAAACAAGCUACCUUCAUGUUGGAGGCGAUAAAUUUGUCUUUUUUAUUAUUUAUUUGAAGAUGAAGGAUUUGAAGAUUGGACUUCCCUCAUCAAGAAUCUUGAUGUGUUCGCUCUAUGGUUCAAUCGUCGCCGAGGUAUAGAAUUGUGAUGUUGCAGCUUCUAAUAACACCAUUUGAGGCUUUACAUUAUGCAGAAUGUUACCUAUAUGUUUGGUUAGGUGUCUAGGAACUUAUUUGUGGUAAUCUGUAACUUUGAGAGCCUUUUAAUGAAAUGCCCAAACCAGCCCAAAAAGGGCAUCCCAAGCUCCCUGCUUCUGUAGGUGCAUGCUCUUCCCCUUUGGGGGGUUGAGAGAGGCCGGGAGAGGAGAUUUGAGGGUGGGGCUUUGUUUUACCAAAUCUGAACAUUAUAGAGUGAAAUCGGAGGGGAUUUAGAGCCUUCGCCAACCUUGUUAGUUCACGCCUCUUGUAUCAUCAUCUUCACAGUGGAUUGCUUGCUCGUCGCCGCCUGUGGUUUUUCCUACAAGGGGUUUCCACAUAAAUCUUAGUCUCUACCUAUGAUUCAGUAUUUAUCUUGCCAUACUUGUUGAUUCAUACCAAUCUUGCUUACAUGGUGUCAUUUCUCCAAGUUCAUGGUGUAUGAUUGAUAUUGACGUAUGAUGCAUACAUGCAUUCUCUUAUAUGUUAAUGAUGGGGAUUGAUGUGUUAGUGAGUUCAUAUUUACAAGUAUACUCAUUAUUGUGAAGUUUGCAUAGCACCAUGUCUGAAGAAUUGAUAAUAUGGGUCUGAUUUGUAUUUUGCACAUAAGGUGUUAGUUGAAAUAUUCAUGAGUAACUAGCUUGCUAAUUUUGAUGUUUCCUCUGCCUCUAUGCGCUUACAAUAAGUUUAUGGAAUAAAUUUUAGAUCCUUAAUUGAUAUUUAUCUUUGGAAAUAGAGGAAGUAAUAAAUGGUCCCAAUUUGCUAGCCACUUGUACAUAGUUAUACUAUAUACAAGCUUAUGCAAGUCAAAAUGUAAAAAACAAGAAGAACCAAGAAACAUGAACAAAAUACAUACAUACACUUAUGCAAGAUGUAGUAUAUAACUUUUAGGACAAUAUUUAUUUUGGCUCUGUUUCACUAGUGGAGUAGCUUUUUCCACUGGUAAAGGUAAAAUUGUUUUAGUUGUUUGGUCAAACAACUUCUCUAAUUCUUAAAAACAAAAAAUGACUAUAAUACUCUUUUUUGGCUGGCCGAGCUUUAAAAUUUUUAUCUUCUUUUUUAUGAAUUCUUCUUUAUGUGGCUACCAUCUGUUUGUCCUCCCCGCUUAUCCCCUGGUGCCCCGACCCGUCCACCUCCGCCUCAGCUUUGCCACCUUCAUCCUCAUCCAGCCACCAGAUGUUUCUCCUCAGUGUUCAUCCCAUGGUCCCCGCCCAUCUCCCACCGGUGACUCCACCCCUCACACCUCAAUGACUCCACCCCGCCCUUGUUACAUCAUUCUUCGUUGUAGUUUUGUUUGCAUCCAAUGACUUCAGUCACCCCCACAACUCUAGCCCCAUGCCACACUUGUCAUGGUGCAUGUAUUUGCCGCACCAUGCCUAUACAAAGAUGGCCCUCAUGACUUGAUGGAAGAGCUAAGCAAAGCCAUUUUUAGCUUCCCUAGAUGUGAGCGCGUGUAAGAUCGUGUUUUCCGAAGUUAGCACGAGGAGUAGCAACAGCUUUCAAGAUGGCAACGGGCCCCGAUCCCCGAUGGGGAUUUCAUCCAUUAGGGGACGAGAACGGGAAAAUUUUGAUCCCCGUAGGGGGACUUCAUGAGAAAGAAGGAUCCUCCAUCAGGUGAAGCGGGGAUGCAAACAUUCUAGGCUUCAUCCUUUAGCCUGACCCAACAAAUGAAAUAGGUCCAGUUUCUAACACCUAAAAAAAUCAUAUAAAAGCAAGAGCAUUUGUAACCCUAGUGAUCCACCAUUGCUUCUAGGCUUCUAGCUGAGUUGUCACUUCCACCGGUCCUCCUCCACUCCUCCUGUAUGCCUCUAAAGUCCAAGCUCAUCCUAUCUCCCUCUCUCCCCUCUACCCUCUGUCUCGCACCAACGACGUUGUGGUGGCGGUGAUGCUUGCGGGCUGUGGCCACAUGCUCUGGUAAGCAAGCACUGCUCUAGGGUUGAACCUGACAACAGCGGAGCCACGGAUGAGGUGUUCAAGGGAAGACGUGAAGGGCAACACCAAGGGGUUUAUCGGGGAUAGAGACCCCGCCGAGUGUGUAAUCUCGGGGACAGGGAUGGGGAAAUCUGGUACCCAGGUGCAGGGAUAGGAACAGGGACGGGGAGCGGGGUGUUUUUCUUUUCUCAUGGUCAAAACGUUCAAGCAAAACCUGACGGGGAUAGCCCCGUUGCCAUCUUUAAACGGCUCUCCUUCACCUGUUCGGUAGACGAACACGUAGACCAACUCUAGGAGCAGUUUGAUUUACAUUUCCUGACGGUUGACGGAGUUAGUAAUUAAUUACGUAAGAGUAGUUGAAGGAGCUUCCCGGCACCAUAUACUUGCGAGUGAUAUGCAGGGGUUACAAUAAUUACAGUUUACAAUGCUCGUCUCUUUAAUUAUGCGACGGGACGUGACGAUGGCCCAGCGGCUCAGCUGCAUGCAUGGAUCAAUCGAUCGAUCGCCAAUUAUCAAAAAAACCAAUCGAUCGACAGCUAGGUAAACUACCAGCUGCGGAUUAUAAAUUAUUCACGCUCAUCAUAUACAUAUAUAAUUAUAUAUACACGUACGUACGCUUCUGAGUACGAGCGACGAAAGUGUGGUGCAAGUGCAGCGUACAUGCCGGUACAGCGGCCAUCAUAUCAAGAUAUGUAUCCAUCUCCUACUACUGUACACAUUUGUAUCCUUACGGAGAUACAGUAUAUCAAGAUCAUCCUCUGACUCACUGCAUAGUCUGCACCGCAUCACGUACGUGCCGAAUACGUACAAGACUGAUUCAUGCUACAUAGUACGUGCGCCACACUCCUCGAUCGAUCGGUACAUCUUCACGUGUCCAUGUUCCUCAUCAACGAAUUAAUGCAUUUGUUUUCACAUGCCGCAUGCAUGAGAGUCGUCGGUCGUGGUGCCACUGUGCACACAUGCUUGAGUCCUUUGCUUUUCCUGUGCUCCAAUUCUUUUUUUCCAUAUACUCUACUCCCCGUCCCAAAAAAAGUGUCGUUUUAGAAUUUCAAACAUCUUAUUUGAUCAUCCAUUUUAUUCAAAAUUUUUACAUAAGUAUUAUAAAUUUUGUUAAGACCUAUUUAUCAUUAGAGAUACUUUACUAAUGAUUUAUUUAUUUUAUAAUUUACACAAAAUUUUUGAAUAAGACGAACGAUCAAACACGAUUUCUAAAAAUAAAAAACGUCACUUUUUUUAGAAUGGAGGGAGUACAUUAUUUUCAGAUGCCCAUCCUAGAGUAUGUAGUACCAUUCCAUGUAACAGCUAGUACCUUGUACCUAGGAUGGAGUACGUACUACUCGUGCUUGCAGUAGCGCGCGAAAGUGGACGACAGCACGCCCAUACGGCCAUCCGCUCACCAUUGUCUACAUCCUAGCUUUCUACGUACGUGUGUACCUGUACAUAUAGUCAUAAACCUAUAUCUACAUUUUUUAAUAAUAAUUUAUAUCCAUACCCUAAUAAUUUUAAUAAUAAUGAAUAAUAAAAGAAGCAAAAAAUUUCCCAUCCCUCCUAUUACUGCUUUAAGUAAAAAAAAAGACCUUCACGGACGCGGCAACACUUGUGUUAGGAUGAAAGAUAGAAAUGAGGCACAGCCAAUCUGUCGUCUUGUGAUGAAUUACGAAAAGAAUAUUUGUCAUCAGAUCAGUAGUAGAAUUAACAAUCACACGUAGAACAGACACAAUGAUUUAUGUGAAAGACCUUUUCAAGGCAAGAAGUAAAAACUAUGGAACCAAACGCUCUACUCCAAGCUUCCACUAUAAGUACAAUGAGUGUAGAAGGAGUUUUAUCUAGGGAAUCUAGAGUUAACCAGCGAUAACACAUUCAUCAAAUUACAAACUUGCCAUCAGUUAGAACCACAACCUUCUAACAAUAAGAGGAAUGACAACAACGAAGUAAAGAACUCAUAUAUUUUGUUCCCCUUUGGUAUCAAUUUAUAUCUCAAACUAUAGCUUUAUUGUGCAUUAAUUUUGAAAUGCAUAUAGAUCCACAAGUCCCCUAGCCACUGAUCAAGUUUUAGCUCAAUUGGACACCAUUUCACCAUCCAAAACAAUCAUCUACCAAAAUUUCUCUCUGUCUUGAAACUUAGUAACCAGAGCUGACAAAACAUACCCUUUCAAAUCUGGUGCUCUAAUCAACCGAUCCUCAAACCAACUGAACAUAUCAAACUAACCUAAUUGAGGAAUGAGCUAACCAAGUUUGGUCCCAAUCCAUCUAUGUUUGAGCCUACAAUCACUGGCUUUAAGAUGGCUGGUUAGAGCCACCAAAUCUCGAUAGAUUUGGUUCUUCUUAUUGUUCCUCCUCUUUGUCUAUCACGUUGUGGUGUUCUUGUGUUUCUCAACACCCCUCUCUUAGCUCCAACAACUAAAGGAAUAAAAGCUAGGGUUUUUAUUUUUAGUUUCCAAUUAAGAUUGAUCUUCACCGUUGGUUCCAACUAAAAUCAACAACUCACAAGAACUAGCCUCAGAGUUAUAUUUUCAGCUGCUUUGCGGAGCUCAAGAUCAUCCUCUAUAUGAAGGGACAGACUAGCACUUGUGUCAUAGCUUGGUCGACUGAGCUUGAGAUCCAACGGUGGGGUGGUGGGGCUCUAGAGCCCCCUCCUACGGCUACUGGACCUAUGGAGUCUCCAUAGGAAUUUUUUAUCAUGGAUGCACUUGAGGAGAGGCUGAAGCUAUCUAAAGGUUUAAAGAAAUCUCCCUAGACAUUUUUGCUAGAUCCGUUCCUAUAUGUGAUACAACCAGUGCAUUCAAUAGCCAGUAGCCACCAAAUCACUAGAAUUUAUUUGAUUUAAUUAAAGUAAAGUUUGGUUCCAACUAAAUUAAUAAAUUUAAUAAAAUGAUUAGUUUAUUAUCAUCUACUUUGGUAGAUCCAGACAAUCGCACGAGAAGUUGUAGGUGUGUACUUGUGUUACAGCACAGCAGCAUAUAUGAGCAUAUUCGUUAUGCCAAUAUUAUACACAAAGAAAAAGAGUCAUGGACGAGGCGGCAAUUGCUGUCGGUGGAUGGCUACCUUUCGGAAGCUAGCCACCGUACACACUCUUUUGGCCGGCCGGCGUCGGCGUGCUGCCAAGUGCAACCUCCCCAACGCUAAGCAGGUAGUGAUAUUAAUGCCGCUGCCGGUGAGGCUCGUCGUCGUCGUCGUCGUCGUCGUCGUGUGACACAAACAAGUCUACCAUCACCCAGAGUGGUCCCGGACACUGUAGGACACGCGUAGUGUAUGUACGCAAUGUCGUCGUCUGCUGCCCUGCUCAACGAUGUGUUCUAACUUUAUUACACGGUACCUGUACGAGGGUAGCAGCAGCUGCUCGGCUGCUGCAGGUGGAUCAUGCACACGCGCGCAACUCCAACACUACCCUAAACUUCACUUGGCAAAUCUUGAAUUUUGCAAAGUGUAAAACUCAAAUGCCAAGUGAAAAAAAGAGGCUUCUGUUAGCUAUUUCUUUUGACAAAUUUGGACUAUCUUGUGAUUCCUGAAAAAAUCAGAGAGACUUUUAUACAAAAGUUGCAAUCUAUUUAAGGCAUGCGUGCAUGCUGAAUGUGUGGGUCCCACCGCGUAGGCAGGAUGCCAAGCGCUCCCAACGCUCUUAAAUUUGAGCCAGUUGGCCCUCUUUUUGCCAAGCAUCCUAUUUUGCCAAGUGCAUAUAGAGUAGUGUUGGAGGAGCUUUUCCAUGUUUUGCCAAAAAUUAGGAUUUGCCAAGUGCAUAUAGGGUAGUGUUGGAGUUGCUCUAAGGACGUCCAGAACAGCCAUCUAAGGUCUCUUUGGUUGGACUUUUGAACCUGCUUUUGCUUUUGUAAAAGCCAAAAUCCAACCAAAGGGCCCAAAAGCCACAAGUGCUUUUGCCCAAAAGCAGCUUUUCUCGUAGUACAAAUCCAAAAGCACCUCACCCCCUGCUUUCACUGACUUCUGGGAUCCGUUCAGUUUUUUUUUCCAAAAGCCACGAGUGACCAACCAAAUGACUUUUGGGUUUCUCAAAGCCCACAUCCCACAGUAGCUUUUCAAAAGCUCAAAGCUCACAGUAGCUUUUCCAAAAGUCACAUCCCAAUCAAACACACCCUAAGGCCUUGUUUAGAUCCAAAUAAUAGAUCUACAGGAUCUACUAGCAAUAGAAAGAACAGGGAUUCGGGAUACAUAAGUAACAUAGACAGUAACAUAAAUAUGCACACUAGAUCUAUUACAUAGGGAAUAGAAACAGGUAGAUCUAGAGUAUAGGGAUUCGACCGUCGUUGGCGGCGGGUGUAGAUCCAGUGGGGUCCAUGGCGAGGGCGUUGACGCGGUGACGGAGUAGAUCCCGUCGUCCUUCGGGCCUCCACCGGCACUGACCGACGACGGCGGGGUAGGAGUAGAAGGGUGACGGCGCGGUGGUGCUUCCCGACGCCACUGCGCACUGUCGAUCGGCGACCUAGGGUUGUGAGUAGGGUUUGGCGGCGCACGACGAACUUCGUGUUGUGUGCCAGUAGCCCCCUACUCCUAUAUUUAUAGCGCAGCGCGUCGGGGGCCCACCAACGAUAGAUCGAUUGGACGCCCCCGAUCAGGGCGCGAUCCAGGGGGAAAGGCCCCAGCCGUUGGGCUGGGCCUGAGAUCAAUAUAACAUUCUCCCUCUUGAUCUCAUCUGUGCUUUCUCGCUUUGUCAACUCACCCCGUCACAAAUCAGUGUAUUGAGCAUGCUUCAUCUUAGCAGUUAUCACUGCUAGAUUAGACAGCCACAAACACUUUUCUGUUUAGAGAUGAAUUCUCGCCUUGGGCCCCUUGCUAUCCAGGAAUCACAGGCUUUCCCUUAAACCCAUGUCGGCUACAUGUUCUCUGAACAUACUGGGCGGUAAGCCUUUCGUAAGCGGAUCCGCUAGCAUCUUUUCUGUGCUUAUAUGUUCAAGACUUAUGAUGUGAUCUCGGAUUUUAUCCUUGACAACAUAAUAUUUUAUGUCAAUGUGCUUGGCGGCAUUGCUUGACUUAUUGUUGUGAGCAUACAACACUGCUGGCUCGUUGUCACAAUACAACUUUAGUGGUUUAUCGAUGCUGUCGACCACCUUUAAACUGGGUAUAAAUUUCUUAAGCCAAUUCACCUGUCCUGAUGCCUCAUAACAAGCAAUAAACUCAGCAUACAUUGUGGACGAUGCAGUGAUUAUUAUUUGUUUUGAGCUCUUCCAUGAUAUGGCUCCUUGCACGAGAGUGAAUAUAUACCCUGAGGUAGACUUUCUAUCAUCUUCCGCGUAAUCAGAAUCUGAAUACCCUACUAUUUGUAGGUCAUCAGAUCUUCUAUAGGUUAACAUAUGAGCCCCUUCGUGCCUUGCAAGUAUCUUAAGAAUUUCUUUACUAGAUUCCAGUGUUCCAUACCAGGAUUACUUUGAUAUCUACCAAGUAGCCCGGUCACAAAAGCCAGGUCCGGGCGUGUGCACACUUGAGCAUACUGUAAGCUUCCGACAGCUGAAGCGUAUGGAACGGCUUGCAUGCAAUCGCGCUCGAACUUGCUCUUGGGACAUUGAUGUUCCCCAUACUUGUCACCUUUUACAAUAGGAGCAGGUGAAGGUCUACACUUAUGCAUAUUGAAUUUCUUCAAUAUUUUCUCUAUAUAUGCCUCUUGGGACAAUCCCAAUACCCCUCGACUUCUAUCUCGGUGAAUCUUUAUGCCCAAGACAAAAGAAGCUUCACCUAAAUCUUUCAUAUCGAAAUUUGAGGACAAAAAUCUCUUGGUUUCCUGUAGUAGAGUGACACCACUACUGGCUAGUAGAAUGUCAUCUACAUACAGUACUAGGAAAAUGUAUUUCCCAUUCUUAAACUUUGCAUAUACGCAAUUGUCCUCAACAUUCUCUUUAAACCCAAACUUUCUGAUUGUCUUAUCAAACUUUAAAUACCACUGCCUGGAUGCUUGCUUUAAUCCAUAAAUGGAUUUCUUCAGGCGACAACCCAUUCUUUCUUUGCUUGUCACAACAAAACCUUUCGGUUGUGCCAUGUAUACUCUUUCUUCUAGAUCCCCAUUGAGGAAAGCUGUCUUCACAUCCAUUUGAUGCAAUUCUAGAUCAAAAUGUGCCACUAGGGCCAUUAUGAUUCUAAAAGAGUCCUUGCUCAAGACGGGAGAGAAUGUUUCAUUAUAAUCUAUCCCUUCUCGCUGAGUAAAACCCUUGGCUACCAGUCUUGCUUUGUACCUUUCUAUGUUCCCUUUGGAGUCACGUUUCACCUUGUAGACCCAUUUGGAGCCUACUGUUUUGGCUCCUUCAAGAAUUUCCUCUAGGUCCCAAACUUUAUUGGUACUCAUAGACUUUAAUUCAUCUUCCAUGGCUUCUUGCCACUUAGAUACUUCGGUGCUCCUCAUGGCUUCUUCAAAUGAAGUGGGUUCAUCCUCCAUCUGAACUUCUUUGCAUUCAUAGACUAUAUAGUCAUCUGGAAUAGGAGACUUUCUCGCUCUUUGAGGUCUACCAGAAGUUUCUGGUACUGGCAUUUCUUCUUGAGGUUGCUCUUGUUGGGGCUGCUGUUCUUCAACUAUGGGUUCAUUCGGCUCCUGAAGGACAAGUUCCGAAUUAGCCAUAGGCGAAAAAGCAGCAGGUGUUGUCACUACUAGUGUAGAUCCAACAACAACAGGCAGCGUAAAGUAGGGUUCUUGCACCAUGGGAAUGGGCACGAACACCCGCUUCUCUGCAAGGGUAAUUUCUCGCGCUGCCUUGCUCCCCCUGAUCAUCUGAUCUUCUAGAAAACUAGCGUGUCUCGGUUCCACAAACUUGGUAUGUCUACCAGGGCAGUAGAAACGAUAACCUUUUGACUUUUCUGGAUAGCCAAUAAAAUGACAACUUACUGUUUUGGGGUCUAGCUUUCCUAUGUUUGGGUUAAAUACUUUUGCUUCAGCAGGGCUCCCCCAGACACGCAAAUGGUUGACUGAGGGUUUCCUGCCGGUCCACAACUCAUACGGUGUUUUAAGUACUGACUUGCUUGGAACUCUGUUGAGAAUAUGAAUGGCGGUUUUUAAGGCCUCCAUCCACAAACUCAAUGCAGAGUGGAAUAGCUCAUCAUGCUGCGCACCAUAUCCAUUAGAGUACGGUGACGCCUUUCUGCUACUCCAUUCUGCUGUGGGUCCCCUGGCAUUGAAUACUGGGCUACUAUGCCAUUUUCCUGUAAGAACCUCGCAAAAGGUCCAGGAACUUGUCCAUAAGGGGUAUGUCGACCGUAGUACUCCCCCCCCCCCCACGGUCAGAUCUUACUACUUUGAUUUUUCUGUCUAGUUGGUUUUGAACCUCAGCCUUGAAUAUCUUAAAUUUGUCUAAAGCUUCUGAGCGUUCUUUGAUUGGAUAGAUAUAUCCAAAACGAGAGUAGUCAUCUGUGAAUGUGAUGAAGGAAUCAAAACCAUCCACAGAUGUCACUGGAAAAGGUCCACAGAUGUCUGUGUGGAUCAAUUCUAGUACUCCUGUGCUUCGCUUAGUGCCUUUCUUUAUGUUCUUUACUAACUUGCCUUUAAUGCAAUCGACGCAUUGCUCUAACUCUGAGAGUUCUAGUGGUGGGAGGAUUGAUUCUUUAACUAAGCGUUCUAUUCUCCCCCUCGAAAUGUGGCCUAAGCGACAGUGCCAUAAUUUCGAUGAGGAAUCAAUUCUCUUUCUUUUCUUGCUAGCAUCUGCGGGUAUUGCAUUCUCAGCAUUAUUACAUUCAGCAUUCACAUUCUCAGACAUAGAUAAUAAAUAAAGUUUGUCUUGUCGGAAGGCAAGACCCACACAUUUAUUAUUUAACUGUAGCUUACAAUCAUUCUUGCUGAAAUGGCAAUCAAAACCAUAGUCUGACAAACAUGAAACUAAAAUUAAAUUUCUAGCUAAAGAGGGGACAUAAAGAACAUCAUGCAACUCAAGUGUGAAGCCACUAGCUAAAUCUAGAGAUAAAUUUCCUAUAGCUUGAACUUCAGCAGCAACACCAGUGGCCACCUUAAUCUGUCUUUCUCAUCUUUGAAGGGUUCUCCCUCCACUGAAUCCCUGCAAAGAGUUUGCAACAUGAACAGUUGCACCUGAGUCAAUCCACCAUGUGGAUCUAGCAUAACUUAGAUAUAAGGAUUCAUCAACAAAAGUUAUAAUGUCCUCACCUUUCACUAGGCAAUGUUUCAUGAACUUAGGGUAUUCAUGCUUCCAAUGCCCUGUCUCAUUACACCAUCUACAGCGAUCCGGGUCCUCCUGCCUGUGCUGGUUGUCUUGCUUUGGCUGUGCUUUUGGCUGUGAAGAGCUUCCUCCCUUGUUCUCGGAGGUGGAGGCAUCUAGAGCUUUCUUGUUGUAGAAUGGUUUCUUGUUCUUUCCUUUCACAAAGUUCACAGAACCACCAUUUGCAUUCUUGAGCCUUUCUUCCUCUUGCACACACAUAGCAAUCACCUUCUCUAAAUCCCACUCCUCUGGCUGUGUGUUGUAGUUAACAACAAAUGUCUCAUACUCUUUAGGAAGUGAGUUUAGAGCUAGGUGAAUGAUGAAACCAUCAGCGAGGGGCAUCUUUAGCUUCUCUAACUUGGCUGCCAUGGUGCUCAUGCUCAGAAUGUGCUCUCUCACACUCCCCCCUGUGAACCUCAUGUUAGUGAGUUUCUGGAUCAGGGUGGAAGCAUGAGCUUUGGUGGAACCAGUAAACUGAUUCUUCACUUUCUCAAGGUAUUCUUUUGCUGUCUCACAUUCUGGGAUGGCACCUCUUAGGCCCUCUGUGAUGGUUUUCUUGAUGACAAUCUUGCAUUUGCGGUUUGACUUUUCCCACUUGUACUUCUCAAGAUCAUACUUUGCUAUGAUGGGAGCAAAGUCUCGCUUCCGAUUAGCAAAAGCUUCAUCGCUCUCAUUCUGAGCCCUUUCGGGCUCCUCUGGCUCAGUGGGCUUUGGCUCCUGAAGAGCCAAAUCUAUCUCAGCAAGUGCUAGAGCUGCAUCAAGUUCCUCGCGCCACAGAACAUAGUUCUGCCCCGUCAGCUUUGGGAUUGCACUGAUGAAGUGCAUCGCAUUCUGCGCUUGGUCUGAAAUUAAAUAUGAGAAAAUAGUGAGAACAUCAACAUUAAAUCUAGGAAAAAUAAUUGCAUAUCUUAAUUUAACGUUGGUCAAAAUCAAGAUAUACAAAAAUUAACUCUCUACAUAAAUUCUAAUCACUGUUGGGCAGAAUAGAAUAAAUACAUAAAAUUAGAACUUGGAAUUUGUAAUAUUGCUAUUAUUAACGUUGGUCAAAAAAUAACAAUAUCACAAAAAUACUAGGCUUUAAAACUCGUGUCUCAAAUUAAAUAUCCCGUUGGUUCAAUUUAAUAUGAGAACGAAAAAAUAACUUGCGCAGCGGAAAACAUUAAUUUAUUUACUAUUUUUAGAAGCAUAACUAGCUAACUGUGCUUUCUAAUUAAUAUACACGUUGGUGCAAAUUAAAUAGAAUUUAAAACUGAGCAAAACAAAUAUUUAAAUGCUUCUGAAAAUUAAAUAGAAUAUAAAAAAGGAGUUACAUUGCUUAAACGGGCCGUGGCCAACCAUUCGGCCCACGACCUCUUGCGGUCCAGCUCGGACGCUGGCCCAGCAGCGCACGGGUGCUUCUGAGUUUUUUUUAUUCUUGGCUGGUGGCACGCGGCCCAGCUAUCGGUUUUCGGCCCAGCCCAACGGCAUGCGUGCACGCGGGCGCUUGGCGGGCCGCAACCUGGGCCGGUGGCGCGCAUUCGGCCCAGCGCCGAAACCCGCCUGGGCUCAUUCUAGCCCAGCAGCCGCUGGUCGUCCGAUUUGCGGCCGUCGCGAUCGGACGGUAGAGUGCGCAGGUCGGAGGCAUAAAAGCCGCCGGCGCCAGGCUCUCUCUCCCAAACCCUAGUUUCUUUCUCCUUUGCUUCCUUCCUGACUCAGCAGCCGACGGCGCCGGCGCAGGAGCCAGACAGCCGCGGCAAGGGCCUCGCCGGCGCCGGUGAAGACGCCGUCGUUUCGGCCGCUCCCUUUCUCCUUUCUGUGCUUUCUUUUGCUUUUUCUCUCUCCAGUCCACUUGCGCCCAGCUGUAGAGAAGGACGCAGUGCUUUGCCGGCCGGAAAGAGUGGCGCCGCCGCGGUUCCUAUCGCCGGAGCGCGCGCUUCCCGUGGUGGGUGAGCGCGCCGCCGUCGAUAAGAGUCGCGAUGGUGCCCUGCGCUUGGCCCCCAUGCGGGAUUCCUCCCUGGUUUUGACCACCCCGGCCGCUAUGGUCGUGAGGCCGGGAUGGGCUAGCGCCCAGGUAGGGUGUUCCUUUAUUCUUUGUUGUUUGAUCUAUGCUUUUAGGGUUAGGAAAUCCCUUUUCUCGAUCUUUCGCGUUUGGAUCUGGGCGCUAGGUUUAGGGUUUGGGAAAAAAAAUAAAUCCUCUCCUUCUACUUGCUGGGCUUGUUGGGUAAAUCCCGAAAACCCCGAUCUAUUACUAGAUCGGCUGAUACCAUUGAUAGAUCUACAGGAUCUACUAGCAAUAGAAAGAACAGGGAUUCGGGAUACAUAAGUAACAUAGACAGUAACGUAAAUAUGCACACUAGAUCUAUUACAUAGGGAAUAGAAAUAGGUAGAUCUAGAGUAUAGGGUUUUGACCGUCGUUGGUGGCGGGUGCAGAUCCAGUGGGGCCCAUGGCGAGGGCGUUGACGCGGUGACGGAUUAGAUCCCGUCGUCCUUCGGGCCUCCAUCGGCACUGACCGACGACGGCGGGGUAGGAGUAGAAGGGUGACGGCGCGGUGGUGCUUCCCGACGCCACUGCACACUGUCGAUCGGCGACCUAGGGUUGUGAGUAGGGUUUGGCGGCGCACGACGAACUUCGUGUUGUGUGCCAGUAGCCCCCUACUCCUAUAUUUAUAGCGCAGCGCGUCGGGGGCCCACCAACCAUAGAUCGAUUGGGCGCCCCCGAUCAGGGCGCGAUCCAGGGGGAAAGGCCCCAGCCGUUGGGCUGGGCCUGAGAUCAAUCUAACACCAAAAAGUUUUUGGAUUUUGAGAUUAUAGCAUUUUUAUUUUUAUUUGACAAAUAUUGUUCAAUCAUAAAGUAACUAAGUUUAAAAGAUUUGUCUAGCGACUUACAGACAAACUGUACAAUUAGUUUUUGUUUUCAUCUAUAUUUAAUGCUCCAUGCAUGUGCCACCAGAUUCAAUGUAACGGAGAAUCUUGAAAAGUUUUUGGUUUUUAGGGUGAACUAAACAAGGCCUAAAUAACUAGUAGAUACAUAGUAUUUUAUUUCACAUGGAGGAAAGAGAACGUGAAAACUGAGGCCUUGUUUAGUUUCAAUUUUUUUUGCAAAAUAGAUACUGUGGCACAUUCGUUUGUAUUUGACAAAUAUUAUCCGAUCAUGAACUAAUUAGGAUCAAAAGAUUUGUCUCGCAAAUUACAAUUAGGGUUUUAUAAAUGCAUUCCCCCCAUCAACCUUUAUACUCACUUUGGCUUCCCCUUUUAUAGGACACUAUUACUUGGGGAAACCAGUUUACACUCCUAUCCUACGACACAGCGGCUAUGGUACAUUAAUGGAAUACGCUUAGCCACAAACAUAAUUUUAGGGUUACUUUGGGGCAUUCCACCUUGGCAACCGCCUUAAUUCAUGGGCCUUUUCUAGUGCCCACAGAGGCCCAUCUAUCACCUCAAGUUCUAGGCACCGUAGGGGCCUUCUCGUCAGCCUUCACUAGAAAAGCCCCGCCUUCCGCCGCGAUCUGGGCUCAUGCUACUCUGGACCUUCACUGCUACACUACCACCUUCGCCUUGUGCUCCAUCCAAGGAGGGUUCCGUGAUGCCUUUGCCCCUCAGAGCGGGACCUUCGCCAAUGUCGAGGGUGCGGGCGAAGGCUCCUGUCUUUGUUCCUGCCAAUCAAUGAUCAUGUUUCGUGCAUUGUUAGUCUUUUUUCGCUGGUGUAUCCCCUAGCUGCCAUAGCUCAUAGUUCCAUGUCCCAACAAUGUCUAAGAGCAAUUUCACUAGGAACCCUUAAAUUAGGGUUCCCACUUUUGAUUCGAGGGUUAUUCAACUUUUAAGUUUUUUUUGCAUCUAUUGUAACAACUCUCAAAUCCAUUUCAGUAGUCACGGAGACACAAACACAUGAGAUUCACUCGCCAUUCUCUUCCUAUGACCAUAACUACCUUCGCUCCAAUCAACUAAGCUAUGACUGACACGGGGUGGAGCAGCAGUAACCUCAUUAGGGAGGGGUUUGUGCCAAGGGCAGAGGAGCCGAUGAUGAGAGAGUAGCCACGUUGGGGACUGACCUUGUAAGAAUAGGGAAGGACCUCACUAGGGGAUGGGACAAGCACUAGGGAGAGGAGUCACGCUAGGGGAUCGAGGAUGGGGUAAUAAGGGUCUCGUUGGGACGGGGAAGGACCUCACUAGGGGACAAGACAGGAGCUAGGGAGAGGAGCCACAACGGGGAAGGAUCUCACACAUAGGCGGACAAACCUCACUGUGAGAGCCACGCUACAAGGAGGGAGACCCCUUAGGAAGGGGCACGCCGCUAUAGGGAGGGGAGUCACACCACUAAGGUGAGGGGCCUCAUCAGGGAGAGCCGCACCAAGGGAAGGACCUCCUAGGGACGGUGGAGCAUGCAAGCAACAUCGGAUGUGGAUAGAUGGACACUAUCCUCUUGCAUGCUAGGAGGAAAACGAUAACAAGUGUCAGUUGAGGGCCUAGAGUAGGGUCCCAAGAAAAUGAGGACUAGGAGGAAAAUUUGAGGGGCCUAUGAGUUUUUUUUUCUAGUCAUCAAAUUUGGUUUUGAGGGGUCAAGUAGGUGUCCUGCUAGAGAAGGCACCUCUAAUAAUAGUGAGAGUUAGAUAUCGACUCUUAGAUCCAUCUCAUUCAUAUGUUUUAUUUAUAUAUUCUCUCGUGUCAAGAGAGAGAGAUAAUUCAAGUCUCUCAUACAUUUUAGUACGUGCAAAGAGCUCGGCUUUUCUCAACUUCUCUCCACGCUAGUUCCACGCUAGUUCAAAGGUUUUUGGCCUCUCUCCCCUUUGUGUGGUAUCUGAUACUAGCUUAGAGCAAGUCCAAGAGAAGAGCUAUCCAUAUCAUGUAUUCUAUAUUUGGCUAUUUUGGGAGAGAAAAGAGAGUCCAACAGCUAUUGUAUUUGGUUUGCUAAAAUAGCAAGUCAUCUAUCCCGGAGUUCUCGUAUGGUAAAUAUAGCUUGCAUGUCCUGCUAGCCAUAUGAUUUGCCGUAUAGAAAGACCGUUGGAGAUUUUUAUUUUUUUACAUGAUUUUCUAUUUUAGAGGUUGGCUAAAUUUUGAAUUUAGCCAUCUAUUUUUAUCAACUCUCUUAGAGUUGCUCUUAGAGUUGUCCAAUAGAGAUGCCCUUAGCUAGCUCCCAAUUUAGAAUAUACCUAGACUAGAUCGAUAUCAGGCUUGAGAACGCAUAAUAGUUAGAUAUUUAUACCUAGUAGAUCGUUGGGUUUUAAACAAUACCAUACCUUUUUUUUGAGGGGAAAACGAUACCAUACGUGAAAUGGCUCACAUGAAUAUUAGGCCCGAAAACGGUUAUUGGCUAAACAGAAUUGGGCCUUAAAUGGGCGAUUAAAACAGCAAUGAUGCCUCCGUAGACUAGGAAUCGCAUAGACAAAAAGCUGUGACAUGCAUAUGCCUCGGGUGGGCUAUAAACAGGCCUGCGAUGCAGGCCUAUACACAGCCCAAUUUUUUUUGUGAACAAUACACAGCCCAAUUUGUGUACGUACAAGUGCCGGUUGCUUUUUCAGUUUCUUGCCCCAUGGGAAGCAUUCCCCAAUCGAAUCAUCACGUACGUACUUGACUCUGAUCCAUCAUAACACUUGGUGUCCACUAUGCACGCUCGUAGGCAUUGUUUACUUCCACCCAAAAUCUAAAAUUUUUUCAAGAUUUCGCGUCACAUCGAAUCUUUAGACGUAUGCAUGGAGUAUUAAAUAUAAACGAAAUUAAAAACUAAUUGCACAGUUUGAUCGAAAUUUACGAGACGAAUCAUUUGAGCCUAGUUAGUCCAUAAUUAAACAAUAAUUAUCAUAAACAAACAAAAGUGCUACAGUGUACCGAAAAAAUUUCGGCAAGGAACUAAACAAGGCCGUAGUAUGCUGUUAUAUGAUGGAAUCUAAAGAGCCCCAUUUUCUCUUUUAUCUUACCCUCCAGAUCGAGGCCACAAAAUCCUAGGUACAGAACAUCGUCUGUCAGAUGCAUCUGGUUGCAGCAAAGAUCCACACACAUUACAUAGAAUACGUGCACAGCACCAAAUGCAUGCAACGGCAACAUAUGCAUGCAGCACAAUUAGUUGUACAGUUUCCAUGAUUUACAAGCAAGUCCGGAUUCUUUUACUUCAGUAAACCAUCCUCAUAUUGCAAUGAUGGCAUGAUGCAUAUAUAGAGCGGGAGUGGUUAAGGUCGAUGAAUAAUGAAUCACUGAUGAAGCAGGGCAGACAAGGACACGGCAGCGGCGGCAGAGGCACACUGAGCCCACACAGAUGAAAUGAGCAAAUAUAUAGUACGUCGCGUGUAUAUGUUACUAUAUCUUAUUACUUGAACACAUCACUCUCAUGACUCAUGGAUGGAAAACAUCAUGCAUACAGUACAAUAUAUAAUGGACACAAAAGCUAGUAGUAUUCAUUAUUCAGGAAACCUGUGUGCUAAAGCAACAAGGUUAAAGGCAAGCAAACCCCCAAGGACGACGUUGAGUGCUGCUUUGCUAGCCUGCUACACACACACACACGUACGAUCGAGGUACACGACGACAGCCACAGCGACGACAGAGUUGGUGUAAACUCAAGGUAGUAAACAGUAAAUACUAAUUAAACGGAGUGAUCACUAACAGGUACGGUGCAUGCAUGAUCUACUCCUUAAUUUAUGUAUCUAUCUCAUUGCAUGCAUCAUCCAUGGAGGGAGUCAUGGACGACAUCUGGUAAAACAACGACGACUGCAUGCUGAUCGCCAUCCAACGAGCAUGCCUCAUGCAUGUCCUUAUGAUCGAUCAUCAGUUGAUCCUGCACGUACAUAACAUGAAAGAUAUCAAAUCAUGGUUAUCACACUCGAUCAUUAGCAGAAAAUCACUCAUAAUCACUGUGCAUUCAUGCAUGCAUGGACGACAUAUUUAAUCAAUUGGACAGGGUGAAAAACUCAGCCUAGGAGGCGUCGUACUUGGAGCAGUCGACGUUGGGACUAAUGGGCACGCCGACGGAGACGCCGCACUUGGAGGGGAUGCUGGCGGCGUUACCCAUGCUGACGCCGCCGCCGCCGCCGAGCCUGCUCGUCAUGCUCUUGAGGCAGGCGCAGGUGGCCUGGCGGUCGGCCGUCGACGACGCGCGGCUGUUGAGCGAGCGCACCCCGGUGCAGCACGCCGGGGAGGGGAACGCCGUGGUGCCCAUCGCGUACCCGAGGCACGGCGCCACCGAGGAUGUCACGUCGCUGCAGCUCACCGCCGCCGAUGCCGGCUCCGAGGACGCCAGCAGCAGCGCCGCCAGGACCGCCACCGUCGUCGCGACCACCAGGGCGAGGCGUGGAGCAGCCAUUGCAGGACAGAAGAGCAGUGGGGGGUGGUGAGCUGUUGAUGGUGUAGUGGUGUUAAGUGAAGCUGUGAUGGAUGGAGCAAUGGUGGUGCCAGGGGUAGGGUAUAAAUAGGGAGCUUUUUACCUAUAUGUCAUUAUGAAAGAUUGACCAAACCAGGAAGCCACUAAAAAGUGGUUUCGCACCGCUGUGCCCAACUUCAUCUUCGGCUAUACCUGUAUGCCAUUCCGUCCAUUUUGAAGUCUAACGGCAGUUAAGUGGUCUGACAUUUGACUUGAAUGCCCCUGGGCCAAUUGGUCUAGACAACAAAAUCUUCUUGUCCCCAGUGCCACUGACUACCAAUUCACUGACUACCAAUUUCUACGGUGAGCGCCAAAAGGGCUGGACAGAACUGCAAAAGUGGCAUCUUUCAGAAGUUCUAAAUUCCCAUAUUACUUGAAAAAUUCUUUCAUGGUUUUUAGCAUCAUCCAACAGUAAAUCCCGUAGAUGAACAGAUUGAAGAACCCGAUUAAAGCCAUGCCACAAGCGAAAGAAAUGGAACAUGUUUCACAACAAUCUAUGAACUAUGAAAAUAAGGAACAUAAAAAAAAACCGCCAAUGUUUAUCUCAGCUACCUCUCAUUCAUUAGGUAACAUAAACAAAUACAUAGGCUUCCGUUCCAUUAAUGGUCCUUUGUUCCAAGAACACCACGCCAUACAUACUACGGGCGAACGCGACGAGGACCUGGAACUGGACGAGCUUCUGUCCGAGCACCGGAUGGACGAGGCGCUCCAGCUCCUGGAGCUGCGAGGCCAAGCGCUGCAGACGAUGCAGGAGCAGGCCGACGACGACGACGACGGAGCGAUCGCGUUCGCGUCGAGCGUGCGCGCGCUGUCCGCCACGAAGGCGAGGGUCGCCGCCCGCUUGGCCUCCCUGGCGGAGAACCCGCGGACGCCGCGGCCCGAGCUCCUAAAGGCGCUCUCGGGCCUCUGCAGGCUCGGCGACUCGGAGCAGGCGAACCACCUGCUCUUCCAGGUGCACCGCGCGAGCGUCGUCCGCGCGUGGAGGAGCUGCGCGCGUCGCGAGGCCACCACCAGAGCAUCGCCGGCGCCGGCGGCAACUACAUCAAGGACCUGGCGCCAGCGGACGCCGAUGCUGGCGGAGCCACCGAGAGCGCCGGGCCGGCCCUGGCGACCCCGCUUCCUCCUCGUCCCCUCUCCGCCUCAUGCUGCUGCUGCGGAGGCGGCGCGAGGGAGCCGGUGAGGAGCUGCGUGAAGGUCGUCGCGGCCCCGGAGGAGGAGUUGGCGCCUCCGCCUCCGCCGUCGUCGCUGUCAGAGGAGGGGAAGAGCGCUGAGGCGAGCGUGAGCGGGCCCGGGCUGGCGUCACCGGCGCCCGUAAAGAGCGACUCCGCCGCCGAGCGCGGUGGCAGCGCCAGGCGCCGGCGUUGACUUUGGUUUUGGAAGAGGCCGAGCGCGGCCUCGAACGCGGGCUGGAGGACCGCGUGAGGGGCGAUGGACUGGAAGGGCAAGAAGGACAUUUUCCUACCAAGGACCCACGUGCCAGACCACUUAAACGUCACAAAACAAACGGAAUGGGGACGGAAUGGCAUACGGGUAUAGUUGAAGAUGAAGUUGGGCACAGCGGUGCGAAACAAUUUUUUAGUGGCUUCCUGGUUUGGUCAAUAUUUUAUAAUGGCAUACAGGUAAAAAGCUCAUAAAUAGGACCUUGGUAACUCAUCACUUAUUCACUUUUUUUUUUGGAAUUCAUCACGUAAUUAUUUUUUUUUGAGACUGGAACUUCACCCGUUUUUCAUUAAUUAAGAGGGAAUUCAAUCACGUAUUCACUUGGAGAGUGUACGUGUGUGUGUGUGUUAGCUGGAAAUCUGAUGAUGUGGGGCGCGCGGCCCGGCUGGGGAGCUGAUGAGUGAGGCUUUUUGAUAUUGUAUCAUUUUCAUUUUUAUUUAACACAUAGUGUUCAAUCAUAAAGUAAUUAGAUCUAAAAGAUUCGUUUCACGAUUUAUAGAUGAUAAUCUGUACAAUUAGUUUUUGUUUUUAUCUAUAAUUAAUGCUUCGUGUAUGUGCCGUAAGAUUCGAUAUGAUAAAAAAAUUUGAAAAGUUUUUAGAUUUUUGGGUGAAUAAACAAGGCCCGAGUGAGUGCAGGUGAAGUGUUACUGCAGUGGUGGUUGAGCACGCACCAACCAGGGGGAUCGUACGUUUGAUGAGAUGUGAGAUGAGAUGCGAUGCGACGAGGAGAUGAAUGCAUGCACGUGAACCUGCUUCUCGUUUGUAUUCGGACUUUUGGUACGUACAAACAAAGCCUGUGCAAACGUUCAUCAUUGUGCUGCUUGUGCAUAUUGAUAUACACGACAUAUGCACGCUGCAUAUACCCUGUGUACUGUGGUGCCCGUGACUGCCGCCGGGCACAUAACAUAGGAGUAGUAUGAAGUCUUCAAAGUCACGACUGAAAGUCUUUUUUUUGCUAAUAUGUUGUAAAAAAACAUUUCUAAAUAAUUAUUAGUAGAUUCGGUAGAUGAUCUUAAUUAAUAAGUGAACAAGCUAAUGGUUUUAAUUUGUGCUGUGGACACAGCUACAUAGUACGAUGGGAUGGACAGUGUUUCCCACCAGCCUUACCGAGUUUACCGUGCAACGAAUACGCGCCCGUGACACACACACGCUGCAUAUGCAUGAGCCUUGGGCUAUAUAUACCAGUACGCGUACGUACGUACGUAAACGUACGGUCGUAUAUUGUACUCGCGCGCCUACAUAUAUCAUUCUCGGAAUCGUAACAUCCUCCCUCGCUCGGUCUGUCACGAUCAUGAACGUAAGACGUGUUCAUCAACUUUGGAACUGGUGCACAUAGUACUGCUAGGCUAGCUGAACGUACGUCCCAGCAAACACGUACGGAUAGAUAGAUGAUCCAGGACUAUUAGCAAUUAACUGCCUUCAAUUCUUAUGUCGCCGGCCGAUCGUACUGCAGCGCAUGCAUGCAAAUGCAAUAGUAGUAGAUAGAUAGAAUUGCAGUUGUUGAUAGAGCUAAGCAAAAGCACGCAAUUAAGUUCACCUUUAGCUUUUCUUUGCAUUGAACGUGUAACAUGCAUGUUCACAUCUUGAUGAUGGUAGCCUGAAAAUUCUGGUGAGGUAGUUGCCACCUAGCCAAGCAUUGCAUGAACCAACUACUACUGUACGUCCUCUCCGUUCUACAAAGAGAAAGGAGUACAUUUUUAACAUUCUAAACUUGUCUAUAAACCUGUUCUCUCUCUCUCUCUCUCUCUCUCUCUCUUCCACACCACCCAAUCCCUUGACCUCCCUCCCUCCCACAACCACUUUUAGCGUCUUGCAUUUGAUGGCAUAGGUUACGAGGACUCAUAGCAUUUUCAACAUUUUGUUCUAAACUUAGGAUACAUUCUAACAGGAAAUCAGCUCUAAGUAUUUCUCUUCUUCAACAGUUACCAUAUAUAUCAUCUUAAAUAAUAUAUAGGAUGGACAAUAUAUAGUCCACCAUCAAUAUAUCCAUCCACCCACAUAACCCCUCUCUCUCUCUCUCUCCCCCACACCACCCAAUCCCUUGACCAACCUUCAUCCCCACAACCGCAUUAGCAUAUUGCAUUGAUUGCCUCGGUUACAUUCUAAAUCCUUAUAUAGGAUACAUUCUAAUAAAAAAACGUCUCUUCAUAUUUAUUUUUUCUUCAAUGGCUACUGCGUGUCAAAUACUCCAUACAACAUCUUGAAUUUGUAAAGAAGAGAGGAUAAUUUAGGAUACCACUAAAUAUCUGAUAUUGAAUAAGAGGGCCACUGAAGGAUGAUUUUUGUAACAUAAAUCUUUAUUUAAGCUCUAGGGAGACAAAUAACAGGAACUCUUCUAGAUAUCCUUAGUUACCGAGAGCAGUGAGGUUAUUUCUCUUUAUAAUUAUUAUAUUUAUUGAAAUAAGCUACAAAUCGUGUCUUUGCGUGGGACAGGGAUAACAUUAAAGAUAUUAAAAAGUUUUGUCAUUCCAUCAUAUAUAUAUAUAUAUAUAUAUAUAUAUAUAUAUAUAUAUAUAUAUAUAUAUAUAUAUAUAUAUAUAUCCCCACUUUCUUGGUGUGGUGGUACACAAGGGAGGAUACCAUGUUACCUACUAGUACUAGGUUUAAUUAAUUUAAAUUCUGGCACGUGCUAACGGCGUUUAAGAGCAUCCCCAAAGAGUCUUUUUAGAAUUUACUCCAUAGAUUAUCAUUUAGAAAGUCAUUUAAGUGGAACAUCGUUUUCUAUAUAUUUGCAUCCUUCAACAGUUUUUACUAUAUCUUGCGCGCAUUUAGAGACUCAUUCUUGCUUUAAUUUUCAUCUUUGGCUAGUGAGAAAUCUAGAGUAGAGGAUGUCUAUAUUGAAGAUCUAGUUAAUUGAAGAGGUUUGGAGAGUUUUUUUUACCAAAAUCUCUAUUCCUACAAAGUAUAAAAGAUAUAAAAAUUCUUUUGGAGUUGUUCUAACCAGUUUUGUAUGUGUGGGUCAUCUUGAAAUUAAAAAAAAUACAGGCUUCGAAACUAGGGUGUCAUUUGAGAGGCAGCAUACAAAACAAUUAUAAUAAAAAAUCAUUUAUUUUCAGCCAUUAUUUCUUUUUACAUUUUUGAGAAAUAUUAAUUCUUGUACUGUACAUUUUAUGGGAAUUAAUUAUUUUUACAUUUUGUUUUGAGCAACAUUAAUUAUUUUUACAUUGAAUUUGGUAUAAACAGUGUCGAGUUGAGCGAUGAAGGCCUCAGUUGGGCUGUUGUUGUCCAUGGAGUUAUUGGAGUAGUGGGCCUAGCUGGUCCUACUUUUUUUUUCCUGUGUGUGUUGCUGCUUACCCGUUACCACGUUUACUAUUGGGCCUCCAUUAAACUAAUUCCGGAAUGAUCCAUCAGCUUCGCGCCGUGCACACGUGUGUAUACAUGUACACGGCAGCGCUAUUUUAUAUCCUACUGUUAAGUUGACCAGAAAAAAAAUACUUCCCUCCGUUUGUGUUUACUUGUCACCAACUUUUUACUGUAGCAAAUUUGACUAUCUAUUUUUUUUCUUCUAAAAAAUCUUAGAUACUUCAAUAUAUAUAACACUAAUGAAGUAUAUUCAAUAAAGAAUCAUAUAUGUGAAAACUUGAUGUAUCUAAAAAUCUUUUGCAGAAAAAAACAUAUAGUCAAAAUUGCUACAGUAAAAGUUUGGUGACAAGUAAACGCAAACGGAGGUAGUACUAAGCAGUACUCAGUUUCACGAGUACGAACGAUAUUGAAUUUUGUUUAGGCCGUGUUUAGUUCCUACAGCGAAAAAAAUCACGACACUGUAGCAUUUUUGUUUGUUUGUGGUAAUUAUUGUCCAACUAUGGACUAACUAGGCUCAAAAGAUUCGACUCAUAAAUUUCAACAAAACUGUACAGUUAGUUUUUAUUUUCCUCUAUAUUUAAUACUCCAUGCAUACGUCUAAAGAUGCAUGCGUCUAAAGAUUCGAUGUGAUGGGGAAUCUUGAAAAAUUUUGGAUUUUGAGGUGGAAGUAAACAAGGCCUUAGUAUAACAGUUCGGUGUAGAAUAGCACUAUACACUCUAAGAGUAAAAUACUAUUCUACACCAAACUAUGUGUGAAUUAUGGUAAAAGAUCUGUACUUCUACACCAAACUAGAGUGGCCGGCCGGGGUGCUUCUGAUCGAUGAUGAGUGAGCUAAGUAGGGUUUAUAUAGGGAGAAGUGGAAGGCCUUUAAUUUUUCCAUAUCUUUUCCUUAACUUCGGAUCGAAAGAAAAGAACGCAUCCUUAAUAUCAUGCAUGUCAUCAUCAUUUCUUUAGCAACAAAACCCUUAAUCUCAUGCGUAACGUCGGCAUAUGAUUAGAGAGCGUUUUAUUUGUAACUUGUGAUCUCCCUUUUUACCGGCCUCUGCCUUGGACUGAGGAUGGAAAUCUGCCAUGGCGGCCAAGGUCGAUUCAUCUGAUCAGCACGCAGUAGAUAUGUGAGUUGGGAGAGAGUAGUACUGUAGUGGUGGUGGGUUUCGUGUGGGAUUCUGCUUAUGCUGAGUGAGGUUAUUAAGGCAGUGAUUGCUGAUUAGUGAGGCGCGCCAUAAGUUAACAACGAAAACCUACUUAGGACCUUGGAUCCACAGAGCUAAUAUUUAGUUGCUAAAGAUAAAAAUAUUCAGAUGCUAAUAAUUAGCUUGUUUGGAUCCAAACGGGCCGGUCUAGCUAAUUAUAUUAGACAACUACCUCACUACUUGAUCAAAACUAGCUAAUAAUUAACUAUAGCUAAUAUUAGCUAUGAGCUAUUAGCUAGCUAACUAUUAGCAGCUAAUGAAUCCAAAUAGGGAUUUAAUUUAUCACUAAGCCCCAAUUUUCUGUGAAACCUUUGGAUGAUUCAAGUAGUGUGAGAUUAGAGGGAGCGUUUCAGAACUAAAGUUGGUGGCCAUGGCUUAGGAUCUGAGUGGUUUUUUUUCCUUGCCUUUUUUCUAAAAUAAAAGAAAAACAGGCAGGAGUUCUGCCCUGGAUUAAGGAUGGAUCCAGUUUCAGUUUCAGUCAGGUUACGCGAGACUGUGAGAGUUAGUCCAUGGUGCAUGGUAACAGCUUGAUGCUAAACUCAUCCACGUUUCAUUUCAUCUCUGCUGAUCAUCAUCAUUCAUCCACUAACUAGCUAGCUACCACGAUAAAUAAACUGAAGAAGAAUAUUGCACCAACAUUUUAUUGCGGGUUUUCAUCAUGGCCUGGAUGAUCUGCAAAUUUCAGGGCCAUGCUUCUCCAUUGCUUCAGAUUCGACGGUGCUACAAGCCGGAGUGCAACCUCCGAUCCGUCAGUCAGUGUAGGACAUGCACGUCCAUACAUGUCCUGUCCAUCAGCAAGAGAAUGCCACAGGCCGCGGUAGCAAAAGCCAGUGGCUGGACGCUGCUUGUUUUGGUUGAGUUGGUGCCUGACAUUUCAGACCUCCCUAGCUAGCUUAAAUACAUGGAAGGGUACCACGUACACCACACAUGCAUAUAGUAUAGUAUAUGCACGAACUAGUAGCACGUAUCUUCAUAGCUUUCGGAGUAUGUUCUCAGGACAAACCUUUCUGUACAUGGCUCCAACAAGCAGAUGUUUCUUUCGCUCGUCCUCUCUUUGCGUGCAGAUGUGCAGUAACAAUACGCAUCUAUCUAUUACUUUCAUACAAAAAUGCAGCCUACUUCACUGAAUUAUUGAGCACUUUUCUUUUCUUUUUUUUUUACAACGAUGAACUGUGAUUUUCGAUCAGUAUGGGAACCGUCGACGGCCAAUGACUUCUGUUGCUUGACUUGUUUGUUGCACUUUCAAGUUCCAAGCGAGGCUACUCUUGAUCUGAUAGCAAGCAGAACAGAGGGAUAAAAAUGUAUAUGACAUUGUGGUGUCUGGUGGGAGCAGAAUUUGCCCUGUUUUGAGCACUUUCAUUUCAGAGAUAGACACAGAGUUUGCUCUACAGACUACAGAGAAUAAUCCAACGAUAACUAAGUACACAUUGAGUGCAAGAGAUUGCAUCACUAGAGCUAAUGUAUAGGGUAGCCUUUGGGCAAUCUGUUGCAGCCGAAUUUGUUGAGGAUAAUCCAAAAAGAAACACUUACCACAUUGUCUUGUAAAACAGUGCUGCCAGAUCAAUAAAGUUUCAGGACUUCAGACAAUCCUUUGGGAAUAGAAACGAUCUGUCAUCAAUCACUACCUUUUGAAUCACAGAUAGGAGUAUGAAACAAGUAUGCACUCCAUAGUGGCCUACAACAUAAAAGAAAGUUUGCUUUAGAACAUUUUCUCAAACUCGAGUUUGCUUUUGAACAUAAAAAGUAUUAUUCUGAUCUGCAACAAAGUUGAGUAAGGAAUGGAGAAUUACCAACAACACGGCCAAUGGAGCUACGAUCCCUCAGCGAUAAGACCCAGCACACAAGAGGGGCUCCUGCAGUUCAGACCGUUCAUUGCUCCAUGCAGUUUGUGACAACUGUAUUUGGUUCUCUAUUUUACAUGAACUUGACUGUGCGCAGCAUGCUUUGAACCGCUGCAUCCAAUCACCUUUGUUCUCAGAUGUUCAACAUCAUCCCACCGUUCUGCUUCUGCAUACGCAUUUGAUACUGUGAUAACAUCCCCAUCAUCCAUUGGCAUCAACUCAUGCAUUCUAUGAACAGCUCUGUCAGCAAUGUCAAAAUGCCCAUGCACUCUGCAUGCAGCCAUAACCAUCUUCCACAGCACAGAGUUUGCCUUGACGGGCAUAUCAUUGAUCAUUUGAUAAGCCUCGUGAACUUUACCAUAGCGGCAGAGCAUGUUGAUUAUACAGCCAUAGUGCUUCAUGCUUGGCACAAUUUUGUAGUCUUCGAUCAUGCUCUUGAAAUACACUCUCCCCUCAUUCAAUAGGCCGCUGUGGCUGCAAGCAGUCAAAACACCCAAAAACGUGACAUGAUCAGGCUCAAUAUUCAUAAGAUCAAACAGCUUAAGGGCAUCAUGCGAGUGGCCAUGGACUGACAACCCAACAAUCAUCGUGUUCCAGCAUGUAACAUCCUUGAUUGACAUGCUGUCGAAGACUUGUCUGGCGAGCUUCAAGUUACCACAUUUUGCAUACAUAUCAACCAGAGCGUUGCCAACAUACCCAUCAGCUUCAAUUCCUUUGCUCUUAAGGUAAUCAUGGAUUCCCCUCCCCAGCUCUAGCUCACCCACCUCCGCACAAGCCCCAAGAGCCGACACGACUGUUAGCUCCGUGGGUUCGAUGUCAUUCUUCCACAUAUCUCGGAAAACGUCUAGUGCUCGGCUAUACAUCCCGAGCUUUGCAUAUCCACUAAUCAAUGAGUUCCAAGAUAUGACAUCCCUCUCAGGCAUGUCUCUGAAAAUUCUCGCUGCCUCGACCAAAUCCCCGAGCCUCACAUUUCGCAUGAUCUCAGAGUUCCACCAUGAUAUGUUCCUUUCUGGAGUUGCCUGAGAGACACGCUCUGCACCCUGCAAGUCUCCAGAGACACCAUGAGCCACGACAAGUGCAUUCCAGGAGACGGCAUUCUUCACAGGCAUUUCAUCGAACGCCUUCCUCGCCUCCCCCAGACGACCGAACUGGCCGUACAUGGACACGAGCGCGUUCUGCACGUACCGAUCCUGCCCGCAUCCCAGCUUCAAGACGCGGCAAUGCAGCUCGGCGCCCUUGGCAGCAAACACGGCGGCGCGAGCGCGACGGCUGAGCCUGAACGCGCGGGCACAGGAUUUGAGGAGGGCCGGGAAGGCGGGGAGCGGGGUGGGGAUGGAGAGGGAGGAGACGUGGUUGAAGAGUGUCAGCGAGGCGGACGGAGCCGGCGACGAGGAGAAGGCGGAGAUCACGGGGCAGAAGAGGGACGGGGAGAGCACGCACGGAGGCGCGGCGAGGAGGAGGGAGAGGGAUGACGGGGAGGCGGGCGGGAGGUGAGAGAGGAGACCGGCGAGGCAGGCAGGGUGGUGGAGGAGGUCGAGCUUGGCGAGCAGUGCGUGGAGUUGGUGGCCAGUGGCGGCGGCGGAGCUCCGGCGGGGGAGGCGCCGGAGGAGGCGGAGGACGGCGGCCGGAGUGUACGGGUCGGGUGGCGCCGGUGAUCGCAUGGGCUGGCUGUUCGCAUUGCUGGUGGGCUGAUGGGCCGCAGGGUCCACUACAGCUCUGCUUGUCCCGACAAGUGGGCCCAGAAGAUUUUGCUAGGAGUACAUUAGGUGCUGUGUGCUUCCAUGCCAUUUUACAUGCUGCCAUGCUCCCAUUUCAAAAAAGACCAUCAAAAUGUGCAUGUUUUUUUUUAAAAAAAAGUACGGAUACAUGAUGAAAAAAAUGCAUGCUCAUGCAAAAUUUGAGAUCUACCGGAAUGAGGUCUAGUUGAAGAACUUAAGUUUAUGUGUAGUUCUAAUUUCGUUGAAUUUUCUUGUAAUUUCGUAGGUAGGGCCAGAAACUGAGCUGCCCAUGUGUGUUGGCUGCUUUGGUUAUGAGUGUAUUGAGGGAAAGCGCUUAAAAGCUCUAUCCCAGAUGAUGUUAAGCCGCCAAAUUAAAAAAAAUAGAUAUAACAGAGUUUUAUUUGAGGAGGAAAAAACAGAAAACUAGCCUGAAAUAGAAACAUAUCGCGGGACUGAAUGAACAUUUCGCUCUAACCCAAUUGCAGGUUCAUUAUCUUAUUUUCUCCUAGCACAAAACUUUGUUGAACCUAAAACUUUGCAUGAACAUGUACCUUUGCAUCAUGUACCCAAUACAUUUUUGGUUGAUUUUUCAUGCUCAUUUUGAUGAUUUUUUUAAAAAUAGGAGCAUGGGUGCAUAGGAUACAAACUCCUGUCAGCAUACAACGGUGAGCGGGGGCAGUAAGCUCUUGCUACUAGCAAGAUAAAAUGUGAAGGGUAAAGAAAAAGUAGGUAAUAGCAGCAUACAACAAUCCAAUACCAGCAUAAGCACAUGCAGCAACAACAAGGCAUGCAACACCACCACCACCACCACCAGUAUCCGGACCAGACAGUGUUGGUGGCAGCCAUCCUCUAGGCCCACCACGGUGAGCGGGGGGACCACCAUGGCCACACUCAAUAACAUUGAUAGUAUGUCGUCGGCUCAUUCCAAGCCUACCAUGACAAUGGUGGUUGGCGAGGCGAGGGCAGCCCAAAGGCGACAUUGGUGUGGUGAGGCCCAGUGGCGGAGCCUCUUGGAGGUGAAACUAGACAGUUGCCCCCCUGUCUCCGAUGGAAAAUGAUGAGUAGUAUGUGCAGUUCACAGGAAAAGGAGAAAAGGAAUACCUACAGUCUACAAUAAGAGAAGAAAAGACAGAGAGCAAGGAAAGUGAUGCCUGAGAACAUAUGGCUCAUGGGAAUGUGUGCUUUGUGUGUUUAGAUUCUUGCUUAUUUUUAGCUGAAGUUUAAUAGCUACAGUAGUCUAUUUUGAAAUUAGCCCCUCCUUGAUUUUCAUUCACCCUCCGCCGCUGGUGAGGCCAUCACCGGUGGAGGUCAUGUAGGUCAGAGGUGAGAUCUAUGGGGGUGAAGGCGAAACACGGAGAGAGAUGGGUGAUUUAGUGGAAAAAGAGAAGGAAUAUUUUCUAGCAUUUUUUUCAUGUGGACCCCACUUGUUGACAAGUGCACUAUAAAGAAUCUACAACAACUUACUAGCGGCUGGCACAUGGCUCAGUAGCUCACAACUCUAUAAUCCACACAUAGGUAAGAUACAUUGUCUACCCUUAUAUACCUAUAUUAAUUGAAGAGAAGCUCAACUUUUAAAUUAAAAAAAAUCAAAUGCACUAUGUAAGUGUGCACGUGUGUGCAAUCGUGUUAUUGAGCACAAAGAUAUGAGUACUAGAAAACUCCAUUGGUGGAUGGCAAUGCGACUUCUGUAACCAACUUAAAAGCACAUCAGUACCGAGUUCAAAUGUGAUCGAUGAUGACAAUUAGAGGUGUUGAGGGUUCUAGGAUUUAUGAGGUAUGGACAGAGGAAGAGCAAGAGCAAAAUAUAGGGGUUUCAUUUAUUUGCCAUAUGGAUAUAUAUAAUUAUAUUUAUAUUGUAGAGGUAUAUAUACAGUGAAAAUUCGAUCAUAAUUAUUAUUUUUAAGUUUUGAUUUGCCCCCCUUCCCCCAUCCUCCCUCUUCUCCAUGCUAAAGAUAGCAUCAUCCUCUAGUCACCAAGUAGCUUAGGCAAAGAGAGGGGGUGGGGUUGUAACAAGGGGUGUCAUUGAGAAGAUCAUUAGCGAGGAUGUGGUAGCAGAAAUAUGAACAACAAGCGGCGUGGAUGUUUGAGGAGUCUAAGAAAACCUAGUUGUUGGUACAGAAUAGAGAUAUGGUGAUGUGGCAGGGUAACUGAGAAAACGCAGGAAUAUCCAAGGUGAGAGAGGGUGGAAGGGGGCAUUCAAUAAGUGAUGUGUUUCCCAGAUUUGCUCUUAUAAAUUUGUACGAAUUUCUCUCCUAUUGUGAGCUAUGUUGUAGUUAUUUUUCACCCACUGUACAUCUUUAUUAUUUGGUGUUCAGAACAAAUAAAAUUACUAAUGGCAACAUUUUUAGCAAAGAUAAUAAUGCCAAGACAUAGUUUCUGCUUGCUAUGUUGAUGCAAUAAUUUAUAGGAGUCUUAAUUCUUUAACAUAAUUGACCAGUCUUAAAAUGACAUAUCCUAUGGUUUUAAGUACCAGCCUUCCAAAACAAGUGGGAAACUAAAAAGAUAGGUAAAUAAAUCUUUUAUAUAUACAAUUGGAAAACUAAGAAGCUAACAAAUAUAUCAUAUAUACAUUGGCACAACUGAUAUAUCAUUUAUAAACACCUAUAUACAUGGAAAACUUAUUACAACCACAAGUGUGCUCUUGUUUUUUCAAACCUCGAAGAAGCUUCAAUAUAUUAUGGUAGAUAUCCUUAGUUUUGAUACAUGUUCUGGCAUUUAAAUAUGGUAUCCUUAUUUUUAAUACAUGUUAUGACAUUUAAACAUGGUGCAAGUCUUUGUCAUCUACCUAUAUUGUAAGAUUACCUAAUCAUAAUAUAUUAAUAUAUUAUUAUACACAACAAACUUGUAAAAGAAUAAAAGGUAGCAAAAGGAAAUUUAUAUGUCUAACAAUUUUAUCCAUAUUAACAAUAGCUAACCUCAUGUAGUCAUGUGUCUACAACUCUAGCUUCUAUGAUGGAAUGACAAACCCCCCCCCCCCAAAAAAAGAUUCUUGGGGCUAGAUGCAGCAAACAUGCCCUAUGCACCCUCAUCUUCUUGUCAUACUAUCAUCCAAGGUUGAACUAGACUUGAUUAUGGGCCACACAACAUGACCAAUCUGUUUUGACCCGCCCAAAAGAAACCUAACCCGGUAGUGCAUCAGGUCAAGUUGGGGUCAUAAUAUUUGACUCAAGAUUGGAUCCAACCUAAAAACCUAAAGCAAAGUAGAAAAACCUGAGAAAUAGCUUGACAUGACCCUACCUGUCGUGCAUCAGGUCUAGCUUGGGCCAAAAAUUUUGAAAACCAACAUUUUUUCAACCUGACCCGACUUUGAAGGGAAAUUGGGCAAGACACAAAGUAUAGCUUGUGUAUCAAUGAUUUUAUUAUCUUUUCAUUUAACCAAUAUGCUUUUCUUUAAUGGCUACACAAGACAUUGAUUUUACCAACCGUGUUCAUCAAAUAACACAUAUCAUAUUCUAGACUCUCCAUGUAGUUGGUGGUUGGUGGCAACAGUGCAGGGCUCUAGUUUUUAAUGAUGAGUGGGUGUAGAAGAUGACCCAACACAAAUAAAAAAUAAUGGGAGUUUAUCAAUGUGAAUGAAAAAAAAGAAAUUACAACUUGUUGUUUGGAAAAUAACACAGAGAGGAGAGAUACAUUUGACAUAGGAUUUUUGACUCAUAGUGGAUCAUUAACGAUGAAGAGAGUUAGAAAUAAUCAAUUCAUUUUCUUUUAAAUAAAUUAAUAUUUGAUGAUAUGGACCCUCAUUCUACCCUAGGGCUUGAUGGCAUGCAUGUGGUAUUUUACAAAGAGUAUUGGGACUAGGUAAAAGAGGUGAUGUUAUAAAUAUUCAAACUACAUAUAUACAAAUGUACCCAACUUGGGGAGACUUAAAUAAGAUCAAAUCUCUCUAAUUCCAAACUUAAGGGAGACCAGUACUAUAAAACGAUAUAGGCCAAUAUACUUACUCAAUGUGGAUCACAAGUGGUUUACUAAAGUAUUAUUCGCAAACUCGCACUAGUAGUAGAGAAGAUCAACACAUACAUUCAAAGGGAGUGCUCAUAUACAUGAACUUUCAUACCUUUGGGGUGCAUAAAUUAUUCCCAUUUCAUGUGUUUUUCUCUAUGAAAAAACACUGAUUCAUGUGACAUUACUAUGUGAUUCCCAUGAAAUUCCUGCAUUCCAAAGGGACCGAGUGAAAAAUGCUAUUAUUUAAAGUUGGAUUUUGAUAAAUCUUACGAUAAGAUAGAGUGGAAAUUUAUAUGGGAGAUCUAGAGAGUAAAAACUUUGCUAGGGAAUGAAUGGAGAGUUUGGAUGAGACAACUUAUUUAAGGAAGAAGAGUGGGUAUCACCAGUGGCGUUCAUGGAAAUUCUUUUUAAGGGAUUGAGACAUGGUGAUCCACUCUCUCCAUUGAUGUUCUACCUUGUGCGAGAUGCUCUAUAAACUGUUGUGGGAUGCUAGGGAUUGUGUACAUAUUAUUAGAGGACUAAUUCCCCAUCAUAUAGAUGGAUGUAUUACACUUAUAUCCUGCAUAUGAUGCAUUCAUUUUUUAUUGAAAAUGAUGGAAGGUAUUGCUAACAUCAAAUUUCUGUAAUGUUGUUUUGAGACUAUAUUUGGCCUAGAAAUCAACUAUCAAAUGAAUGAGGUGUUUAUAGUAGGAAUUAAUGAACUCGAGUAGGAAAAAUUAUAGAUGUUUUUAACCAUAAAACAAGGCACUUAUGAAAUACCUAGGCAUUCUAGUUGAUGUGUAUUAUACGAAUAUGGAGAAGUUUGGGUAUGUCUACCAAAAAAUAGAGAAGAGAGACCAACAUAGCAUAGUUGUAUGCUAUCCUAUAUGGACGAAAAAUAAUUUUGUGCGAAUCAUGCCUAAGUUCAAUCCCUAACUAUGUGAUGGGUAUGUUCAUUUUUAUGAGUGCACAAAUGGAAACUUCUAGAGAAACCUUUUUAUAACAUGGGCAAGGAAUAAAAAAGGCAUCAUAUAGUGAAAUGACGUAUUUCAUACACCAAAAGAGAGAUGGGUUGACUUGCUUUUACUUACACCAGAGUGAUGAAUAAGCGUCUUCUAGCGAAAUGGACAUACAAAUUGGAAUAGGGAGACAAUAGUCCAUAUUGUGAGUUGCUCAUAAACAAGUAUUUUGGAGAAAAAGUUUCUUUAGUUCUAACGACUAACGUACAAUAGAGGUGGUUCAUAGUUUUGAUUUGGGCUACAAGAAGCUAAAAAUGAGUUUCUAAGAUGAUUAAAUCACAUAGUUCAUAAUGGGAAAAGACAAGAUUUUGGCUAGAUGUUUGGUAACUAGUAGGAUUGGACUAUGGUAAAAGUAAUGAGGGGAGAUAAGAUGAAGUUAAGUUUUAGGAGGAAUAUUGGCACAAUUGAAUGCUCAGAAUGGGAUGAGAGCAGAUCUAAUAGACUCAGUUAUACUUAGUGAUGAGGCAAAUACACUAUCUUGGGCGCUUGAUAAAUCUAGAGAAGUGUAAGCUAUGUGGACUAAGAGAAACAUGCGAUCAUAUUAUUAUUAAGUGUAUUGUUGCACAUUUUGUUUGGUGGUGUUAUAUAGAAGUGCUUCUGGAAUACUAUGCCAAUGUUCACACAAAGAUUUUCUAGUUGGAUAUCAUGUAUGCUCAAAAUAAAAGGAAGAGAGAGAUUUUGAUUUACUUGCUGGAGUGUAUAUGUUGGAGUCUCUGGUUAUUAAAAAUGGUAAAGUAAUAGAAAUGUAGUUGUGACUUCACCUCACCAUUCAUUGUUCUCUCUGAUUUUUAUGUAGACAUGGAACAUUCUCCUAAAGGCACAAUAUCGAUGAUGGGUGUGUUCCAUGUAGUUUUAUGUAGACAUGGAACAUUCUCUAGCACCUUCAACAAGCGAUGAUCCUGCGCCUUCAGGAGAAUGUUCAAUGUAGUUUUAAUGUAGAGGGAGUUUCCGUAUGGUUGUGAUAACAUUUGCUUCAUAAGUUUGUGUGACAAACCCUAUAAGCUAGUGUCCCAACCUAAAUUGCUUUCUAUAUAAAGUUGGGCUGAUCUGUCUAUGGUCUAAAAAAAAUAAAGGAUAUGAGAACUGGAAAACCUCAUCAAUGGAUUUCAUGGGACUUUGUGAGCAAAUGAUUGGAUAACCCAUGACACCACGUAGAUUCAAAUAUGAUGGCGAUGAUGGAGGUGGUCAGGGUUAGGGUGCUUAAGGGGUUUUCCAUGUACGGUUCUAAUCGCUAAUACCAAACUUUGAAGUUGCAACUAAGAAAUUAACGGCGGUGGUCUAGGAAGCAAUAUAAAUGGGUGGUGCCAAUUGUCAAGAGACCAUUAUACAACAAAUGCAUGGUGAUAAAAAUAUUUGUGGCAACCUAGUGGUGCAGGAACAAGAGGUGGCAAUGGUUUGCUUGGAUGUUGCCGGAGUUACUAGCUUGUUGGUGGACGAAGAGGAGAUUGAGAUGCGAUAGGGCAGCCAUGAUAUUACUAGAGUAGCCAAAGGCAUCAGUAGUAGCAUGCUAUGCUUAGCUUGCAUCGUUACAAAAUAUAUAUAUGAUGUUGUUAGUUUGGAUAGCUACCUUGCAAUCGUAAUAUAUUUUUGAGUGUUCACAACUAAUAAAUGACUAAUGGCAAUAGUCUUAACAAAGUGAAUAAUACCGACAACAUGAUUUUUCGAGUGCAUAUUACUUAUUACACAUGAUUUUAGGUUUCGUAAGCUAAAUAUUGCAGAGGAUAAGCUUAUUAUCUUUCAUACAAAGAAAAGAAACUUCAAUAUAUCUCCUUAUUAGUCAUGAUAUAAAUCCACGAUGUGCAUCAUUUCAUAAGAUAUAAAACGGUGUGGAAGUCUUUGCCAUAUACCACUAUCGCAAUUAUGACCAAUAAUUAUCCCAUGACAAUUUGUAGAAAAAGGAUAGCAUAAGAAAAUUUAGAUGGUAUAUUUCCUAUAUAUAUAUAUAUUUUAAAUUAAAGAUGUUUUGGCUUUUCUCCUAGAUACAUAUAUUUGUUUUAUUACUAUGUAUUUAGACACAGUGUAUGUCUAAGUAUAUAGCAAAAGAUACAUAUCUAGAAAUAUUAAAAUAUCUUAUAGUUUAGAACAGAAGGAGCAGUAGACUUAGCCAUAUCUACAUACUAUUGCUAACCUUGUGUGUCUAGAGGCUACAACUCGGCUCUAAGAUAUUUUACAAUAAGCUCGCAUGUAAUCUAGAAUUUUUUAGAUAGUGAUUUUGAAGAGACGACGAACUCCAAAAGAUUCUUUAGAGCAAAAUUUACAGGACCAAACCGUUAAUCUUCUGGCCACAUGAACUAAUCCGGCUGUGUGAAGGGGAGAAAUAUUGACACACCGUGUAUUUUUUUUUUGAGUCACCGUGUUAGUUCUUUCGAAAAUUAUGAUUUUUAGCGUCACAAUUUUGACCAUCGGCUGUAACGUCUCUCAAUGGGUUAGGUAGUGGGGUACAUACGACAUAUUUUACCAACUCUGUAAACAUCGUCAAAAUUAAAUAACUAGUAGCAUCAUCAUCAUUACUCUGAUGCGUUUCAAGGAUGCCGCCAAAUUUAGGCGGCGAAAUGCCAUUUUGAAUUUCAAUUUCAAAUUCCCCGUGGGCGCAGCCGCGGCCUGCACACCAGGAUACCCUCCCAAGCCGCCGCCGCCGCCGCCGCCUCCUCCUCAUCUUCUUCCUCCUCGUGUUCGUCUUGUUCCCCUCCGGCCGCGCAGGUUGAUUUGAGCGGCCGGCGUCGAACCGAAUCCCAUCCCAGGAGGACCAUCAAAAGCCGCCGCGCGCAGACAUCCAUCCAUCAUCCCAUCCCGCCCGUGGUCGCCAUUGCUCGCCGCACAGGGCAGACGUGUGCACACCGCACACGCCAACUCACUCGCCAAGAACAGAAGAGGGAACAGGAAACUGACGAGCUGACGAGAGGGCGAGAGCGACAAAAAAAACUGACCCUUUCUCUCACGUUAAAAUCCCCCCCGCUCCCCGUCUGCGCUCUCCACACCCCCCAGCAAUCCCUACCCUAAUCCCUCCCCCGCCGCCGGCGCCCAGAUCGCAUCUGCGCCCUCGCCGAUCGCCUCCCGUAACCCCCACACAGCGCAAGCUCCUCGCGCCGUUCGUCGAUCGCCGGCUGAAGCGCCCGCCGCCUGUAAGCGGUUGGCCGCCGGGAGGAAGAGAGGCUCUCCGCUCUCGUAGCGUGUUUCGGAUCGGGCUCCCGCGAUCGACCAUGGUGGACGUCGCUGAGUGCUCGGCGGCGCCCGUGCCCGUGCCCGAGGACGAGGUCGAGCCGGCGCACCCGGACCCCUCGUCGAUCCCGCCCGACGCCUGGCGGCGCUUCGAGAGCGCCGCGCUUGGUGUGGUGAACAAGAUCCAGCCCACCGUCGCCUCCGAGAACUUCCGCUCCGCCGUCAUCGACUACCUCAAGCGCCUCCUUGGAUCCCGCGCAGGGGUUCAGGUACUCUACUUGCUCUGCUCUGGAUCUACCUUCCCUGCGGCUACAGUUUUGUUUUGCAGUCCUAGUGUUCUAGUAUAGCUUAGAGCUCUCGGGCUUUACGCAUCAGUGUCUAGAUGUUUGCUCAGUCUCUGCUGCGAUAUGAGCAGCCAUAUCUGGGUGCUUUGGGAGGAAUUUAGUCACUACUGUCUCAGUGCCCUUGUUCAUGUUUUAGGUCAUGGAAUUGAAUAGUUAGGGUUAACAUGCUGGCUGUGUGUUCCUGCUGUAGAGUUGGUUGUUGCCAUUCUUGCCAUUUCAUUUUUAUGUGUUUUUUGGCGCGAAACCGGUAUAUAUAAGAGCUUGUGUUUUUAAAUUCUUGUCGUUUGUUGCGUGUCAAGGUGCGUGAUUAUGAGUAUAAAUGUGUAACGGUAUGGAUAUACUUUGUCGGUUGCGCACUUGAGUCUCUAUGUGAUUUGGUGAGUAGGACUACAGGACCUUUUAUGGCAUACAAAACCUAGAUGUUUCAUCAGUCUCUGCUAUGCUGAAAGCUUGUCAUAUCCUUCAGAUCACUCCAAUGGCUGUUUGGGUGCUUUAGGAGGAAUGAGUGCUUUAGGAUGAAUCAGUCAUUACUGUCUCAGUGUCCCUGUUCAUGUUUUAGGUCAUGGAAUUGAAGUUAGGGUAAACAUGUUGGGUGUGUUCCUGCUGUGGAGUUGGUUGUUGCGAUGCUUGCUAUUUAAUAAUUGCUGGCAUGUGAUUUUUGGUGCGAAACUGGUAAUAUAGCGAGCUCUUGUUUUUAAACCCUUUUCAUUUGUUGCUGGGGUCCUUUAGGUGUCAAGUGAUUAUUGGUGAUGAGAGUAUAAAUGUGUAACGGUAUGGAUAUACUUUGUCGGUUGUGCACUUGAGUAUCCACGUGAUUUGGCGGGCAUGACCUUUAAUGGGAGGGUGAACUAUGUGUUGGCAUGUGUUUUUGAGUACCGCAUUAAACGCAGCAAAAUUGUUGAUAGUGUAUUGGAGGUCUGGGCAUGCCAUUUAUCUUAGUGUCUGUUUUAGUGACGUGUCCCUUCAAACAUUGCUCAUGUUAUUUGGAAGGAGCAGCUUUGGCCUUUUGUUAUGCCUCUGUCAAGGUGUCAGGACAUCUUAAACUGAUUUAUUCUAGCAACCUGACUCUAUCUAAGAUACAUUAUUUGAAUAUAUAACAUGUAUAUCAUUAAUUGUACAUUCUUAAGAUGUGCUCUAGAAGCAUCAUAAAUUAUGGUACAAAUGAAUGAUCUUUGUGUUUGUACAUGUACAAAUAUUGAAUAUGUAACUGAGUAAAACAUGGAACUUUGUGAUUGAGUGGCGUUUCUGCAUUUAUAUACUUAAUUACUCAUAGAUAGUUGCUAGGAUUGAUUGUAUCGUGAAAGGAUUAUAUGUAAAUAGCCAUGAUAGUUUUACCAAAUUUAUGCUACAAUUGUUGUAGUGUGAUGAUUGUACCAAACUAUGAUCCUAUUCCUAUCUAUGAGUGAAUCGGUAGAUAAAUCUAGGAGUAUAUGGUGUAAGGGUUUAAAAUUUUACUCAUGUUUUUGACUUGGCUGUCGUUGUUAAGGUUGUUUUGGAUUGCUGUUCAUAUGAGUGGACACAUAGAUCUGGCAGACAUGUGUCACAAUUUGAGAGGUAAAUUGGCUACAAGGCUUACAGGGAUAAAUUCAGUUGUUUAAUAAUAAGCCACUAAGGCAUGUUUUAGUGGAUUACUUGUUUGCUUCCUCUGCAUGUGCCUGAGUGAGAUAUCGCAAUUUUACCAAGGUUUGGUGCUGUCUUAAUGCUAUAUUAAUGCCAUUUCAGAGGGAUUGUACUGCAAACUUAACCUUUACGUUUGUAAAACAUAGGUCUUCCCAUUUGGGUCUGUUCCACUGAAAACAUAUCUUCCUGAUGGAGAUAUCGACUUGACUGCAUUCAGCCCUGCGAUUUCUGAUGAGAAUCUAGCAAAUCAAGUCUAUGCUAUUCUAAGUUCAGAACAGCAUAGGAAGGAUUCUGAAUUUGAUGUCAAGGAUGUCCAGUAUAUCCAUGCUGAGGUAUUUCAAUUUACCAUAUUGCUCUGUGUUUCGAAUGCAUAUAUAUGCAAUUUGAGGUCAAACAUUGAUAUAUCAUCUUUUGGAUUUUUCACUUUACUGGAGGUGUUUGUUUCAUAUGACCACUUGUCUAAUUAACAUACUUCGAAAUCCCUGCACUCGUACAUAUGAACAUCGAUUUAUGUGCAUUAUGUAAAAAAAAUGGAAUUUCCCAUUUCUCUAUACUUGAAUGCAACUCUUUGUCUUGUUUAAUUAUGACAUCGGUGGAGCAUAUGAAUGUGCCGCUAUUUCUAUAGGUGAGAAUGUUAUUUCAUGUAUUGUUAUCCUAUGAUAAAUCUUCCUUAUGGGCUAUGGCAGGUUAAACUGGUAAAAUGUCUUGUACAGAAUAUUGUUGUAGAUAUAUCUGUGAAUCAAAUUGGUGGACUCUCUACGCUCUGUUUUCUGGAGAAGGUAAUAUUUCAAUGUUGUUUGGUUCUUGCUGUUGUCUUUCCUUAAACCUCAGAUCUGGUACUUGUAUAAUCCUCCUUUCCAAAUUAUAAGACGCUUUAACUUUUAUAUUAUAGACGCUUUAACUUUCCAAAUUAUAAACUACAUAUCUAGAAAAGCCAAAACAUCUUAUAAUUUGAAAUGGAGGGGACAGUUAAUAACAUAAAAAGCAUUUUACAAGGACUACUGCCUUCUUCGGAGUUGCUUAUGCCUUCAUUUACAGGUCGAUGAAAAUUUUGGAAAAAAACACCUGCUCAAACGAAGCAUAGUGCUUAUUAAAGACUGGUGUUACUACGAAAGUCGCAUCCUUGGUGCUCAGAAUGGAUUGCUAUCUACGUAUGCCUUGGAGGUUUUAGUUCUGUACGUUUUCCUUAUCUUCCACAGGUCCUUGGGUGGUCCCUUAGCUGUAAGUUUUGGCCUGAACUUUGCUGUUGCAUCUAUCAGUUUUUUGUGACCUUAUCAAAGUUCUUCAAGAUAGAGUACUUCCCAGGGGUGAAUGACUAUCUGCCCUUCUGCAGGUCCUCUAUAGGUUUCUCGAUUUCUAUAGUAAAUUUGAUUGGGAUAGCAAGGGAAUCAGCUUGUUUGGUCCUGUUUCCUUAUCUUCACUACCUAAUCUAGUUAGUAAGUAAAUGAACUCUCAAUAAUGCAGUAUGUUGGCUUGAUGCAACGUAAAUUUAUUGAUCAUUGACAUGACUUUUAUUCAACAGCUGACCCUCAUCUACCAGCUAUUGAUGAUGAUUUUUUUGUUCCACGGGAAAAGAUUCUUAGAAAAUAUGCAGAAGAUUUUAGUGCCCCUCCUAGAAACUCUGAGAGAGACGCACAAGUAUUUUCUCGGAAGUUUCUAAAUAUUGUUGAUCCACUGAAACAGAGUAAUAAUCUUGGACGCAGUGUCAACAAAGGUAUUGUUCUGCCUCUUGAUGUGAAUUGUGGUAGUAGGGACUAAUCAGGUACUAUGGUGAUUUCCUAAAAAGAUUCAAGCUUAAUUGUAUUAUUCCAUGUGCAGGGAACUUUUACCGAAUACGUAGCGCAUUUGAUUUUGGUGCUCGUAAGCUUGGGAAGAUUCUUCAAAUGCCUGUCUGUUAUACUGUCAAUGAAGUGAAUCAGUUCUUCUCGAACACAUUAAAGAGAAAUCAUACUGGGUUCAGACCAGACGACGGCAGUUCACCUUUAUACAGCAAUCCCUAUGGUGAUCUGUCUUAUCAGUUUAAUAACAUCUUGAAUGAUCUCACUGGAGAUUUCGAGAUAAACUUCCGUAAUCUUCAGUAUGCGCAAGGGUUCCAGCAAGUUAAUCCAGCAAACUCAUUUUACUAUGGAAGGCUUGCUCCACCACCCCUGCAAUAUCAGAACACGCACCCUUCAGAUAGUCAGGGAAGAAAAAAUCCACAUGCAUAUGCUAGCAUGAAUGGAGCAAUCCCUUGUCCUCCUUACCCAUCUGGUUGUCUUGCGUGGAGGCCAUUUAUUCAACCAGAUGAUCCUAUGGCUAUGAGGGCCCGUGGAAUAGGCACCUACUUUCCUGACCCAGUAUGUUCCCUCCAUGGACAUUCUAGAUAUGCUUGUAGAACUUAAAGUAACAUUUCUGAAUAAUCUGUAUCUGUCACUUGCCAUGUGUUCUUUUUGUUUCAAAUGAUGUACAUGUGCGCACAUAUUAAUGUUCUUCUAAUCUGUUUAUCAUUUUAUUAGAGUUACUAUCCUUUUUCAUAUGCAAUAAUCUUGAAGAUGUCUCCAUUAUGCUUAUGAGUUUACUACAUAGUAGAAUUACUUUAGGUUGGUUAGGCAUCAAAUUUGUAUUUGGACAGCUUUGUCUUGUAUUCGUGAUAAUUUUGUCUUGUUGGAUGCUGUAGAGAUUGUGCAAGGAUAGACCACCCGCUGGGCGUGGGGAGAGAGAAAAAAAUCAGUUCACCUAAAAUAAUUAUCAUCACUAUGUCAGAACAGAUAUGCCUGCAGUAUGGGAUCUGGUCAGGAAUUUGGGCAUGAGCUACCACAGAUACAUAUUACUGGUGCAACUGAUCAUGGAAUGCCGGCCAUCUCCAUCUCCCAACUCUCCAAGAGAUCAAUUGAAGGUACGAGUUCAUUCUCCAUCUUUCCAGGUUCGAAGGGAUAAUUUUCAUGGCAAUGGUUUCAUGCUCCCGCAAGACAGUAAACUUGAGUCUGGUACUUUUGACAGUAAACUUGAGGCUGGGACCUCUGGGGCGUUGCCUUUGGAAGUUACCUCCAAGGACCAUGCUAGCAGAUCAGAAUCUGCUUCCAGCAAUCAAGUUUUUGGACCUGUGAGUAUUGUUUCUAUUCUCUGAAACACUACGACAGGUUCCAACCGAAUGAGGUAGGUAUGGCAUAUUAUUUUCAUUGCCAGCACUAACAAUAAUUGUAUGACAGAAGUGAUGUUUAAUUUAGUGGACAUUUCCAUGCAUGUUACAACAAUUAGAUGUUUUACUCUCCGUUAGUUUAGUGUUUCUGCAAAGUUAUUUAGAUGGUUGUGAUGUUCACUGUUGGGCAUUAAGGCCAGUCUCAAUGUGAUUUCAUCAGAGUUUCAUGGGCAUUAAAUAUGCUGAUGUGGCACUGUAUUAAUGAAGUGAGAGAUGACAAGAGUUUCAUAGGAGCAGAGAGAGUUUCAUCCCCAUGAAACUCUUCCGCACUGUUUCCAAAAUCAGAUGUGUUGCAAAGUGGGACAUGAAACUCCCCAUUGAGACUGGCCUAAUACAUGGAGUAAAUUGUAUCGUAACCCCCUAAAACUUUUGAGUAUAUCUUACUGGGGUCCUUGGUCUUGACUCUUGAGAACCACAAAUGCAUACCCACUAACCUUAUAUAAUUGAGGACAGGGGAGGUUCAAUCCUUUGUGAUUGAUAAUUACUAACAAUGGGAGACCAUUCAAGUUGCCGUUGGUCACACUAUUAUUACCAUGUAAAUCAACAAAGAAUUGAUGUCCUUGGAUUUCGAUGUCUUUUCAAAUUUGUUAAUGCAGAUUUUACUAACUUACCAUUUUAAGCUUACUGAUGUAUAUACGUCUAGAUAUGUUUGGGGCUAUUAAUGUGCAUAUUCUCAAACCUAUGGGAUAUGGACCUACCCACACUUAUUUUUGAUUUACUCUAGCCACACUUGUUUUCAAGGCAGAAAACAUGCUAGUUCAGCUUAAAAAUGCACUCCUUUUCCCUCGUACCAUCCAUCUUGUAGGUUUUGUACUCAGUUUACAGAGUUUACAAUGUCUGACCCCGCACUGUACAAUUUUACAGGAUUGCGGAAUCAUAUCUCCUCAAGGACAACAUGGACUUCCCACCAUAUCCAGUUGAAUGUUGGUGGUGAUACACUGUAUGAACUGGGAGGUAACAGGCAACGCCGCACUAAACCACUAAGAGAAAAAUACCAAUGAAUGGUGUGUGCUUACUGCAGCAAUGGCAUGGAGUUGCUUCGUCGAAUUAGACACCAUGUUGUACAUCCUGCCACUUCCUUCCUGUACUCCAGUUGUCAGAUUCACCAGGUCGCUGCAAUCAGCCUAUGCUUCUUUCAUGUGCGAAAGGAGAAAAAAAGGGGGCCAACAAGAAAAGGAAGAAAGGAAGAAAGAUGGGGUGCUUGGACUUGAUGUGUAGAUACUUUUUACUGGUCAUGGCAGGGAAGAGAUAUGUUGGAGCGCUUGUUGGUUGUGUUGUUUUGAGCUAGGGAUGAGGGGAGCUGGAGCUUGCUAUGCCCAUGUGUAAAAUGUAAUGAGAAUAGUGUUGUAACCUCUGCUUGCAUUUGGAUGGAGGUCUUGUGUUGAAAAGCCCUGCUGUUUGAAGUAACUUUAGGUGUUUUAAAAAUGGCUAGGUAGACAGAAUAUAUUGGAUUAAUAGUGAAAAUUGAAGUAUUUAGUCUUUGCCAUAAGAAAAAUGGCUAGGUGGAGAGAAUGUUCACAUUCCAGUAAUCUAUGGAAUCUGUUUCAAUUUUAUGCUAGGUAAUGGUGUCUUAAGUGAGAAAAAAUUGUUGCUCAAAUCAUCUAAACGCAUAUAUGUGAUAACUAUAUGUAUCAGAAGAUAGAGAAGUAGUAUGCUAGCUAAUCUAUAAAAUUGUUGUUCCCUAGCAGAAAAGAAAGAAAAAAAAGGUUUUCUUCACAAACACAAACAAGGAUUCUGUUUGUCUUGUGAACCUAACAAUAUGUAAGGCAAAGUCCGUACUUCAGUGCACUGCACUGCAAGAUUACAGGUCUGUGCUGCUGAGUUGUUUUAUCUUUGUUUCCACUCGGUGAAAUGCGUGUAUUAGGGAAGGUCUAUGUCCUUUCGAUCAGUCUUGACCUGGUUUGCUUAGCAGCAAAACAGACAUACAAUCCACAGUAGUUUAGGGCAAUAUUUUCAUUUCAUGUCAUUUUCAAGACCCCAAUAAUUAUGUUUAUUCAUUCUCUAUAUGAGAUAUCACAUUAUAGCAAACAAUAAUUAUUUCUACUCAGAUUGAAGCCAUGCUAACCCGUGGUAUGUAUGUACUUCAAUUAUGCUCACUUCUGUAAUUUUGAUGUGGGACUGAGUCAUGUUCAAUGGUUCAUUUGGUUUACAUACCGCAGUGGAAGAAAAAUAAUCAACCAGACCAAUAUACAUUGUUGGCGUAAAUAGUAGUUUGUAAGAGGGCUUAUAUGUAAUAUUGAGAAGAAAAGGAUAAACAGACUCUAGUCUAGGAGUGAGCCAGCCAGAAAACUUCCCUCAAAUUUCAAUAUGCUAUCCAGAGCUAGGGUUAGGUUUACCUCAGGUGGUGGCACGGGCGAGUUGCUGUGACGGUGCGCCGGCAGGGGCUGCGCGGCCAGGCGAAGUGGAGGUGUGGUCGCGCGGGCCUGGCUCGGUGUGUGCAGGCGUGAACAGGAGCGAUGCGCGGGCAUAAGGACGUGCGUGCGGACCAGGUGGCACGUGUGUACGGGCGCGAGCUGCAAGUGCAGGCUGGGGCGCGAGGCUUGUGCUCGGCUGCUCGUGCAGGUGUGGGCGGCAGGCUUGUGCUCAGGCUAUGCGUGGCUGUGGUCAAGAGCAGAGAAAGAGGAGGCUAACAGGCUCCUGGUGUCUGCUUUGUUUAGAUAAUGAAUAGUUCAUAUCCGGCUUCAUCUACAAAGGUAGACUCUGCUGGAGAGGAAGAAGGCGUUGCUCUGCUGCAGCUUAAGAUGAGGGAGAAGGAGCUUGCGAGAGAACUAGGCUUGCGGGAGAACUGCUGCUGUGUUGGUGUGCUGCUGCUCAAGAGAACUGCUGCUGCGUUGGUGCGCUGCUGCUCAAGAUAGAGAGAGAAGGGGCUUGCACUGAGAAGAGGAAGGAGAUGCUGGUGCUCUGUACUAUUGUGUGAGGAAGAAGGUGUCACUGCUUGUUCAGAUAAUGGAUCCUGAAGGGGAAGCAAGGAAGAAAGCAGAAGGAGAAGCGAAUAUGGCAUCAGACAACGAUAGUAGUGGUGGAGGUGAUCCUCUAAUUACCAAGAGUGAGAUGAAGAGUGAGAUGAGGUUUAUGAUUUUGGAGCUCCUGGAGAUGGGCAUGAUUGGUUCCAAGCCACACGAGUUGAAGUUGGAACUGAUGCCAAAUGAUGUGAAGCUAGAGGAAAGUAAAAAUUAUUUGAGUUGAGCUAGAAGAGUAAAGGUGCUUCUAGGAGCAAAAAGGGCAGAGCACUAUCUAGCGGAGGAUUGUGUUGAGCCGGCUAACAAGCUUAGCCCCGAGUGGAAAGUUCAGUGUACGACUAACUCUACCAUAGUGGCGCGGUUAUUGGCAUUUAUGUCACCAUCUGUUAGUAAAAUGGUGGAAGCUAUGCCUACUGCAACACAGAUAUGGAAAACCCUGAGUAACAUGUAUUCCAGGCGAGGGAAUGUGAUGGUGAUUAUGGAGAUUCAAAACAAGGUUGAUGUAGUGAAAUAAGCGGGACGGUCAGUGGAGCAAUAUGAUAGUGAGUUGCAGUACUUGUGGGAAGAGCUAGACCACUAUGCUCCAAUUCAUAUGAGGGAUCCAUAGGAUACCUAGGAUGUCCAGAAGUGGGUAGAGGACAGGAGGGUGACUCAUUUCUUAAGAAACUUGGAUCUUGAGUUUGAGAGCAGGAGGGUUGCCUUUUGUCACUAGGAUAGUCUUCCUACUAUGGAGGAAGCUGUGUUAGCCAUGGUUAUUAAGGAGAGCAGACUACGCAUGAUGAGUGGUAAUAACCCUGUAAAGUCAGCCUACACCUUAGUGGCAGAGAGAAAGUGCUACAAUUGUGGAGAGGAGGGACACUUGAGUUAUAAUUGUCCCCUUCCAAAAAGCUAUGGUGGUAGAAGUAGAACUCGUGGAGGUCAUGGUGAUCAAGGAGGUCAUGGUGGUCGUGGUGGAGGAUGUGUAGAAGUAUGUGGCAGAGGCCAUGGUGGUCCUCAGGCCAAUGUUGCUACCUCGGAGAGUGGUUCUCAUGUCACUAUUGCUACCAUAGGGGGAUAUUCCAUCUGUCACAUUGACCGAGGAGCAAGUCAAGCAGUGAGAACAAUGGCAGAAGAUGAAAGGACCAGAGAGUUCUAAAACCACUUCAGAUGGUCCUGUGAUUGCCAGAGGUGAUUGUUGGGAGAACCCACCAUGUUUAGCGAAGAAUAGGGAAAUAGUUGCAAAAGAGCCAAUGGUGUACCGAAGGAGGCGGUUUAGAAGUCAGGGGGAGCAAGUUGGUACAUCACAGCCACAAUAGUCUGUUUCAUCAGUCUCAAACCUCUCCUCAAACCUCUCUCCAUUGAGCUCCUCGACCCAAUCUGGGCCAAGUGGUAAUGCCUCUUCUACUCCUGAGCAUGUAGAGUUACCUCUUGCAUAUCGUAGAGAUACUAGAUCUAAUUUUGGAAACCUCCUGCUCGCUAUGGAUUUGAGCAUCCUAGUACAGAUCAUGACAUUGCUAAGUUUCUCUCAUACUCCCAUCUCUCACCUGCAUAUAGAGUAUUUGUUGCAUCAUUACAAACAGUGCCUAUUCCAAGGGACUGGAAGUGUGCAAAGUAGGACCCUAAGUGGAACACAGCAAUAGCAGAAGAGAUGAAUGCUCUUCAAAAGAAUAAUACAUAGGAAUUGGUCCCACUCCCAAAGGGGAAGAGAGCGGUGGGCUGUAAGUGGGUCUUCACUGUGAAGCAAAACCCAAAAGGAGAGGUGGAUAGGUACAAGGCAAUAUUGGUUGCAAAAAGAUAUAGUCAAACGUAUGGCAUUGACUAUGAUGAGACCUUUGCUCCUGUGGCAAAGAUGGGUACAGUUAGGACCUUGAUCUCUUGCGCAGUUAACUUUGGUUGGCCACUUCAUCAAAUGGAUGUAAAGAAUGCAUUCCUUCAUGGUGACCUACAAGAGGAGGUCUAUAUGGAAAUCCCACCAGGGAUUGCAAAUAGUCAAACUAUGGGGAAGGUGUGUAGGCUUAGAAAGUCAUUGUAUGGAUUAAAGCAGUCACCUCGGGCAUGGUUUGACAGGUUUAGAAGGGCAGUUUGUGGUAUGAAAUACACUCAAUGCAAUGGUGACCAUACGGUCUUCUAUAAGCAUAGAGGGGCGUUUAUCACAAUUAUGGCAGUAUAUGUGGAUGACAUAGUGAUUACUGGAGAUGAUGCAGAGGAGAUUAAGUGUCUGAAAGAAAAUCUUGGAAGGGCCUUUGAGGUGAAGAAUUUAGGACCACAUCGGUAUUUCCUCGGAGUUGAGAUCGCUAGGUCACCUAAAGGGAUUGUUCUCUCUCAAAGGAAAUAUGUCCUUGAUUUGUUGGCAUAAACUGGAAUGCUUGGAUGUAGACCGUGCAAUACUUCCAUUAAUAAAAAUCAUCAAAUUAGCGCCCAGGCUGGAGAUUCUGUCAACAGAGAAACAUAUCAAAGGUUGGUUGGGAGAUUGAUAUACUUGUGUCAUACAAGACCUAAUAUUUCUUAUGCUGUGAGUGUGGUAAACAAGUAUAUGCAUGACCCAAGAACAGAACAUAUGGAAAUAGUCUACAGAAUAUGAACAUGCACUUAGAUCUGGAGGGAUAUUGUGAUGUAGAUUGGGUAAGUAGCACAGAUGAUAGAAGGUCUACUUCUAGUUAUUGUGUGUUUGUGGGGGUAAUCUUGUCUCAUGGUGUAGCAAGAAGCAAGCGGUUGUGGCUCGAUCUACAACAGAGGCCGAACAUAGGGCAAUGGCAUGAGUUUGUGUGAGAUGUUGUGGUUAAAAGGUUUGUUGAAAGAGCUACGAGUGUUGAGAAAUGAGAUCAUGAUACUUCACUGUGACAAUGUAGCUGCAAUCAAUAUUGCAAAUAAUCUUGUCCAGUUUGAUCACACUAAACAUGUUGAGAUUGAUAGAUUCUUCAUUAAGGAGAAGCUGGAUAGUGGGAUUCUAAAGUUGGGUUAUGUAAAAUCAUGUAGUCAAUUAGUGGAUUGUUUCACAAAAGGUUUAGGACCUAAUGAGAGUGAGUUGACUUGUAAUAAGAUGGGCAUGUUAGAUAUCUUUAGCCCAUCUUAAGGGGGAGUGUUGGUGUAAAUAGUAGUUUGUAAGAGGGCUUAUAUGUAAUAUUGAGAAGAAAAGGAUAAAGAGACUCUGGUCUAGGAGUGAGCCAGCCAGAAAACUUUCCCCAAAUUUCAAUAUACAUGUUUCCUCCUAUAUCACCUUUUCGAUAGUAUGGACAGUAAAAAAAACUUGCUUCAUUUGAAAUAAAAGAGUCAGAUGUCAAAUAUUGCCAAAUUCAAUUUCUUAAAAGGUAAUUCUUUAUAGAAGCACCGGGCUCACAAGUCCCAAAUGAAACAUACGUGGACCCUUUGUGGCAUUAUGUAUGUUAUGUAGGCCAAUUUGUAGUGCUUCUUUCUUUAAGGUGUCAUUUUUCUCUUUGUUCCCAUGAUUAUGCAAUUUUUUCAGAAAUAACAUGAAACAAUGUAACUUGGGGUAACUUAUAUAAAGAAGACAUAUAAGUGACACAAAAUUCUAGUAGGAAUGUGCAUGCUUUUAGUAGUGGUGAAAUAUCUAAAUUGACUCCAUUCAUGUCAAGAUGAUAUGGGGCAUUCUUGCAUAUUUAUUGCUCCUUGUUAGGCAAUAUUGCAUGAAGGAUUCAGACGAUAGAAAUGCCAUGGGAAUUCAAAGUUAAGUGCGCAACGACAAUGAUUUUACGUGGAAAAAACUCCUCAACAUGAGGAGUAAAAAACCACGGGACCAACAUAGGCCUAUUUCCAUAUCUUGCAUUGUUAGUAAUGGUAGGUACAUCCGCACAUAUGUACAAUGGAAUUCUUUUGUGAUCACACUUGGAAAAUGGAAAGCAUACUUGCAUGACGACCAUAUAGCAUAAAAGACGUCCGCAGGAGAAUUAAAUACCAAAACCAUAUAAUCCUUCUGUUUUCAGACCCAAUGAACACUGUCAUCAGUCAUCACCAAGUCGCACUGCCCUGAAGGCCUGAACCUGCCAACUGAGAAAAUUCCUUGAACCACCGCAGUAACUGGAAACUUAUAUCACUCUCAUUUGACUGCAGCUGCCAGACUGAUCUGAUGAAUCUCUUCUCACUUGCCAUUUUUCUUUGGUUGAUUUAUUUUGUGGCUGCUGAUUGAACAGUUAUGCCAAGCUCUUUUUGCUCCCCUAAGCCUGAGAUUGGAAAGUAGCCAAACACUGAUGCCUCAAUGAGAAAUGCAGGUGUGAAUUAUGUCUUGAAAGCUACUAGAGCAUUAAAUAAAGAAAGCUGUUUCUGCAGAAGAGACCAAAGUAAAUGAUAAAUAUUCCGUUGGGUAAAAAGAAGCAAACAAAGAUAGAAAUGACAGUAAUAUAUAGUUAUCAGAACUCAUAGCGGAAAAAGGAAAAGUAAAACUGUAUUUACUAAUUUUCUGGAAUGAAAUGCUGGAUAAGUUAAGCAGUUGCUAAAGCUAUGUAUUUAUUCUGAAUUCAUAGGAAAAUCUUACUAUUAUGAACAUUGUUGAAACAUUGAGCAUGUUCUUGUACAACAAAAAGCUUAAGCUAUAGUUUAUUUUCUGUCUCGAUCCAGUAAGCUUGCAGGAUCAAAAAAUCAACUCACAAAUAUAGUCAUGUCGCACAUCAAAUUCCAACUGAAGAGAAAAGCACUUUUAUGGUGAUUCGGAGCAUAUAUCCUUACAUUAAUCUAAGUGGAAGGACCGAAGCCACAAGUUGGAAAAGCAAUCAUUUAUAGAUGCAUAAAUGUGAGGACAUUUAACUGCACGAGAAGUAGAUUAUUUAAUUUGUCGUACUUACCGACUUUUCUUCCAGAAGAGGAGGACACCAGCCACAGCCAUGAUGUAGUUUGCAAAUGUGCAAGUACGUAGAUGCAGAAUGAUAUGGACAAGUAAAAUGGGAAUUACCAUAAAUUCCUUAUCUUGUGCCAUUCCCGUAUUUUGUAUAACGUAUUAUCUUCUAAGAAUUGUAGCUUGAUCCCAGGAUGAUCACGGGUGUAAUUUUUGCACGCCGUGUUUAGCUCCUCAAUACAUCUUUUAUGGAAACAGUCCUCUCUGGAAAUGAACUCCUGGAGUGAACUAGGCAGACCAUUCUCAGGCAGCGACCUGAGAGAACUACAACAAGAGAUUUCCAAAGUCUUGAGGUUGCCGAGUUUAUGCAGACCAGCAGGGAGGCACAGCAGACUGGGAAAAUAAUCCAAUUUGAGGUACUGGAGAGAGGUGAGGAGCACAAGGACAUCCUCUUGCUGCUCGGUGAAGCUCUUGACCCCUUCGCUUCCAGAAAGGAUUAGCCUGCUGAGGGAGGAUGAGAGGAUGCUGCAGGUGGGCACAGCAAGGGCUCCAGUUAAGUCAUCUGUCACUAAGUGACUCAGGAUUGGGGAAUGUUGAAUGAAGAGGCUCACAAGAGGGUAUCCUGACACGAGAGGAGAGCAUUCGGUAAUUUGCAACUUUUCCAGUGAAGACAACAAAUGACCAUGGUCCCCUGGAACCCAGCUCUCCAGUCCUGUCAAGCCAAUUAGUGUUAGGCUUUUUAGUGUCUUGGCAAAAUAUCCUGGACCAAGUUCCUUUAAGCUGCGCAUAUAACACAGUUCGAUGUCACGAAGCCUCUCCAAGUGCACCAAUGAUGGAAACAGUUCCCAAUUGACGCCUUUUAGAUAAAGAAGCUGUAGAGCUUUGGGAGAGUGCUGCUUACUACCCAACCAUGUUGGACCAGAGUGACUUCCAUGGCCAACAAUGCGCAAGCUUUGAAGAUUUCUUGGAGUUCGAAGCCCUUCAAGAACUAGUCCUUCUCCAUCGCACAGGAAUCCUGGCACGCUCCUACUCCAGACCAGUUCUAACUUUUGCAACCAUUGUUUUUCUAUCAGUUUUGCUUCAGCUGCUUCUUCUUUUGUGUUUAUUCUCUCAAGGGCAUAAAUUCCAAGCUCUCUUAGCUUAUUUAAUUUUCCUAGUUCCUUUAGUUCAAACCCAGUGCUUUCAUUUCUGACUUCAAAUUUGUUUAAUUCUUGCAAUAAGUGUAGCUUUCCCACAUUACAAAUGUCAGGGUGAAAAUCAUGGUGCCAGACAUCAAAAUGGCUUAGUUUUGUGAGGUUGCUCACGUCUCUGGGUAAAUGAGAUUUAAACCCAUUCCAUUCUUGCAGAUCAAGAAUCCUCAAAUGAUAAAACCUAGAAAGCAUGCUUGGUAGAUGAAUCUCAAGUUGAGGUUCCAACCCAAGCCAUAGGUCACGUUUACACCCAAGCCUUAAGUAACGUAGAUGGCAUAGUGUUGGAAACUCCAUGCGAGACUGCAUAUUUUCCAAGUUCACAACACGAAGACUGCUUGCUUUUUUAAUCAAAUAUCCCAAAAAAUCAGUGAAGUUUUCAUCCAAUUUCCCAAACACCAUCAAAGUUUGUAAGUUAUCAAUCUUCAAUCUUCUCCCAAAUACUAGUUCUCUUAGCCCACUUAUAAAAUCGGCAAUUUUUCCAUCAUCUACAGAAUCUAAGAUGAUAGAUAAGUGACGUACAGAUGGCCAAAUUUCUGCUGGUGGGACCACAUUAGAGGAAUUUAAGCUAAGACAUUCACGUGAUGCAACCUUGAGUCCUAAAUCAUGUAGGAGGUCAUGGAUACUAUACUCAGUAUCUGUACUGCUUAUAGUAUCUUUUUUGAUAAAUCCAUGGUUAAUCAAAUCAUCCAAAUAGGUCUGCCCGAUUUCUUCGAGGCUUCUAUUUUGAGGACCAGGCUGUAGAAUACCUAGACCUGUCCACCAGUGAAUGAGCUGUUGGCUAGUAAACCUGUAGUCUUCCGGAAACAAGGCACAGUAGGAAAAACAAUGCUGCAGGUGAAAAGGAAGAAAAUCAUAGCUGAGCUUCAAUGCAGGCAUAAUGUCAGUAUCACCAGUUUGUAGUUCCCAUUCUUUACUAUCUAGGACUCUUUUCCAGUGAUUUUGAUCCAGGUUAUUCCUCAGUAGUCUACCUACAGUUUUUGCUGCUAGAGGGGAGCCUUUAAGUUUUUUCAUUAUCUCUUCUCCAAUGUCGUCUAAUUCUUUGUGAUCAUCUUUUGACUUAUUAUCAUCACCGAAUACACAUGACUGGAAAAACUCACGAAAUGCCACUUGAUCCAAACCUUCCAACUCUAUUGUGCUAUCAGUUGUUUUUACUUUAACAAUUUGCGCUACUGAUGGAGACCGAGUUGUGACCAGUAUCAUGUUACCCUUCGUUUGCCCUUUUCUAAAUGGUGCCAGCAGCCUGUCCCAUCCAUCAUUAUUAACAGUAUCCCACAUAUCAUCAAGGACAAGCAAAAAUCUUUUAGAUGUCAAUAUUUGUUCAAUCUGUUUCUCUGGUGUUCCCGUUAACCCCUUACUGAGUUCAUGUAAAGACUUAGAUUCCAAAAUAUCCUUCAACAAUCUGGGCACACUAAAAUCAGUUGAUACACAUGCCCAUAUCCUCACGUCAAAGUAUGUUUCAGCUUCUUUAUUAUAAAUAUGUUGUGCAAGGGUUGUUUUCCCCAUACCCCCUAGACCAACAAUUGGGAGAACAGUAAGGUCAUAGUGAGAGGACCAGUCUCCGGUGAUGAUGUCCAUAAUUUUGGCUUUCUCGACAUGCCGCCCACAGAAAAUAGUAGGUUCUGAAGUAUCUGAGGUGCUUUUGAGUCUGGUCUUAACAUCACUUUUGGGGAGAAUGGGUAUAUCAUUGCCCUCUUCCUUCAAGUUAGCAGCACGUAGUUCUGCAGCAAUGACAUGGACUAUGCUACGGUUGGAAUGCAGCAACUCUAGGUUAAGAAUGACAGAAACCUUAAUCGAGUCUCAACUAACUUUUAGCAGCCUGCACGAGUCCAUAAGUAGAGAAAAUUGCACACACCCACACCCACACAGAUGGAAUUGCUAAGUGGAAGGAAGAAUUUAGAAAAGAACAGCAAGAAAUGAGGAAGAGAACAGAGAUAGCAUUCAGAGCAUACUCAAGUUUAUGAUUAUGUUCUUCGUUAGUUGCCGCCUAAAGAUGGUUCUCAACUUAUAUGCCGUUAUACAGAACCGAGGCCCAAAUCCAGGCACGCAGGCGCGCUAAACAAGCCCAUCAAGUGAACUCCUGACAUUCUCCACUAAAUGAGCCGGUAGCUUCCAAGGCGAGAAGCAGGUGCCACGUCACUCCAAAAUCCCCUGUCCAUUAGAUCUUCAAUCGUACGGCUGCGAUCGUCUGGAGCGGCUUCGGCCAGAAGCAACUUCUUCUAAUUCUUAUUAUCUUCUAUAGCUUCUUUAGCUUCUUAUUAGAAUCCAGGCAAACAAAUAUAUACACAACCGCUGCUUCUACUUUGAGUCGCUUCUCCUUCCCGAUGCUUCUUCAGCUCUCCUUGCGACCCCUGACGCUUUUCCUGUCGUUGCUCCUCUCCCUCCGUGCUCUCCCCCUCUCGCUCGCUCCCUCUCUCCCAACGCGCCCAGGGCGACAGCAACCAGCGCGCGAGCGGGGCGAUGCAGCUACGUAGGGAUGAAAACGGUACGGAUAUUUUCCGACCGUAUUCGAGACGUUCAGAUCUGUCCGUAUCCGAAUCCGAAUAUUCAACAUCCGAUACCGUAUACGUAUCCGAAUACUUAAAUCGUAUAUUUAUGAUGUCGACAUCCAAUUAUAUGUUAUCCGACAUGAUUGACAUUAUCCGUAUUCGAAUCCGAAUCCGACCAGAAAUAUGAAAACAAAUAUGAUAUGAGUGAUAUCCGUCCGUAUCCGAUCCGUUUUCAUCCCUACAGCUACGGCCACCCUCGUUCUCCCCAGGCAUGCUGGCUGGGCAAGCGCCGCCAUUAUAUUAGACACUGGGAUACUCAGCUCCUUCCCUUGUUGGACACGCAACAACACUCCUCCGCCACACCCUCCUCUUCUCCCUUCUACAACUGACAUUCUCCCCUCCUUGAAAGCUAACUUGUCCCCCAAGAUAUGGACUUGUUGGGAAGCACCUCCACAAAUCAUGCAUUCAUCUCUUUUCCAAGUGUACAAUGGUGAAAUAGCCAAAGCCCCUUUGCAAAUGACUCUUUUGUCCAAAAACUGAACAAUGUAUAGAACACACCCACAAUUUCAUUGAAAUCCUAAUUAAUUUGUACUGCUUUUAUCUCUUAGGGCAUGUCUGGAACAUUUCAUUUUCCAAGAAAAAAAAGAAAAUAUGUUAGGGCAUGUACAACCUAGAAUUAGAAAAUGGUCACUUUAGAAGAAUGCAACUAACUCAGGCUUAGCAAAACAGGAGAAUGCAGUGAUUUCCCCAUGUUAAUUCCUUGGUCCUCUUCAUUUUUUCCCGUGUGUUUCUUUAAUACAAAUGUAUUUAAACUGUAAAUAGGAACACAACAAAAUCAUGACUACCGGGUAGCUGGAAGUAAGAAGCAGAGCAUGUACAGACUGCAGAGGCAUACCCGACCAAGACCCGAGUGCCUAGCGUGCGGCGGCACUGCCUUCACCACUGUUAGAAGUUUAACAUGAAGUCUUUAUUUAACACGCGUUGUUACAUACAUACUCCCUCUAUCCUAAAAUAGAGUGUAUUAUGACUUCUAAAAUUUAUAUUGAAAUACAAUGCGUUCUAUAUAAUGACUAUGUUUCGAUUAACUACAGAAGGCUCUAGUUGUUACAAAAAUGCAACAAUUCAGUCACCAACGAAAGCCUUUGGUACCGCAUCACAAGCAUCUUUAGCUGGAGGCAUCAAAACUCUAUCCCCACCACCAGUAAAGGGCACAGCAGAAGCUGAAAUGGAGGCUGAAGCAGGGACCCAUUAAGCAGAAACCUCUGCAGCAACGGGCAACUUCAGCUUCCUGGGAACAACCCUUCUAGUCCCACCCCCUUCCUCUUCCUAGCCUCUGCCGCUGCUGCGAUGUUCUUUGCGGCAGCAUCUUUCUUCUUCUCCAACGUUGCCAGCACAUCAAUAGGGAUUUUGUAUUCAUCAUGAUGAAUACCAUACUCUUGCAAAACACGGUUGAGCCAGGGCAUCUUUCUUCUGUGCAAGAUACUCCUUGUCGAUCAUCUUGCCGAUAAUCCGUCGAGCGCAGGUCUCAACAUCUUUAAGAAAGGCCUCCUUGGCUUGGGCACCUUUGAUGACCUUGUCAAAUCAAGGAAAAGGAAGCCCUCUUGUGAGGGCUGAAGACCGAAACCUGGACCAUCUCGAGGAGAAAUGCUUUGUUUCUCCUUCCAAGAGGCCAAAGGUUAGAAGCAACCAUCUCCUCCACUAGAUCCUGACCUCUUGAGUAGCGAUCAGCCAGAACGAAGGCAGGCCUCUCUCAGGUGUGACAACUGCAGGUGGGUCAACCUUUGUUAGAGGCCUCAUCUCCAACAUUUUGGACGCAUAAGGCCAAAGAGUCACCAUCAUGCCAUCUUCAAGUCUGCGGGUCAAGUUGGGAGUCUUUGCAUAAAACCAAAGCUUCAUCAACUCUCGAUCCCAUUUGUUCUUCUAGUAGUAGGAAAUCUCAAGACGAGCACCCGUUUGAAGCCUCGUUGGAAUAAAUGUGCAACUGCUAUACCAAGCAAUCUUGUCAACUUUGCCAGCCGUCACCUUCUCAGUUGCUUCUAUAACUCAUAGUAGGUGUAGAAGGUAUCAAUAUGAGGAACAACACCAUACGACCCACAUGCCCAACAAAACUUGCUAAGGGUCAAGAUGAUGUUGGGAGUGAGAUGAUGUAGUUGAAGCCUGAAGGUCUCCAACACUUGGCAAAGGAAACCGUACGGAGGUAAGCGAAGGCCGUAGGUAAAGAAGUCAUGGAAAACAACCACAUAGCCCUCCUCUAGAUCUGUAAAAGUUUGCCCAGCGGGGGAAAUCUUUUCUCGCCCCUCCUUAAAGAAACCUGCUUCAACCAUCUCAGCAAUGUCCUCUGUCGUAACCAGAGAUUCACCAAAAUCCCAAGUUGGGUCAGCCAUCACCUUAAACUUGUCUGCACAGAUAAGAUCACUAAUGGAGGCUUCAACUUUGGCCAGAUCCUCUUCCAGCUUUUGAGCCAUGAUGAGAUCAACCAUACACUGUUCAAAGUACGAAGGUCAGCCACUAGCCUUAGCACAAAGUAAGUGGUGGUAGGUGGCUGACAAAGGCAGCAAAGCCAGGGUGCAAAAAGGAAGGAGAAGCCACCACAAAAUCUAGAAGAAAGCAAGAAGCAAGCAAACACAUAGAAUGUCUAACGCAUGAAAGGAAAGGCUAGACGGCGAUAGAGGUAUGGUAUGGUAUGGUAUGGUAUGGUAAGGCAACCCUUCGCCACCCCCUUUAUAUGGGAAGCACGAUGGCGGUUCAGCUCCCACGUCAUAAUAGUCGACUAACAAGACAAGACCUUCCACCUACCUGAUGCCAAACGAUCACUUCACAAACAGUACAAAAGCCAAUGGUCUAAUCCCACACAACAGGGGGAGAAGUGGAACCUUCAGCUAGAAGUAGUGGAGGCAACAAGCAAAUGGAGCUCAGUGAGAGGAGAAACAAAGCUCAAGCAUUACAACCAUUUGCACGCCACCACACGCCUCUAGAGUAGAGUUUUUGAGUUCAUGGUCCGUAAGAUCGGACCUUGGCCUCAAAAGGGGGAAAUUAUUGGGACAUAAGCCCCUACACGAGUGGAGGCCACAAUGGCGUCCAGACACCAGCACAAAAAACCCUACCCUCCGGCUAUAUCGAUGGCUCAUUUGCGUGUGAAAGGUGAAGGUCCUACUAGGUGGAUUGCUAGUAUGUUUUAGCUAAUGGAUAGUACCAAAGGUUCUAGGGACUUUGUGAAGGGUUUAAUAUGUGCGAGCCAUUAAGAGCCUUCGGACCAGAGAAGGACCAAGGCCUAGACUAUGAGUUAAAAUUAACAUCACUAACCUAAAGUGAAUCAUGUGUGAAGUGCAGGUGAGGACAAGUGAAGGUGGCAAUGGUAUCGCCUGACACCUUAACCAUGAGGCCAGACUAGAGGCUCUGUGUGCUUACCGAUUUGGAGGCCGGAAGCACAGGUGCUGGAUGGGCCGACUCGAUGUGGAGGCCUCGUCGCAGGCUUAACAUGGACCUAUGCCACAACCCAUGGAGCUAAAGGCGGUUCGCAAAGAGAGUUACACUUAUAACCUUGACAGGGCUAGUACAUUAGGGGAAUAUGCUAGGAUAUAUUGCCACCAUCACAGGGCGUUUAUGUAAGUUGGCAAUGGGGGAGUUGUACCCUAUAAAAAGGGGGAUGUAAAUACCUAUGAAGUUAGUUGGUGGAUGAAUUAAUCCUGGUUAUUCACCAAUCUCCUACAUAGGACCUCCUCCACAACGAGCGAAGGCCCUGUCUCCCCCCUCCCUCCCCCGCUGGAAUACAGUUUCCAUCGUCCCACUGUUCAACCUAAUAGCACCAAGGACUGAACCGCUGCAUCCCAUUCCAUCCAACACACCAACCAAACACACCGCAAGUGUCUCUCAACUUCAAUCAACACUUAGAACUAGUCUACCCAUAGCCUUGUUCUCAUCUUUUGAAAAUGAAAUGAAAUCCAUCAAUGAGAACAUGAAAACCAUGAUUUCCCAUCAAUCAAUCAUCAUUAUUUGUUGUAAAAAACACAUUUUAGUCACAAUGAUUGUUCCAUCAUUAAUAGCCAAACCAAAAUAGGGGCCUAGAUGCUUCCAUCAUGUAUGAUGUCUGCUGCAUGUUGACGAUAGAUAAGUAUCAUUUUUAUAUCAACAAGAGAAUAGAGAAAGGGCUUAAAAGCAAUCACCAACAUAGAAGGUACACUGACAGAAUUCCACGAGUUUUGGUGAAUGUCUAUUUCUGCAGGGGGUGAUCAGAACAGAACCAAGGGAGACCCAUAUGUCAGGUUUACAUAGAGAGAAACGAGCCAACACGUGAAAAGAUAUGAUCUAGAAGGUUCAGGAAGGCACCAGAACAAAGGAGAACAAAACUUGACACUGGGCCAAGGCGGCCAAGCAGAGCGGGCGCCCUGGCGGGUCCACCUGUCAGCCUCAGCUUUGACAUCGGUGCUAAACCGCAUUUAAUGAUUAAUCUCCUCUGUUAACAAAGGUCAGUUUGAUCCGAGGGCUGCGGUUCAUCCCACCUCCCUAUAUAAGGAGGGGUAGACCCUAGGGUUUGAGGCACCCAUUAUUCAGAUUAUUCAUUCUUCAUCCUCUAGAGAAAAGCUAGGGUUUGGGCUUGAGAGGUGUCCCUCGAAUGGAUAACCUUUCGCCCUUAGAGUAGAUCUAGUCUUCUAGAUAGUAGAGAGAUGGAGAGCGAGGGAGGAGUUCAGAGGAGGCGCCGGCCUGUCGGUGCCUCUUCAUCAACUUGUACUUCGACAGGAUCGGGCUCUGUCCGGUCCUGAGAUGGCUCAGGCUCGGGUCAUCAACUUCUUAUUCAAGUAAGAUUCUUGUUUAUAUUAUUCUUCUAGUUUACGAGUCUCUUUUGAGUGCUUUAAUCUAGUGCACUAGGUUAGAGUGUAAUCAUAGUGUAAGCGUGGCGCUUAGACUAGGGUUACUCAUAGAUGCAACCUAUAUUCCGGAUCGGUGGUAGAUCACGAACGUGACAUUCAUUGAGUCCUUUGUAGUCCACCUCCCGUCUGUAGGUCUAGCAGGAAGGUCUUUCAGACCUUAUUACAUGGUAGAUUCGUACUCUGUUUGCGGUCUUCCAUAGUAAUUUCCCCAGUUGAGUAGUAGAAGACACGGACUACCCAAGUUAGAAGUAGAAACCCAUGAUUGAGUUAUCCUCUCUAUACUCCUAUUAUCGACCCCAUACUAGAUUGAUCUUCCUUUACCUUUUAUCUUGUUACCACUUAGAUUUUAUCCCUAGUAUAGUUUAUAUCUUUUUCACUCACCCUUUUUGGUUAAGUUAGAAAUCAUAGUUGACUCACACGUUUCCCUGUGGAUACGAUAUUUAAAACCCUCCGGGUGAAAGCUACAACGGUAUCCAUGCGCUUGCGGAUCUUAUCUGUGCGCGUCUUUAAAAUACCAACACUGCAUCAAUGAUGUAAAUCCAUGAGUUACAGAAAUUUACAGUCUAAACAAUUCUUGUUCCUCCAUUUCAAUGAUGUAUGUGUGCCCAAUAUGCAUGUCCACUAGUUCAAAGUAAUGUCACAAUGAUCUAUUGCAAACCAAAACAACAAACUCUAUUAUGUGAUAAAUAAGAACAUAAAUUGUAACUUCAGAACAGUUGCCAAUGUACCAAACGAUCAUAUAUUAGUUUCCAUAUAAUGUUACCAGUUAUGUAGCAUCAAGAAAUUAUUUCUUUUCAUAAAUGCAUACAACUUUCAAGGGAUUUUAGGGACCAAGAGCCAAAUUUUAUAUAGUUAUAAAUACCAAUAGUGAUGUUGAAUCUAUUAAAAAGGAAAGUUGACCUAUAAUUGUAAGUACUAGUUAGUUAUAAGAACAAAUAAAACAAAAUAGUCAUAUUACACUAUUUCUUAAUUAGAUAUUUGUAGUGAUGAUAAUACAUGUUUUGUUGUGUCUAAUAACUAUGCAUUCAUUUUCAUAUAGUUAUACUUUUAAUUGCCAUGUUAAUUUCAAGAGCAUUUAGUAAAAAUAGCUUGAAUGAUAAAAGAAUGCAAAAUAAUCCAAUUAUGUUUAUCUUUUCUAAGAAAUACUCAAACUAAAUACACAGUAAUCCAAUGCACCAAUGCAUAGUUUGUGUUAAGUGAUAAAUCUAUUUUAACAUCAAUUUAGUUCUAGAAGCUGAUUACAUUAUUAAUGAAACUAUAUCCUGUGAUAAAUAUUAUUACAACUUUCAAGGAUACCAAAUAGUCAAUGCUGAAAUGCAUAUAUAGUUAUAGAUGCUAUCAGUAAUGUCAAAUCUACUAAAAGUCUUCCCGUAGUAAUAAAUAUGAGAAUGACUACUUUUAAGUAGAAACAAAAGAAAAUAAAUCUUUCUAGUAGCCAUUGUAUUAGUAGAGGAUAUCCAAAUAUAUAUUUCUCUAAUACAAAACACUAUAAUACAUCAAGAGUAUCCAUAUAUUACAAGAAUAUAUAUCUCUUGCAAUAAAUGGCCAGAUUAUGUUAGAAGCUAUGGAAUAAAAAUAAGUUCCAACUAUAUCCAUAACCAUCAUUCUUAAUAGAAAAUAUCUGCAACCAUUAUUGUUAAGAAAAAAACUCAAAGAUACUAAAAUAGUUGAAAUCAUUAAGUGGAACACAUAUUGAUGCUUUAAAUUUUCUAUAAAUAGGUCAGUAGCAAAGAUCUAUGGACACAUUUCUCACAUCUAGUUUGACCAGGCAUGGAUCUUAAUCUAAGACUCCUAUUGGCAAUGCUUGUUCUUGCAAGCCUUCUAAUCUACACCACACCGACCCAUCAUGUCAAUUCUGAAAUUUCUAACCGUCAGAAAUAUAUUGUGCGUGUGCGCCCUCCACCAAACUUUUCCCCAGAUAUGAGCUCUUCUAACCUUGAGACAUGGUAUAGAUCAUUCCUCCCACCAUCAUCGAUGGGUGCAUCUAGGCCUCAUACACCAUUCAUCUAUACCUAUAGAGAAGCCAUUCUCGGCUUUGCUGUGAACCUCACGAAAGUUGAGGUAGAGUACGUUACAAAAAGAGAUGGUGUCCUUAAUGUAUACGAGGAUUACCUUAUACCACUCUUGACAACCCAUACACCUGAAUUCCUAGGGCUAAGGUCCAAUGGAGGAGCUUGGAAUAGCAUAGGAAUGGGUGAGGGAACCAUCAUAGGCUUGCUAGAUACAGGGAUAGACAUGUCACACCCCUCAUUCCAUGAUGAUGGAAUGAAGCCACCACCAGCAAAGUGGCGUGGGUCUUGUGACUUUGGAGAUGCCAAAUGCAACAAAAAGUUGAUUGGUGGCAGAUCAUUUUCUAGAGGUCAUGUGCCUCCAGUGGAUAAUGUUGGCCAUGGCACACACACUGCAAGCACAGCUGCCGGACAAUUCGUAGAAGGUGCAAGUGUGCUUGGAAAUGGAAAUGGUACCGCUGCUGGCAUGGCCCCACAUGCACACCUUGCUAUGUAUCGAGUGUGCAGCGUAUGGGGAUGUUGGAACUCAGAUGUAGUGGCUGGACUAGAUGCAGCCAUUUCUGAUGGUGUUGACAUACUGUCUAUAUCACUUGGUGGUCGGUCACGACGAUUCCAUCAAGAAUUACUGGCAAUUGGCACAUUUUCUGCCAUGCGGAAAGGGAUAUUUGUCAGUUGUUCUGCAGGAAAUUCAGGUCCAUCAUCUGGCACACUAAGCAACGAGGCACCUUGGGUCCUGACGGUUGGUGCAAGUACAAUGGACCGACAGAUGAAAGCUAUUGUCAAGCUAGGUGAUGGCCGCUCAUUUGUCGGUGAGUCAGCCUACCAACCAUCUAACCUUGUUUCUUUGCCAUUAGCGUACAAGCUAGAUUCUGGGAAUGUUAAAGGGAAGGUUGUUGCUUGUGAUCUUGAUGGUUCUGGUAGCUCUGGUAUCCGAAUUGGAAAAACUGUCAAGCAAGCUGGCGGAGCUGGGAUGAUAGUGUUUGGAAAACAAGUGAGUGGGCACAAUACUUUUGCUGAACCACAUGUCCUCCCAGCAUCUUAUGUGAAUCCCAUAGAUGCUGCUAUGAUUAGAGAGUAUGCUAAGAACUCUAGCAACAAGCCAACAGCCUCAAUUGUCUACGAGGGAACAUCAUUGGGAACUACUCCAGCUCCUGUAGUUGCUUUCUUCUCUUCACGUGGUCCAAGCACAGCAAGCCCUGGUGUUCUUAAGCCUGACAUCAUUGGACCAGGAGUGAAUGUCAUUGCAGCUUGGCCAUUCAAAGUUGGACCACCAACAAGUGCAAAUUUUGUGAAGUUUAAUUCCAUUUCUGGAACAUCAAUGUCUGCACCUCACCUCAGUGGAAUCGCAGCUGUUAUCAAGAGUGUUCAUCCAGAUUGGUCACCUGCAGCAAUCAAAUCGGCAAUCAUGACAACAGCCUAUGCAGUAGAUGGUAACAAGAAGCCAAUCCUAGAUGAAAAAUUCAAUCCAGCUGGUCAUUUCAGUAUAGGUGCUGGACAUGUUAACCCUUCUCGAGCUAUCAAUCCAGGUCUAAUCUAUGACACCGAUGAGGAGCAAUAUAUUUUGUACCUAUGCGGACUUGGCUACACAGAUUCUGAAGUUGAGAUAGUUACACAUCAGAAGGAUGCCUGUAGGAAAGGAAGGAAAAUCACUGAAGCUGAGCUGAAUUAUCCUUCGAUUGCGGUGAAUGCGAAACUUGGCAAACUUGUGGUGAAUAGGACGGUCACCAAUGUAGGCGAGGCAAGUUCAACCUACACUGUGGACAUUGAUAUGCCGAAGGGAGUAACGGCAUCAAUUUCACCAAACAAGCUAGAAUUUACCAAGGCAAAAGAGGUGAAAACAUUUGUUGUGAGUUUAAGUUGGGAUGCCAAUAAAAUUAAGCAUGCGGAGGGAAGCUUCACUUGGGUGUUUGGGAAACAAGUUGUGAGGAGCCCCAUUGUAAUAUUCUAAUGUAAACUUAGUGAGUUUAGGACUUGCUUGCAAGCCUGCUACUAAUAUUAAAUAAUAAGUUUAUCAAUAUUGGUAUCUCUGCAACUAUUAAUAGAGUUUCUGUAGCUUCCAUAUCACUAAGAAGCUCCAUAGAAAUUGUAUCCGUCAAUCUCAAAAAAAAUAUAUAUCUGAUUUCUUUACAUAUGCCUAUAUUAAUUUUUUGUAUCUCUCCAUUGUCUUCUCUCCCCUCUUAUUUUUCUCACCCGUCUCUCUCUCCCCCCUUGUUUCUGGAUGAUACAAGAGGCAAGCUUGGUGCGGCGACGGUGGUGUGGGCAUGGCUGGCCGAUCUGGGAGUAGACUUGAGCACCGCUUGGUUUUUGUCCGCCAUGGACCCCAAGAGUGUCCCAUAUUUCAUCCCUAUCUAUUUUUUUAGGAAAAAAGAGAAUAAAUCAUUUCCAAGAGUUCUCCAUAUCUUUUCUCUAUCUUUUCGCACUUGGCAAACCACCGCCACCUGCGCGCAAUAUACGCAUGGUUUGGGAGCGUGCAUCCGGAGAAGUAGAAGGAGGUGGGAAAGGAAAAGGAGGAAAGACGGGUUUCAGGUGAGAAAAGCGCAAAAGAAAGAUUAGUGGGAGGGCUUAAACACGUAUAGAAAGGAAAAAUGUGGUUUCAGGUGAGAAAAACGCAAGAGAAAGAUUAGUGGGAGGGCUUAAACACAUACAUAAACAAAUUUCUGGUUCUUGAUGCAAAACAUGAGACGAAGUCGUGGGGAAAAAGGUACCGAGAAAAAAACUUUUCGGAUAAAAAUAUAGAAAACUUUUGGAGAUGUUGACCUCUUUUCCUUCCUAUACUAAUAUAAUCUGUGAGUUGGCAAACACCGUAUUUUGAGAAACAAAAUAUAGAAAACUCUUGAAGAUGAUAGGACCUAAGAACUGAUCUUGUUACUCAAAAAGAAAUUAUCGAUCUAAGCCUGGCUAGAAAUGCUUAAUUCAGCUAUUUUACACUAUAAACUCUUUGGACAACCCGCCUAUAGGCCCAAGCCUGACUCAAAAAAAAAAUGCUCAGUGAGACAGGAUUAUUUCAGCCCGAAAUAACCAAACUCUUUUUCCACCCGGCCCAAACCCAUCCUGGCCCAAAAAUUGGUCUGGUGUGGAGCUGGGUGCGGCCUGCACAAAGUGCAGUGCUAAGCAUGCGGCCUGCGAGGCCAUGGGCGGGGCUACUAGGGAAUGUGCAACUGCAAGUGGAGGAGGGGUGGUGCUACAGGAUCCAAAAAAAAAAAAAUUGAGCCAUCACAUCAAAUGCACAUACAUAGAGUAUUAACUAAUUAUGUGUGCAAUUUGUAAGACGAAUCUUUUAAGUCUGGUUAGUCCAUGGUUAGACAAUAAUUAUCAGAUACUCCUUCCAUCGACGUUUGACUUUUUUAUCUCAAGUUUGAUCACUUAUUUUAUUUAAAAAAUUUAUGCAAACAGAGUCAAUUUUAAGUCAUUCUUGUAAAACUUUUAUUAAUAAACCAAGUCAUGACAAAAAAAAGUGAAAUUUUACACAAAUUUUUGAAUAAGACGAAUGGUCAAAUCUGGUGUCAAAAAAGUCAAACGUCUUAUAAUUUGAUAUGGAUUGAGUACAAACGAAAAUGUGUCUCAAAAAAAACAAAAAUGCUACAGCGUCAAAAUAUAAAAAAGAUUUCGGAUCUAAACAAGGCCUUAAUUCCAAAAAAUUUUAAGAUUCCCUAUCACAUCGAAUCUUUGGACACAUACAUAAAGCAUUAAAUAUAGAUAAAAGAAAUAACUAAUUGCACGGUUUACCUAUAAUUUACGAGAUGAAUCUUUUGAGCCUAGUUAGUCUAUGAUUGGACAAUAAUUACCAAAUACAAACAAAAGUGCUACAAAAACCAAAAAAUUUUCGCGAACUAAACCAGACCUUUCGAGAGUGCAUUCUAACUCGCUUAGAUUUGUGACCAUUUUGUUCCGUGUCGCACAACUGCAACAUGGUUUGUAGAAAGUUUUCUUAAGUAAAAGUUGUAUAUCUAUAUAUCUACAAGGAUAGAGUGAGUUCCAUUUUAGAAUAGAUGGAGUAUUUUUGUUUUUGAAGAGCUACCAGCAAGAGCUUCAUUGGGCAUGUAUUGAUAAAGAAGAAGGUUACAAAGACACAACACUACAAACUCACACAACGACAAUCACCAAAGAAACCUAAGCACUAACGAUGAAGAAUCACCCUAGGCGAGUGAGGCGAGCUUUUGUUGGGGGGAGAGGGUUCUCAAUAACCAUGCCUCCAAGGAGGUUGUGAUGUCCUUAGACACUGCCACCGUCAACCGAAAGACUGGCUCUAGGUUUUUCAACCAAGAGAAACCUAGAAGAUGGGGGACCUCACGACAAUGCCUCCAACGAGGAACAUUGAUGCAUAAAGCAACACCAUUGCCAGAUCGAUAGAAUCGAGCAAGGCUUUUGCCCGAAAGCAACCCCAAAACAAAAGGCCCUCCACUGCCGCACAAAACUAGUCACACCAUGCAAUGCUAGCCACCAAGGCAAUGUACGUAGAAAGCCGUCGUUAGUGGGAAGAUGUUGCUAUGUUGAACAAGUCAUAGACCUACGUGACUUGUCAGCAUGACGCCAGCUACAAAGCCGCCACUAUCCCACCAAACGCUGGACAACCACGAAUGGCCACAUGAAAGCUGUUGCAGACAAAUCAACAACGAUGUCAAUUCCCCAUGCCCGCAGCCAACCACAAAGAGCCGCCUACAACUGAUUGUCACAACUGCAGAAGACUGGUCGCAGACAUGCUCGACCACCCACCAUGGCACCAAUCCAAAAAGGGCCGCAGCUAACUGAGUUGUCACCAACUCCUCGCAGAUCACCAAAGAAGAGAACAGUCGACCAUGUUGCCUGUUGAGGAGUUCGCCAUGGCUGUAGCGGCGAACCCACCCCUCGUCGCCAAACACCGUCGAAUGGCCAGAACUGGCUGUCCGACUAGGCCCACACUGCACGCCACCCACCGACAUGGCUGAGCAGCAGCCAACCAUGGGGAGUGGGGGACGAUAGCGAUGGCUUGGCUUCAUGCCACCACGCCCACUGCCAGCAGCAGCAACAACUCGCAAACACAUGCCGCGAGAACCGCAUCCCUUGUGUCGUCAACGAGCAUCCUCUAUCCUCUAGUGCAACCACUACCGAUGUGGCCAAAAAGGGUAGAUCAGAGCGUCAGAUCACCAGACCAGCCUACCUCGACAAGAAUCUGCGCUCCCGACCACCGAAACUUCACCUCGACCAGUGGAAUCGAGGGUGGCAACCAACCUCAAAAGCGCGCGCAAGGAGGGAAAGGAUGUGAGAAGAGAAGGGGGCUCGCUGCCGCCGUCCUUGUAUCGUCGCGGGCAACACAAGCCGCGUGCUUGAGCGGCGGCAAGGAUGGGGAGACGUAGUGGGGAGCCGGCCCUGUCGCCCUAGGGAGGAGCGUCGCGGGGGCGUGGCAUGCAAUACUUUUGAGUGCUAACUCUCUAUGCGGAAUAUAAUUGCAAGCUCCAAGGGGGGUGUGUGUUCUCAACUAUGAUCAGACCUUCCAAUUUAUACAUCAUAUUCGUAUUUCUACAUUAACAACUUUUAUCAUGUAUUUAGACUUUGUUUAGUUCCCAAAAAAUUUUAAAAUUCUUCGUCACAUUGAAUCUUUGGACGCAUGCAUGAAGUAUUAAAUAUAGACAAAAAUAAAAACUAAUUGCUAGUUUAAUUAUAAUUUACGAGAUGAAUAUUUUAAGCCUAGUUAGUAUGUGAUUGGACAAUAAUUAUCAAAUACAAAUAAAAGUGCUACAGUAGCCAAAGCCAAAAAAUUCGUGAACUAAACCAGACCUUAGACUCAUUGCAUAUCUAGAUGCAUAGUAGAGAAUUAUGUGCCUGAAAACAAAAACAAAAUUAACUAUAAUUCAUGACGGAGGGUGGUACAAUAUUUCACUCUUUUCUCGCAGAGAAAAAGGUAUCUUUGUUAAGAAGCAAAGACAAAUAAAUAAACAUGCACACAGCGCACACACACACGGCAGGAUAAAUGAUCGACAACUCGACGACAUAUGCCCGUGGACGCAAAAGGGAAAGCGCGUAAAAUGCGCCGCAUUGACGCCCACGCACCGUCGACCCUGCCCUGUCCCCGCCGGCGUGGACCCGGCCCCUUUCCGGCGGCACGGCUGCUGCCUGCUGGAGGUGGAAGGGGCUUUGCGUGCCAGUCAUAUAUGCAGAGGUCAAAAAAUGGUUGACGGAAUGCCCUCCCCCUCCCCUACUUGCCGGUCUCUCCCUCGCUUUGAUCCAAGAACAAGAACAUGCAUGUAUCUUUAGGUCUAUCUAGAAGAUCUAUUCUAAUCAAUUUUUAAGUAAUAAGGUCACAGCUCUCAACAACACAUUAUAAAAAAAAUGUAUGGUCUUAAAAAUAGUUCAUAACUUUUUUAAUAAUGAAUGUAAUUGACAUACCAGUCUUAUAUUAGCAAACUAUACUUAGUAGAAGAAGGGAAAAAAUGGAUGCAGAUAUCAGAGUUAUAUACAAGUUAUAGCAUAAAUACAUUACGUUUGUCUCCAACAGCCUAGGCAUACCACUACCCAUACCCAAAAUGCAUCAUGCAUAGGGGAAAAAAUGGCCUCCAAAAGGGCAACGGAUCUAGUGCAAACUCAUCUCAUGUGCAAACUCUAAUCUGGACCGCAGGAUGUUGAUCCAAGGGGACGAGAGGUGGAAGGAGGGAAUUGUAAAAGUGUGAUUAAGAGCGGGCGGUUAAGUGCAAAAUUACCCAAUCUCUCCAUGCCCUUGGAUCAACAUCAUGUGGUCCAGAUUAGAGUUUGCACAGUUUACACGGGAGAUGAGUUUGCACUAAAUCCGUUGCCCUCCAAAAGAGUAGGUAAAAGAGGCACCACCUUGACCCAAAUCUGGAGGCUUUCAUCCAUGGUGGCGCCACCGUGGUUGAAGGGCGAUGGGCGCUGCCACCAGAUCUGCCCCUAGAAGCCACAACCCACCGUCCCCGGUCCCUACCGGUGGCCGCACCUUGCCGUGGAUCCACGAGGGAGGGUGGAGGAGCGACCGCCGUCACUGCUAGGAAGGUGUACGGGCCAACGCCUCGAUGGGAAGGACUGCGAGCUAGAGGCAACGGGUCGAGGAGGCGCUCUGCCAAAGACGUGGGAUCAUCGGCGCAAGGGUAGAGGUGGGUGUGAGGGUGGAUGCCGGCGCGGGGUCGGGGAGAGGACCGACUGAGGCUGGGGUGCCCACGGUGGCAGACUCGUUAGAGAUUAUGAUCGGGGUGAUUAAGUCGGGCUCGAGAUGGAGUAUGCCUCGGCUGCUGGAAAAGAGGAAUUUUGGGUCAUGCAUUCUUUUGUUGUACACUACCGAAACCACCCAAUACGUCUCAGAUAUGGGUUCGGACUGUUGGAGCCAGUCUAAGCAUGUUUUGAUUGAAGUAUAAAUUUGCAGCCGUGGGCUAGCUAGGUUAGGAGGAAAGAGUUUACCGGACAAGACUAAAUAAAAGUUAAUCUCGCGCUAGCUAGAACUAGAAUUGAAGGACGCAAUAUAAGAUUAAUAAUUACAUGGUAGUUCAAAGACAGGGUUCCUUAACGAUGAAAGAUGCGAUCCUCUGUAAGGUGAACACAGUCGCAACCAUUUCCACGUCUCCAUAAGAGAACAUGUACAAGAGCAGAAAAACUUUGAACCUGUAUAUACUAAACUUAUAUCAUAUAUAUGUAUGUAUCUAUAUUUACAUCCUGCAGACUGUAGCCAGCCAAGCCGCAAAAAAAAUUAAAAAAAAAUGAAUAGAAUGGGAAAACUACUAUCAGUCUGUUGUGUCAUCUAAUACGGAGUAACAAAGAAAAAGAAGGAAAAAAGAGAGAGGAUUUUUUUUUUUUUGCCUCGCUGUCGCUGGCGGAAAGCACGCUCAAGAUUGAAGAUGAGCUGAAACCAUCAGUUGGUGCGUUUGCUGGGGGCGGAUGGCGGUGGUUUCCCCCGGGGCUUCUUGUUGAGCAGCCACUGGUGGCGGCCGGCGGCGAGCCGAUGCCGCCGACGAUCCUGAUCCUCGGUGGACACGGCCGGUGGUGCCGCGCCCGCGACGACCAUCGUCUGGGUGUCGGCGGGUAGAGGCAGCAGUAUGACGUCGCCGUUAUUGGUGCUGGUGGUGGUGGUGUGGUGGUCGUCGCCGAGACCGAGAGGCCUGCAGCUGGAAGGCUGCGCGAAGACGGCGAAGAAGAGGCAGAGGAUGAGGAGGAGGAGCGUGGGCGCGGUGAGGACGAAGCUGCGGCUGCCUCGCGGCGGCCGGAGCCGGAGUCGCUGCUGCUGGGUUCUCGUGCAGGCCAUGGUCAAUGCAAGAAAGAGAGAGAGAGAGAGAGAGAGAGAGACGUGUGGUCGUCGUUGGGUGGAAAGUGGAAUGUGUGAAGAAGAAGAAGAAGAAGAAGAAGAAGAAGAAGAAGAAGAAGGAGGUAAGGUAGGAUGGGAGACAGGAGAGGAGAUUUAUAUAGGCGGCGACCGGCGGUGGAGGGAAACAACUGUGACUGGCGGUGGCGGACUGGCGGUGGCCGGUGGCUUGGAGACCAAGGAGCCAGCCGAUCAAAAUGAAGGGGACGAAACCGCGUAUCACUGACUGUGAACGCCGUGUGGCUUUUGUAUAUCCAACGGCUCGCGUUUCCAUUGGUCCUCUGCUUUUUAUUCUUUUUUGCUAGCGUAAGCUUGCGUCGUGAUUGUAGUAUAGGGCCUUGUUUAGUUUCCAAAAAAUUUUGUAAAAUUUUUCAAAUUCCUCGUCACAUCGAAUCUUUAGACACAUGCAUGAAGUAUUAAAUAUAGACAAAAAUAAAAACUAAUUGCACAGUUUAGUCGAAAUUGACGAGACGAAUCUUUUGAGCCUAGUUAGUCCAUGAUUGGACAAUAUUUAUCAAAUACAAACGAAAAAACUAUAGUGUCGAUUUUGCAAAAUAUUUUAGAACUAGAUUUAGGCCUCGUUUAGUUCACUCGAAAAACCAAAAAGUUUUCAAGAUUCAUCGUUACAUUAAAUUUUUCGGCACACAUGUAUAAAGCAUUAAAUAUAGAAAAAAGUAAAAUAUAAUUGCACAGUUUACUUGUAAAUCGUGAGACGAAUCUUUUGAUCCUAGUUAGUCCAUGAUUGGACAAUAUUUAACACAAACAAACGAAAGUGAUACAGUAGCGAAAUUCAAAAUCUUUUCGCAUCUAAACAAGGCCUUAUUUUUUUGGAUUUUGACACUGUAGCACUUUCGUUUUUAUUUGACAUACAUUGUCCAAUCUUGAAGUAACUAGGCUUAAAAAAUUUAUCUCGCGAUUUACAGGUAAAUUGUGCAAUUAGUUUUUGUUUUCAUUUAUAUUUAAUGCUCUAUGCAUGUGUCGCAAGAUUCGAUGUGAUGGAGAAUCUUGAAAAGUUUUUAGUUUUUGGGGUAUUAGGCCUUGUUUAGUUCCGAAAAAAAUUCGGAUUUUGGCACUGUAGCAUUUCCGUUUUUAUUUGAUAAAUAUUAUCCAAUCAUAGACUAAUUAGGCUCAAAAGAUUCAUCUCGUGAUUUACAGGCAAACUGUGCAAUUAGUUUUUAUUAUCGUUUAUAUCAAAUGCUUCAUACAUGUGCUCUAAAAUUUGAUGUGACGGAAAAUCUUGAAAAGAUUUUGGUUUUCAGGGUGAACUAAACAAGGCCUUAGUAUCUCCAUGGAUGGAAGGGAAGGGAUCGAAGCAGGCAUCGGAUCAAAGACGUUUGAGGCCUUGUUUUUAGUUCUAUUUUUUUGAUUCGGUACUAUAGCAUUUUUGUUUUUAUUUGACAAAUAUUAUCCAAUCAUGGAUUAAUUAGGCUCAAAAGAUUAAUCCCGUGAUUUACAUGCAAACUAUAUAAUUAGUUUUUGUUUUUGUCUAUAUUUAAUACUCUAUGCAUGUCCCGCAAGAUUCGAUGUGACAUGAAAUCUUGAAAAGUUUUUUUUGUUUUUGGGUAAACUAAAUAAGGUCUGAAGUAAAUGCAAUAUGGAAGCUGGUGGGAAGAGACAGAUAGCGUGGUGGACUUCUUCUCCCUAGUCUUAAAAUUUGCACGAGAGAUUUUCAACAAAAAAAAAAGAAAAAGAAAAGAAAUUUGCACGAGAGAUUUUCAUCAAAAAAACAAAAUUGCACGAGAGAUUUUCAUCGACCAAAAAAAUUGCGCCAGAGAUUUUUAUCAAAAAAAGAAAUUUGCACGAGAGAUGGAGACAAGGGGAAGGAAGGAAGGAAGGAAGACGAGCAAUGGAGUCGUCGCUGCCGCGUCGUCACCGUAUCGUGGCGCCCCUACCACGUGUCCGUGUGUGCUCAGUCAACGCCACAAAAUGACCAGCGCACCCGCCAACUAACGAACGACGCGUUUAAUUUUGCCCUGCCUAACUCUCGAUCGAGCUGACACGUACCGGCCGAUUCGGCGUACGUAAUAACCAAUGGCAUGCAUGGUGCAUGAAAAUUAGCUAUGGUUGGCUGGUUUCCUUUUUUUCAAAUGUUUUUAUUUAUCAUCAUGAGACAUUCUUCUCUUUCAAUUUUCUAUAUUACUUGGCCAGCAAACUGUGGGACUUCAAAUAUACUCUCUCCUCGAAAGUCAUAGGCCUUGUUUAGUUCCCAAAAAAUUUUGCAAAAUUUUUCAGAUUUCCCGUCACAUCGAAUCUUUAGACGCAUGCAUAGAGUAUUAAAUAUAGAUGAAAAUAAAAACUAAUUGCACAGUUUGGUCGAAAUUGACGAGACGAAUCUUUUGAGCCUAGUUAGUCCAUGAUUGGACAAUUUUUGUCAAAUACAAACGAAAGUGCUACAGUGUCGAUUUUGCAAAAUUUUUUGGAACUAAACAAGGCCAUAGUGUACCGGCCGGGCCGUGUGGUGACGAGAGGACAGAGGAGUUGUUGAGUGGAAAAAAGGAAAUGAAAUUUCCAUAGCGAUAUGUUGCAUAGGUUGUACAAAAAGUUGAGUUGCAUAUGAUAUGUUGCCAUCAAUCAAACAAUAUAAAAACUUGUGGUUUUCCUAUCUUUGUUUUUUUUUAUCAAACUAUAAAAACUAGUGGGUGUAGUGGACCAUCUUGGAAUAGGCUGAAUUCAGUUCGGGACGGACAGUAAUGCUGGGCUGAAGUAUGGAUGGCCAUUGGGCCUCCCGUCCAUGGGCCGUGCUGACGGGGCUCAGGCCUUAUGGGCAACGCAUUGUUUAGUUCACUUUAAAACUCAAAAACUUUUCAACAUUCUCUAUCCCAUCAAAUUUUACGGCACAUGUAUAAAGUAUUAAAUAUAGAUAAAAAUAAAAUCUAAUUACAUAGUUUAUCUAUAAAUUACAAUAUUAAUCUUUUGAGUCUAGUUACUACAUAAUUAAACAAUGUUUGUUAAAUAAAAACGAAAGCGAUACAGUACCUCAACCUAAAAAAAUUUGGGAACUAAACAAGGCCAUAGUUAGGCUGAAGAAGUCUUAGUCCCCUUUGCCGCCACUCCCCUAAUGGCCCAAAACUCCUGUGCUGCACGCCGAGAGGCGGCUUGAUGCUGCAUGGGAGCGGGGCACCGCCGACGCCACUAGCAGGAGGGAUGCUAAGGCCAUUUUCAAUGGAGGUUUCAUGAUCCAGUUUCUAAUAUAUCAAUAUUUUAGAAACAAUUCACAAAAAUUUCAUAGGGAUGAAAACUUUCUAUACUUCUAUGAAAUUCUUAUCAUCUCUCUUUAUUAAUACAGUACCACAUUAGCAUAUUUAAUAUGUAUGAAACUCUAAUAAACCUCAUUAAGACUGGCUUAAGCCUUGGGGACCCAGUGAGUAGCCGCAGGCGCCCAGGCCAUUCAACGCUGCCCAAGUAACAUCACCUGGUACAUUGGGAAAUUCUUAAUGUUACAUAUCAUGGUUCAUUUAUUAUAUUCCUAAUUUGUUUUUGAAGUAUUUCAUGUCUCUCUCUCUCUAAUUUUUAGAUCCCCUUAGUUAUACACUAUAUCUAGAUACAUCAUAAAGUUAUAGAUGGCCAUCAGCCAUGCCUGUAUCGUGCCGUGCCAUCACCGUGCCUCGUGCUGGGGGUACAGCCCGUGGGCCGUCAGGGUCGGCCCGAAGGCACGGCGUGCCACCCCGCCAAACUCGUGUCUAAUGCUGUAGCAGAUCAACAAGAUGGCUGGAUGGGCCAGCAGUAGGCCUACAUUUCCUUUUUUAAAAUUAGCAUGCUACAUUUCUUACCAGGUCACUCAGGAUGACUUGAUGGGCCAAUAGGUCUAUAUUGUUUUUUGAGAAUUAGUAGGCUAUGUUUUUUACUAGACCAUUAAGCACUGGACCGUCGGGCCCUGCCACAAGCCACGGUGGCGGCCCAGGCACUCUCUGGUGCCUCGGGCCAUGCUGGCCCGAGCCCGGUAGCCGUCGGGCCGUGCCGUGCCCGUGCCGGGCCAAAAUGCCGGGCUAACGGGUCACGGACUGCAUGGCCAGGCCUUGUUUAGUCACCCCAAGACCCUAAAACUUUUCAAUAUUUACUGCCACAUCGAAUCUUGCGGCACAUGCAUGAAGCAUUAAAUAUAAAUGAAAAUAAAAAUUAAUUACACAAUUUACCUGUAAAUCGCAAGACGAAUCUUCUAAGUCUAGUUACUCUAUUAUUGAACAAUGUUUGUCAAAUAAAAACGAAAAUGCUACAGUGUUAAAAUCCAAAACAAAAUUAGAUCUAAACAAAGCCUUAGUAAUAUACUACAUAUCUAGAUGAGUCAAAACGUUUUAUAGUUUGAAAAGGCUAGAGUACCAAAUUUACAAGUUACCCUUUGUGGUCCUCGUGAUAUAAAAUAAAACUUUUGAUACUCUUAAGUAAUCUGGCAUCGACUGAACGACUUUUCUAAAUUCUCUUUCUUUUUUUUUUUUGAAAUGGAGUUUUCUACAUUUUAGGAGUUCAUUCAUCCACCAAACUUCAGGUUCUGUCCAGUUUAAUAAUCUUAUCAACGUCACAUAUAACUCUUGUACAUUUGGGGUACUAAUAUCAACAUGCAUUAUAACUCUUGCAUAUUUGGGCUGUCGAUAUAAAAGAUACAGAACGUAAAGAAAAAGCAAAAUGCACUAAAAAGAAGCUAUCUUGCUGAUAAGAGUCGUCAACGUAUCCCGACGAAUCCCUCCCGGCGACGACAAAGAAGCACCCUGCACCGCACCACCGUGUCGCCGACCUUAACACCGGGCGUCACGGUCAAGGCGACGCUGAGCUUCUCCUCCCUGUCCCCCGCCUCCACGCGGCGAGCUUCUUCUUCCGCGCCAAGCACCACAGCCACGCUCUCCAUGAACUCCGCCGCGUACAUGCUCCCCCUGCCCGCGUAGAACAUCCUGACACCACCACCACCACCCUGCCCCGACUCCGGCUCCGAGCAGCGCGCCACCGCCGUCAUCAGCACCCGGAGCGCCCACACGGACCUCGCGGCGGCCGCGAACGCGCGGUAGACCGGCGUCCUCGGGUGGCCGCCCCGGGACACGAAGGCCCUAUGGUCCAGGUUCCCGCACGCGGCCGCCUCCGCCUCCGCCGGCACGGCGGCAAUGUAGGCCGCGCGGCAGAACGCCGAGAGCCCCGACCGCGGGAACUGCAUCAGCGCGUCGAGAGCGUCCCGGGGCUUCAUGAUCCGGCGGAAGCUGCUACCAGCGUCGCCGCCGCCGCUGCAGCACUCCUCGUCGCCGGCACCAGCGCCGCCGACCAGCAGCAUUGCUCGCCACAGGUGCGCUUCCAGCGAGUACCUCCUCCACCACCGCGCCUGCUCUGCUCCCGCUGCAUCUGUGCCGCUGCUGUCACUGGACUCAGUCGACGAAGCCGCCGCCGUCAAGCUGCACGCACCACCAAGCAGCAGCUCGGCGAAGUUGCCGACCGACCUCGACGCCGCCACGAACUGUCUCACGAGCGCCGCGGGCGUCGCGAGCUCUUUCGGCACGGAGAGCAUCCCCGCCCUGCGACGGUCGUCGUUCCUGCUCCUGACGACCUGCCUGCUCAGCCUGGCGUUGUCCCGCUGCAGCCGCCGGAGCUCCCUCGCGAGCGCGGCGAUGUGGGCGUCCCUCCGCCUCGCCUCGGCCUCCAGGCGCUGCACCUGGGCCCACCGGUCGUCGACGAGCGGGCCAAUCCCGCGGCGGGAGGUGCAGAGGCACUGCAGCGCGGCGACCGAGUCGAGCUCGGACGCCACGGCCUCGUCGGCGGCGGCGACCUUGUCCUGGUCGUAGGGGAAGUGCGCUCGCUGCAGCUUGACGUAGCCGGACUUGAGCGCCGACACCGCGUCGAACAGCCUCAUGAGAACAAGCCUCGGGUCCGGGCCGGGGUCGGGGUCGGGCCCGCAUUUUGUCGCUGCUGCUGCCUCGCCGUUGCUGUCGUCGGCCGCCGGCGAUGGUGCUGCGCAGACCUUGGUGAGGUUGAAGAGCUUGGUGAGGCCGACCAGGAGCCCCGGGACGGUGCAGGUUGGAGUUGGUGGAGCCCUCGCGCUUCUUGCUGGCCCUGGUGACGACUCCAUUGCUUGUCUUGGCGAUGGUAAUGGCGACUGCUUGCAGGCUGCAUCCAGAAAGGGAAUGAUCAGAUCUUCUUCUUCUGUGAAUGAACGUGAUGAGAAUCAAAAUUCUUGUUUAAACGAACUGAAUCCACGGGGGGAAAUGAAAUCAAAACUGUACGAUGUAAUUUAACAGAAAAUAUCUUGGGGGCAAUGUAAACUUUCUUUUCAGCACGAACAUCCACGGUUUCCAGCAGGAGUAUGCAGAGUAUACGCAUGAAAAUAAAUUAGUUCAUGCAGAUGCAGGACUACACAUCUAGAAAAAGCAUUGCAAGCAGGGAUAAUGACUGAACCAUCAAAGAUAGAUCUGAAGAGCGCUGACUGCUGACAUGAAAAUUUUCAGAGGUAGGAGUAACUGAACAAGUGAAAGGAUCUGAAUGAACAACAAGCUGUAUGGAUGGAACUACGUGCAGGAACAGAGGAGACAGCAACGAAAACAAACCAUUCAUCAGGUUAGGCUUCACAUUAGCCACUAAAAUAUACCAGUACAGCAGUGGUAGUAUAACAAGUUAACAAUAGUAAUAAAUUAAGCCAAUCUACGAAGAAUUAUCGGUUAAUCAUGAGAAGAAUAAAAAAAAAAAAAGAAGAGAAGGGGCGAGUAAAGUACUAACCUGCCUGCUGCCUGCAGCUGCCGGUGGAACUAACGAACUCUAGUCUGGACUGACGACGAAGAUGAGAUCAGAGUGACAGAGAUGCCUUCGCCUGAACUCGAAACGUUCUGAGGUUCGCCGGCGGCGACGGCGAGUCGAUGCAGGAUUGGAUUGGAGGUGAAAGCGGAAAGCAGGGCUGCAAUGGCCAGUGGUGGUACAGUACUGUGGUGAAGACAAGCCGACAUGGCAUUGGGAACAACGAAAGUAAAAGGUAUGGGAGCAACCUCCGGUCCGGUCGUCCGGGGCUGCAAAAGUAAAGAGGAGCGAAGGAAUGAAUCCGAAUGAUUGCUAUCCUAUCUAUAGGAGUGUUCAUUUGGAAAGGCAGGCCAUCUGCUCCCAAAAUCAUGAUUCAUGAAUACAAAUUGCAAUCACCGACUCCGUUGCCUUGCUACUUGAGCAUCCAACCGUUUUGCAUAUGGUUUUGUAUUUUUGUAUUUGUAAAAAAAAUCUAAAAAAACAUAUAUCUAACAGUUUUGCAAAUGAGCUUUGUAUUUUUAUUAACUUGACAAAUACUUGAAAAGGGCUUACAUAUAUGCAAGCCGAGCCGGCGCUUGGCAUUGCGACCUUGUGCGAUUUCUGUCCCCCGCGUGUGCUCCCGCACGCAAUCCCUUCCCCCACAGCCAUAUUUUCCCGUAAAGCUUUGAGAGACUACUGCGACUCGGUUCUUGCAGCACUGCCUUCAAUCAUCAUCAACACUGGUGUUGGUUGAGAUGCGUUGUGAUUUGUGAAAGCCGGCUAGAUCCGGUCUCCGGUAGCCUGGAACCGUCGCUGCCUUCCAGGGAUUCAUAGCCAAUCGACAGGGAGCAACGACAGGGACCAAGGCCGAUGGCGCGACGACACUAGACGACGGCGCAAAGAAAACAAAUUUGGCGCGAGGAAUGGACGUCGCGCGUGAAGAAAAUGCCGUGAAGAAAGACCCGCACGUUCGAGGAGAGGAAAAGCACUGGAAAAAUUAUGCGGGUCGACAAAUUCUCUUUUUUUUUUGCAAAGUGAAAAAUGCUAAAUCAUUGGAGAUUGACUCUUUUUAUCUUUGACAUAUUUAUUUGGGACUUGGCAAACUUUUCCUCAUUUGCCAAAUGAAAUAUGCAAAACAGUUGGAGAUGCUGGACACAUUUGGGUGGUUAUCUAGGGCUAAAAACUAGCUAACUUUGUUAGCAGGGGCGGAUCUCCACUAAGGCCACUAGGGCCACUCUGGACCAAAAUAUCUCAAUACUCAUCUUCAAUUUUUUGGCCUACAUUUAUCGUCAUGGAGUUGUUUGUCUAUAUGUUGUUUGUCUAUACAUGGGCAUAGAGGCUCCUCGGAGUUGGGUGCAGGAGCGCGGAGUGCCGGGACUAUGUUGAGAGCAAGGCCGCGCCAGAGUGCCAGAGAUUGGAUUGCGACAUUGCUGUCGCAGUGAAGGCGGACCAUUGAGAGGUAGAUGUGUCUUUUUUUGAUAGGUAUAACACUUUUAGCUAUGUCAACUAGAUCUUACUAACCAGUGGACUAAUAAUUAGUUAUGAUUUUUGUUAAACUUUAGUCUACACAUUAACCUUUCUGUUUGGAUUCUCAAGGGCUAAAGUUUAGUAACUAGUUGUUAGCCCAUGAGAUCCAAACUAGCCUUAAGCUAUGAGGGUUAGUAUCAUAGUAUUCUUCAGUCAUAAAAAUACUUCGACCUCUUAGUUUUCUUCUUAUUUAUUAAGACCCUAUUUGGAUCCACGGUUAAACUUUAGCCGCUUGGGAUCCAAAAGGGGCUAGAUAAACUCUAGUUGUAGGCCAAGAUAUACACAAUCACUUUUGGUUGUACGAACCUAACUAAAACAUUAUUAAAGACGAAAUUGCCUCUCUAUUCUUUCGAUCUACAACGGACUCAACGAAAGUAAGGGUAAUAUGGUAAAAUAAACAUCAAUUAGCUAGAGGAUCCAAGUGACCCUAGCUAAACUUUAAUUAUAUUUCAUAACUUAGACAUAUAUACCUUUUAGUUAUUUAAUUUUUCUGGUUAUACGUAAGCAUAGGCAUUUUUUCUGGUUAUAUCUUAUCAUACGAUCCGUGUGUCAUAUGCUCCUUGAUUUCGCUAACCAUGCUUUAUGAGGCGAUAUGCAGUCCAGAUUCAGUUUCGAAUGACCAGCCAAUCGAAGAAUUUAUAUUUCGUUGGUGUUGCCCUGCCUUUCUUUUACAAAAUUGGCCAAAAAAAAAAAGAAUUUGACCUAUCACACACAUACAUUUCGAAAGAGGAGGAUUCCACAUCGAAACUGGAGAGAUGAGCUGUUACUUAGCCUGUCUCAGGAAAACCAUGGAGAAGAAGAGCUUCACUACACCAUGUUCUCUGCUGCGUUAAGCAGGUUGCCAGCCAGCAGUACAGGGUGUGGCAAUGGCAAUGGCAAUGGCAAGGCGACGGCUGCCCUGCAGAGCGGGCAGGUGCACCUCACCCGCAGCCACUUGGUGACGCAGGCCUUGUGGAACAAGUGCUUGCACGCCGGCAGAACGCUGCAGGCCUCGCCGGCCUCGUAGGGCGUCACGCAGAUCACACACGACUCCCGGUCGCUGUCGCCGCCGCCGUCGCCGACGGGUAGGUACUCCACGUCCGGGAUGCUCUCCAGCAGCUUUUCGACGACGGACGACGACGGCGGCGGCCGUGGCGGGACCGGCGUCGGCGCACGGCGUUGGCGUCGGCGGCGUCGCCUGAUCUGAUAGUCCACCUCGUUGAUCGCGGCGAGGAGCAGCAUGAUGACCACAAGCACCGCCAUGACGAAAGCGACGGCGAGGACGCCCCGUACGAUGCACUCGUAGACAUCGUCGAUGUCCAUGGCGCUCCGCGCGCGCGCGCAGCAGGUCGACGACGAUGGAUCUGUCGUCGGCGGUACUCCUCGAUCGGAUUAGUUAGCUGGUUGGAUUAUUGGAUGUGGACAUGGACGCCCCACCAAGACCUGCCGUACGUUGCGUAGAUGUGUCUGCGUGCGUCGUCGACGUCGAUUGCAGCUCCGGUCGACCGAGACGACGUCGGCGAUUGGUAAGAAAUUAAUUAGUUGUUCGUGGUGUCGAUCGGGUGACUGCGGCACGGCACAGUCUUCAGCUGGCGUCUGUUCAAUCGGAAUCCAGCUCGGACACCACCUGGAUUCCGAUUCAGAGAGCAGCAGCUUCAUACGUCGUCACGUUGUUCGAUGUAUAAUAUGCAACCCUAAAACGAACUGGAUUCAUUCGUCCUUGACGUGAAAACUUGCUUUUUUAAAAGAGAAAAGUAACAAAUCAUGCUCCCUCCGUUCUAAACUAUAAGACAUUACAAGAAUCUUUAGAGAGUUAAAUCAUUUCAAGUUUGACUAAAAUUACAGAGAGAAUUAAAAAAAAUUAUGAUAUCAAAUAGAUAUACUAUAAAAUAUAUAGUUAAUAAAAAAUCUAAUAAUAUUUAUUUGACAUUAUAAAUGUUAUUACCUUAUUAUAUAUGUUUGGUCAAACUUAAGAUGGUUUCACACUCUCUAAAAUUCUUAAAAUGACUUAUAAUCUUGGAGCAACACUGCCGCCGUGUUUUACUUUACAUUGCCGUCGCCGGGCAACCGUCGCAUUGCAAACCGGGCAGGUAGCAUGGUGUCGCAGCCACUUGGCGAUGCAGCACCUGUGGAAGACGUGCACGCACCCCGGCAGGACGCUGCAGCUCUCGCCGGCCUCGAACUCCGUCCUGCAGACGACGCACGGGUUCCGGACAAACCCGGCGGUUUUUAUGACCACCUCAGUUAAUAAAAUUUAACCGUCUCAGUUCAUCCAAAACAUUAACUAAGGCGGUUGAAAUUUUUACCUACCUCCGAGGAGGUUCUUUUUUUUACAAAACAAAACAUACAACUAUAUGAAUCCAAUGCAUCAUCAGAGAUUAUACAAACUCCAAACAUCCUACCUGAUUUUUGGUCUGUCCAUCUUCUUUUCCCUUCGCGAGUCAUGAAUAUAUCACUACAUCGACUCCGUCUCCUAUCAAUGUAGUAUACGUAACGGAGUCCAUUCCGGAUGCCUAUUUACAUAUGUUCCAAUUUAUUUUUCUUUCAAGAGCAGGUUCUUUUUUUAAAAAUAAAACAUACAACUAUAUGAAUCCAAUGUAGCAGAUUAUACAAAACUCCAAACAUCCUACUCCACCCAUUGCAUCAAAUUAGCUGGGUCUUGGCAGCAAGUUCACAUACCUAAAAAUGUGACCCACUCCUCCUCGUCGACCCGGCCAGUAGCCGGAGCCGAAUCUCUCGGCAUCUCCGGCCACACCACCUCCCUGGGAGGCGGCAGCGUGAUCCGCAACCUUCUGCUGUUGUGACUGCUGACUCGACGGGCGUCAUCGGGGACUGCUGUGCUGCACUGCACGAUGACAUCCUUCGGUGACCCGUCCCUAGGCUUCUCCUCCCUCGAGUGGGUCAACCACGACGAGGGGCCCGGCGAGCCGUGGGACCAUAUUGGCAAAGAGAAGAGGCCGGCGCCAUGUGAGGGCUGAGGCGAUAGGGUUGCAGUCGCCUGUGGAGGCAUGACUAGCUACGGGGAGAGGGAUUGGUGGGAGAGGUCAUUGAAGGAGAGCAGUGGCGAAGGCAGCGGCGGGGUGGAGUCCUACGUCUCGCACCACACCAAGACGAGUGGGAGACGAAACGACGAGGAGAUCAGGGACGAGAGAUCCCGUAGGAAAGGUCGGGUGGUGGCGCCGGUGGUCCGGCUUAGAGGCAAUCAUGACGGCGGCAUAUGGAUAUAAUGAUCAUCAUACAAUAAAAUAUAUCUUUAAAAUUUCACAAAAAGAAUAUUACAUAAAUAUUUAACAUUAGAAUCUUGUUUCUAUCCAUUUGUUUGUAAUUGUUGUAGCAACCAUUCACACCAUUAAGUCACCUAUUAAAAUUAAGCUAUCACGGCCACUGCAGCUAUAUAUGCAACAAGCUAAAGCAAAUAAAUUAAAUGUUUUUUUCUCCCGUCAUAACGCACGGACAUAUUUACUAGUAAUUAAAAAAAUGAGAAAAAACAGCACGAAAAUAAAAACAAGAAAAAAAGAACGAAAAAACACCAUAAGAGAAAAAAACACGAAAAAAGAAGCACACACGGAACGGAAGACGAAGAAACUCUUCGUAUAUUAGGAACAAAGAUAACAUUUGGGAAAGAAAGAUAUACAUCCUAUAGGUUGCCAUACGUACGUGUACAGGUCUGUUCUUUGGCCAAAGCUUAUCGCAAUUCAAAGGUAGCGGCGGCCAUGGAUUCAGACUGGGUGAUUUUCCUCGUUUGGGGCAGCGGCUUACUUUUCUUCGUCGUCAUACCAAGCGCGCGGGCCUGCUACAGAAAUUGCAUCCGGGAGGACGGCGGCGGCCCGCCGCCGGCGAACGAGGCGGCAGCCGUGCAUCGGAGGAUCCUACUACGUCUAGACAAGGUCACGUACCCUCGCCAGAACUCUUUACCGGCGUCUACUACCAGCGGCCUCGGCGGCGGCGGUCGUCCAUCAACGACGACUGCAGCAGGGACGGCGGCGGCGGCGGCGGAGGAGGAGGAUUGCGCGAUUUGCUUGGGCCAGUUUGAGGACGGCGACCGGUGCAGCGUGAUGCCCAUCUGCCACCACGAGUUCCACAGGGAUUGCAUUGCUAAUUGGUUGCUGGCGCAACACAAUACGUGCCCCCUCUGUAGGGCUAAACUACAAUGGUCACUUGCUGCUCAAGACAUGGUAUAGAUGCACGCAGAUGGCCCCACCUGCUAGCAAAUUAAGAUAUCUGCUGAUUCAGAUGUUAUUUAGGCCUUGUUUGAUGUAGUCGGAUUCACAUCAAUCUAUAUGUGUUGAGGUGGAUCGGAGUGGAACUUGAACUAAAUUCCACUUCAAUCCACACCAACACAUAUAGAUUGAAGUGAAUCCGACAACAUCCAAACAAAACCUUACGUGUAAUCAGCUUCACAUGUUGAGAGGGUAAAAUGUUUUGAAGCCCUGCAUCUCUCUUAUAAUGAGAUCAACAGUUUUCCUUUUUUUUUUUGCCAAACUAUCAGUUUCACAUUAACAUAGUCUUGGAUACGUACUCUACGACUAAUGGCAACUAAUCCAUCACUCUUCAAUCCUAUCGACAAGUGAGCAGCGUCUCCAGGCACAGCGCGUGGAUCAUGAUUCAUUGAUUCUAAGUCGAUCAAUUGGAAUUCAGAGUUUUUUUUUUCAUGGUCAGUCACUCUCUCCUAUGCUUGGACAAAGUUAGAGCGAAAAGGAAUUGUAUGCUAAGGAUGGGGAUGAUGCUCUAAAUAGGUAUCCGCGGUUCUUCUCUAGUAAUAGUAUAACUUAAUAAACUAUAAACAGAUAAUUUUCUCUCAUUUUUUGUUUAGUUCAGUAAAUUAGACUAAAGAAAAACCAUAGAUAUCUAUUUAGAGCAUCAUCUCCAUCCUUAUUAUAUGCGAUGGUGCCGCACCUGACUUGCGUGCAACACCGCCCCAAUGGCCAAUGUGUGGCAUCCUGGCCUCAACACACAUGUUCUGUAGCUGAUCAACAACCAACCAAAAACUCAGGCCUUGUUAAGUUCCCAAAAAAUUUUCUAGAUUCCUCGUCACAUUAAUUAAAUGUUGCGGCACAUACAUGGAACACUGAAUAUAGAUUAAAAAAAAUAACUAAUUACAUAGUUUGUCUGUAAUUUACGAGAUAAAUUUUUGAACCUAAUUAGCCUAUGAUUGGAUAAUAAUUACCAAAUAUAAAUGAAAGUGCUACAGUAUGCAAAACCAAAAAUUUUCACCAACUGAACAAAGCAAAGCCUCAGGGUUUAUUUUCUUUGUACGGCCAUAAUCUACAAUAUGGGUAGAGUAUGUUUUUUUCCAGCAUGGACUGGUGGUUGCCAUCGGAGCAGUUGUGAGUGGCAUGCAAGUUGUGGUACAGCUGCAUAGAAUUUUAUUCCAGUUAGGGCACCAUGUGUCCAGACACGACGUGAGGCGUGAUCCUAGAUUAAUUGGAACACAUGAUGAAAUUUUAUAUUGGUUAAAAUUCUAAGCCUGCCACCCAUACAAGUAACUAGAGCAGUGUGUUAGAUAUGUGGAUCCUAGCAAGGGUUUAGUGUUUUGGUAAUUGGAUGACAACAUACGAAAUGAGACUAACAAUAUUUCUAUGGCUAGCAUUUAGCAGAGGUGUCUGUGUCUCUUUAGCCUCUAUAGGUCACUAUUUAGUACUCUCUCCAUACCUAAAAAGAAAGUCGUUUAGGACAUGAUUGUGCUUACCAAGAGUGAAUAAUUGGAGGUAUUUUUCAUUUUGCCCCUAGUAAAUAGAGUUGUGGGUGCUCUUCAUAUAAGAAAGUUUCCAAACUCGUUUGGCAAGUGUGUGAAGGUGUAAGUUGUGAGGUCCCGUAGUCGAUACUCAGCAGAUGCAAUUUUUUUUUUGAUCCACACGUGCGGCGUUGUGUUGGUGUGGGCGCGUUUGCUCACGUUUGGGCCUAGUUGGUCCUUGUUUUUUAUGGAGUGCCAACAAGCUAAGCGCACAAGUGUAAACGUGUCCAACUCGUGACCCCGGCACUCAGAACGUCUUCCUUCAUGAAAAUAGACAACAAACCUAGAACGACCUUUAUUUUAGAUAUAGAGGGAGUACAAGCAUGUUGUAGUGGCAACUAGCGAGAGCCGCUAGCCCGCUAUAUAUAUAGCUGCACUGCCACCGAGCCUCAUGCAUGGAUAUAUGAAGUGAUGGACAGGGAUUAGUAUUCUUCUGCUUCUCCUGCUCAUAAAAUCCAAUCGAAACCAGAAUCGUGCCAACUGGAUCAAACCAUGAAGGAACCAAGAAAUUAAACUUGGUAUGUAAUAAUACACUGUAAUUUAUAUGCAUACACACACGUACAUUAUUAGAAGCAUAUUUGAAAUUACUAGAACAAGGAAAAACUCAAAACUCUAGCAAUAUAUAGCAGUGGACAAGACAGUGGCUGCUAGCUAGCUUGGCUUGUCGCUCGUGUAUAAAUCUCCGGCCGAUCGAUGUUUGUCUCAGCAUUUGCUUCUGCUCUACUUUGAUUUGAUUUCUUCGUCCACGCAAGACAAAUAAGGCGGCCGGCCGGCUAAUGAUCAUCAUCAUCGGCCUGAUCAAGCCGGGGGGCGCAGCAGCUGAACUCAGUCGACGCAAACAUGGCCGCGAACAACGCCAUCACUAACCCGACAUGGCCGAUCGCAAACGGCAAUGCGUUGCAUCCGGUGUUGCCGGUCAGAUCGGCACCUGGCCAACAGGAAGGCGGACCGGUCAGCGCCAAGCCGACGGCGAAGAGCACGACGCCGGCGAGCAUGGUGACCAAGUAGGGCGCCGACCUGAGCAAGGUGAACGGCUGCUUCUCUAUCGCCCGCGGGUCGUCCGGGUCCGGGGAACUUGAGACGACAGCGGCGUCGUCGUGGACGUCGUUGUUGCCGCCCCCGCCGCCGCCACCGUUCUCGAGGUCGAUGUCCAUCUAUCGCCGACGCCGACGACGACCUCCUCCGAUCCGAUCGUUGCACGCGGCAGGGGAGAUCGAGGGGUAGUACGACUAGCGUCAACUGGAACGUGCUUAAAGCCGUAAAGUACGUUUGUUAGUUGGACGCUGCGGCUUUAUUUGUUGGAAUUGGGUUGUAAACGUGACCUCCUGAAGAGUUUCCAAAUAGAUUUGUUUCGUUUUUCAACUCGUCCAAAAUAUUAUUAAAGGAAACAAAUAAAACAUCUUCAAUAAUUUUACAUCAAACACCAUACAUUAUUUUAAAUUAUGCUAACCAUUUUUAUAUAUUAUUUAUUAUAUCUCUUGUAUAUUUGCAUUAGGAAUCUUUUUUUAUUUUUUUUAUUAUUUUCUAUGCCCUUCCACUUUAGAUUGGUUAAUGAAUAUAUAGGCACGAUCGGUCUACUUAAGUGCGGAAAGAUUGAGAGGUGAGAUUAGAAACGGUUAGAGAUGAGAGGUUUUUUCAUUCUUACCCAAAAUAAUAGAUUGAGAGGUUUUAUUAGAAACUCUUGAAUAUGCUCCGAUAAAUGGAGAAUUUCAUUCUUACCCAAAAUCCUAGAUUGAAAGGCUUUAUUGAAAACUCAUGGGAAUGCUAUGAUAGAUGAACAAUCUCACUUGUAUUUCACGCGUUGAUUUCGAAGUCCGCGGUGAUACUGGAAAAGGCAAAAAGAGUUCUCUAGAUGACGUCUUGUAAUAUGUCGGUUGCCAUCUUUAGUUCCAUUUUAAAAUGAGUCAGACCUUGUUUAAUCUAUAGGUGAAAAGUUUUUGAAUGUCAUAAUGUGUGUUUUAUGGAAUGUCGGAAGGGAUGAAUGUGGGUGACCGACGGAAAGAGAACCAUCCGGACACCCUAUUCCAAGCACUACCAUUGAAUAAGUAUCUGAACCACAACUCGUUUAGAUGACGAGGCAACAAACUCUAGGUCUCAAUGUCUCAUUGUAAGGGCACUUCCAAUGCUAGAAACUAUAUGUAGUUUCUAUACCUAUGAAUUUUUAUAGAUAACAUAUAUAGAAACUAUAGUCACAAUGGAUAGUUUCUAUAGAAUAAUUUUUUAUCCAAUCACAUUCACCCUCUCUCCAUUCUCAACCAAUCAUAUCACUUCAUGUCUUAGAUCUCGUGUAGACAUAGCUUCUAAGGGCACUCCAAUGCAUGAAACUAUUAGUAGUUUCUAUAGCAUAGGACAUCGUACCAAGAAACCAUUCUUGCAAGUGGAAGACUUUCUAUAGUACAUGACAUAAGUAGUGAUAGAAACCAUAUUCGCUCUUCCAAUGGGCUAUGAGUGGUUUCUUGUCCAUUGAUAACCAUGAAGAGUCAGUUUCUUAGGCAAGUCUCAAUGGUGUUUCAUUAGAGUUUCAUACACAUUAAAUAUGCUGAUGUGACGCUAUAUUAAUAAAGAGAGAUGAUAAGAGUUUGGAGUAGAGAGAGUUAUUGACGAGGGGAGUACGUGCUGAUAUCGCAAACGCAAAAGUAGUUCUACUCGGAAUUUGCACGAUGCAUGGUGUACGUAAAGAGUACAGGACUCUAGGAGUAUGUACUUAGCCAUCUAUUUUUUUAGAAAAGAGAAUAUAUUAAUAUCUCUCAGCAUCUGUACCAACUAAUGGCCUAAUGCAUAUCAGCAUAUGGCGGUUGUUUAUUAUUCCAAGCAAGCGAAAAAAAAUCCAGCAGCAAUCUCAAAAACGUAAUUUUGAGCCAUAAAAACCACAAUACUCUUAGCCACCCUUGGAAAAUCGAUCGAGGAACCUGGCCACUUAAUUAAUAUUUGCUCUUGCAAUCUCAUCAAACACUCCUAUCCCUUAUGAUUCUAUUCUACGGAUCCAGCAAUAUUGCAUCCACUCAAUAUUUUCUCUAUUUAAUUUCUGCGUCGUCGUCGUCCACACAAGACAAUCAAGACGGCCGGCUAAUAAUCAUCAUCAUCGUCGGAAUCGGUCUCAUCAAAACGAGGGAGGAACCUUGGGUUGCACUCGCCCUGCUGCACCGCCACCGCGAACAUGGCAGCGAACAGCAAUAUUGCCCCGCUGAUGGCGAUCCCAACCGCCAAGCGGCACGCGUUCGCGUCGAUGCUAGUGGUCUCGCCGCCGGCGGCACCUGGCAGACAGGAACGGCGGUCCAGCGACAGGCCGGCGACGAUGAGCGCGACGGAGCCGAGAAUGGCGACCAUGUAUGGCGCCGCGCGGAGCCAGGUGCACGGCUGUUUCUCCGUCAUCUGAGGGUCGGCCGGGUUCGGGGAUCCUAAUAUGGCGGCGUCCUUGUCGCCGCCGCCGCCGCCGUUCUCGACGUCGACGUCGUGGUCCAUCGCCGUUCUCUGUGUCCUUGCACACGGAGAGCCGGAUGCAUGGACGACGACGCACGUACGCUUGAUAUAUAUCGCUCCCCGGCCGGCUGAUAUUGAAAAUACAGAAGGAGUUGUACUCGGAAUUUGCAAACACUUAGACAACCAAACAAGAUACUAGCAAAUAAGGCUUUGUUUAGUUCACUCUAAAAACAAAUUUUUUUUUAAAAUUUUCUGUUAUAUCGAAUCUUGCGGCACAUGCACGGAGCAUUAAAUAUAGAUGAAAACAAAAACUAAUUAUUUGUCUGUAAAUCGGGAGACGAAUCUUUUAAGCUUAGUUACUCUAUGAUUUGACAAUGUUUAUCAAAUUAAAAUAAAAAUGCUAUAAUAUUAAAAUCCAAAAAAAUUGGAUCUAAACAAGACCUAAUUUGCAUUCGUAAUCACAACUGAAAUAAGCCAACAUCCGUGUACUGAUGGAUUUCCGAAAAGCCUACGCGUAUUAUGUACUGAUGAUGAUGAUGAAUACAUAUACAUGGUUAUAGGCCGCCGUGUUGGGCCAGCUAUUUAUGGUGCCCAUGGGAGAGAAUGGGCCAGAUAUGGUUUAUUUCAGUUGGGAGAGAAUGGGCCAGAUCCGUCUGUCGUUACACGUCCAAACUCGGUGCAAUUUUUUUAUCAUCCUCCAUUAGGAAUAGGACUAUAUAUAUAUAGGAGGCGAUCGGAUUAUCCAUGGCCUUGUUUAGUUCCAAUUUUUUUAAAAUAAAUAUUAUAGCACUUUCAUUUGUAUUUAAUAAACAUUGUCCAAUCAUAGACUAACUAGGCUUAAAAGAUUCGUCUCGAAAACUAUAGACAAACUGUGCAAUUAGUUAUUAUUUUUAUCUAUAUUUAAUACUCUAUGCAUGUGCCACAAGAUUCGAUGUGACAAGAAAUCUGAACUUUUUUGCAAAAUUUUUUAGAAACUAAACAAGGCCUAAAUCUGACACUAUAUCAAAAAAACACUUCAUAUAUGAGUCGGUGAAACUGAGCGGUGCCAAACAUAACCCAUAUAUUGUCCAAAACAAACGCAAACAUAUUAGUAAUCACAUUCCAUAGGGGCCAGUCAGAGAGAAUAAAUGAGACUCUCUUGGCACGAUUACCAACUUUCUAUAAGUUUUAGAAUUAAAUGCCUAUAAAACUAUGAAAUGAAACUCUCUAUUGAGAGUGGGUGUUUUAUCUAAAUUUUAUUUCAUUUCAUAUGAUAUGACAGUCUUGAAAACAAUGCCAUGAAACUCUCUACCGAAACUGGCCUAAUAUCACUACCAGAAUAUGAGUGGAUUCUCCUAGUACUUAGCUUUUAGCAUUUAAGAAGAGUUGGUUCAUGGUUUGUUUAGAUCCAAAAAGUGGAUUUUAACACUGUAGCACUUUUGUUUUUAUUUGACAAAUAUUGUCUAAUUAUGGAGUAACUAAGUUUAAAAGAUUCGUCUUGCAAUUUACAGGCAAACUGUGCAAUUAGUUUUUGUUUUUAUCUAUAUUUAAUGCUUAAGAUUCGAUGUGACAAGGAAUCUUGAAAAGUUUAACACAUGUAAAAGCCGCAAGAUUCGAUGUGACAACUUGUAGGUAAUUACCAACUUUUUACAUGUAUGCCAUUAUAAAAGUUGGUAAUUACCUACAAGCUAUUAAAAAAGUUGAGCUCUCACAUGUGCCACUGCUCCAAACUCUUUUACCCUCUAUACCACUUCCGUCAGAUUUGACUCUAACAGUGUUAACUACAGUAUGAAAAGUCAAAAAUACUCUCGUGGCUAAAUAUCCAAUUAAUUUUUUAGCAUCUUAACGAUCUCAAAUAAAAAAACUUAAAACUAGAAAAUCGUAAAUCUCAUCGAUCUCUCUCUCUCUCUAUCUAUAUAUAUAUAAUAUAUAUAUAUAUAAUUUUUAUUUGAUUAUCAAAUCAUAUAUUUUUUUAUGAAAUUCAAUAAAAAUAAUUGUUAUAUAAAACUUAUAGAUAUUGUCGAGAUCUACAACUUUGUAGUUCUGAGUUUUUUCAUUUGAGGUCAUUAAGCUGCUCAAAAUAAUUAAUUAUGUAUUUAGCUUUGAGGGUAUUUUUGACUUUUCACACUCACGGUUUGAUACCGUUAGAGACGGAAAUGGUAUCUCCUACAACUAAAAAGACUAAAGAGGGGACAUCGUUUUGGUGCGACAUUCUCCCCUCCCGCUUUCGUCCUGCCUCCUGCGAACGUCGUCCUGCGCGGCCCGCUCAAUCCUCGCGCCCCGCGCUCUCCUUCCAUCCUCUCCCCAGGCCAGGACGCGCGGAUCCACGCCCUCGCCCGCCUCCUCCUCCACGCAGAUCGCGCGUACCUCGCCCGCCUCCUCCCUCGGCGCGCCCUCGCCCGCCUCCUCCUCCACGCGGAUCCGGUCGCGCGGACCUCGCCCGCCUCCUCCCUCGGCGCGCCGUCGCCCGCCUCCUCCUCCACGCGGAACCGCGCGGCGCGGACCUCGCCCGCCUCCUCCUCGCCGCGGAACCGCGUGGCGCGGACUCGCCCGCCUCCUCCUCGCCGCGCCGUCGCCCGCCUCCUCCUCCACGCGGAUCCGCGCGGCGCGGACCUCGCCCGCCUCCUCCUCGCCGCGGAUCCGCGCGGCGCGGACCUCGCCCGCCUCCUCCCUCAGCGCGAUCCGCGCGGCGCGGACCUCGCCCGCCUCCUCCCUCGGCGCGCCGUCGCCCGCCUCCUCCUCCACGCGGAUCCGCGCGGCGCGGACCUCGCCCGCCUCCUCCUCGCCGCGCCGUCGCCCGCCUCCUCCUCCACGCACCCAACAGGUAUGCCCACCAGGCCACCCUUCUCUUUCGUUCGUGCUAUGCGAAACCAAGCACACGAACCCUGAAGUUAUCUGUAUUCAGAUCUAAUUUUUUGCAGUCUUUGAUUUCUAGCGAUUCCAUUAUUAAAGGGAUUCCCUCAUCCAAUUAGUAUCAUAGUUACUAUAGUUUGAGAUUUUAGUGUGGGAAGAAGAAGGGGCAGUAGUAGUUUCAAAUUUCAGAUGUGGUAAUGAGUCAUUUUACAUUUUAGAUAUGUGAAUUUCAGUUUACACAUAUAUAACCUAGAUAUAAUUUUGUAUGGUUUGUCCAGAAUUUUAUUUGUUGCAGCCUUGCAAAAACUUAGAAUCCAAAACUGGUCCAAAUUGUUUACAUAAUUUAGAUAUGUGAAUUUCAGUUUACAUAUAUAUAAUCUAGAUAUAAUCAAGUGGUUCCCUUUUGCAAUAAGCACAAGUGAGCAACACUGUCAAUUAGGAAUUUUGAAUUAGCAGUUCUAUCAAUGUAGGAAUUUUGCAUUAGGAGUUCUGUCAACUGAAUAGGAGAUCUGCUAACUGUUGUAUUGUCAAGAUCAAUCAGGCAGCACAAAGUGGCAGCAUGUUUUUUAGUAGGACUUUUAAGAAGUGGCCACUGUUUUUGGGAUGUGUAUCAGAGCGAUUCUCAAUCAUCUCAGAGAUCAAUUUAUUGUCCAAUGACAUGCUUGUCUCAAUGGUUGUCCUAAGCAAGAGGUUAGCUGGUUUAGGAACACUUUUUGAAUCCGAAAAGUCAGCUUCAAAACCCCUACGGUCUUUUGGAUAGAUUACUCUAUACAUGUCCUUGUGAACCAGUCUUUUGAAUUCAGUCUUUGCAAUUCUUUCUUUACAUCUAUGCUUCGUCUAAAAUUUAAAAGUAUCAUAGACAUUACAAAGUGAUCCAUUUUAGGGUAUACCAUUGAAGACCUCUGAAGGUUACAAUACCUGAAUCCACACAAGCAUCUUAGUCAUCUCAGUAAAUAUCAAGGCCCUAUGACCUUGUAGUUGAUUUCAGAUAUAUGAUGUUUUGCAUUCAAGCAUGGUAGUUUUACUUGGUGCCUGAUAGCUAGAAUUCGAUGGCUCAAUUCUAUACGUGGUCUAUCAUGCAUGUUUCAUCAAUGUCUUUUGUGACAUGCACUGGAAAGACCAGAAACGUGGCUUGGGUGAACGUGGAAAUUAAAUGAGUUUGUUAGUCAUCUAUAGGUGAACAUGGAAAUGAGACAAUCUUUGUAAAAGAAGGACAGUAGAAUAUCUGACUUGUCUUUUAUGAUGUGAAAAUCAGUCUGUUAGUCAUCUGUUCUUUGGCUAUGUAGCGGCCUAACAGCUGUGGUGCACCAUCUCUGAUAUUUUCAAUAUACAGUUGGGUAAUUCCUUAGAUUCCAUUUGACAGUUUUGGCUUAGAAAUAAGAACUGUGUGCUUAAUGUUAUUACCUCAACAGCUUGUUGGUCUCUGUGGAAACUUGGAAAUGACUUAUGUUUUUAGAAACUUGGGUGACAGAUUAUGGAGACACUCUUGCACAAAGUGGCUGCCAUGGCACAGAGUUGGACUGUCUUAUGCAAGAUAGAGUAUCAACCAAUUUUGAAGGAGAAAGUGGCGAAGAUUCAAGGGGAGAGCUUCUAUGGUGAUGUGGCCUCCGAGCUAUUUCUAGCCUGAGAUCUUCGCUGGAAGCAGGAUCUCUCCCUGGAGUUUUCUGCGUUUUCUGGUGGUCCUUUCCAAUCAGACAGCCUUGUUUGUUUGUAGAUGGUCAAGAAAAAGUCAAGCAGUUAGGUGAAAAGUUCCCGAUAAUCAAGGGUCUUCUUGGUAUACUUUGAUCCCUUUGGACAUUGCAAUUUUUUGUUAUGCUAUGACUAUGAUGCAAUUGUAUUACUCGCUACUGUGUAAUAUUACUUUCCCAAUGGGCUCCUUGCAGCCACUGUGUUACUGCAUCCAUAUAAUUAUGCAUAUCCAACAUUGUAGGCACCAUUAAGUGGAAGAAAUCGAAGGACACUAUAAUUCUUUUAGCAGUGAUCAUGUGCACUAUCUUUUUGAUUAUUUACUGGCUUUCAAAAUGAUCGGAUCUCACCUGUAAGAAACUUCCUAGAUAUCUCUUCUUGCCGAUUUCUACUGCAGGUUUGCAUUCCAGCUUAGCCUUCCUAAUUCUUUGUAUGCAAUGACUUGUGGGAUACUAGGACUUGGGAACUAAUAUUUAUGAUAACAGGUGCAAUGGAUGAACUACCAAGUGAAACUAGAAUAUACUUUGUGCACAAUUUAUUUUGCUUCUUCUGCCUUUAUUUUAAAUCCUAAUUAUUUUUGAGGUGCAAAAUUCUUUCUACUGUAUUUCUGGAAACAUUGAUGCUUGUGUAGCUUCUCGGAUCCUGGAUUCAUGUUUUUUUUUUGUACUUAGAAUAAUGGAUUGCAUAUUCAGGCACUCAAAAUAGUAGGCUGCUGCUCUUUAAAAAUGUAUUUUCUGUAAAAUCGAUAAUAGGAGAUGAUAUGAUAUUCGAUAAUAGAGAUGUAUUUUCUGUAAAAAUGCAUAUUCGUGUGUUGGUUGUUAGAUGUUGUUUACCACACGCAUAUGUGUUUGAGUUAUUAUAGGAAUCAUCCUCUUUUCAUUACCAAUUUAUGAUGUGAGAGAAUUGUUCCUAUGGAAUCAAGAAUAGAAGGUAUUAUCUUUUUCAGGUCACUGAGAUCUGAAUAAAGUUGUGAAGCUACUCAGCACCACUUUGUAAAUAUCAGAGUCUUGUAAUAGUGACCGCAAUUUCCCUAAUUUGACAGCAAACCCUUUAAAUUUUCUUCUUUGUCCACACCAGACGAGUAGACAUAGAUUAACAGAUCAAUUUGAUUGGUGUAACUAGGGAAAUGAGUCAUCACAUGAAAGCAUCUAAGGUAGUUAAGGUGGUCAGUGAUGAAGUUUUGAUUUGUUGCAUCUUGGGUGAUAAUUUAAUAUUAGAGAUCUCUUCUUAUCGAUAUUUUAUUUUAGUUAGUUGCAUCACGGAAAGGCCUAUCGAUGUCACGCUCUUCUCUUCGUGACUUUGUUAAUUUCAUGAACUUUGUUUUUUCAAUUAAAUGUCACUUUAACGUUGGUAUUUAAUUCACAAUAUUGUUAUCUUAUUGUGUGCGAUCUGUGUGUUUUAAGUAUAAAAUAUUAGUUAUCCCGUAGCAACGCACGGGCAAACUACCUAGUGAAGAGCAAAAGAGUUUAAAUCAGUAGCACGUGUGAGAGCUCAACUUUUUUAAUAGCUUAUAGAUAAUUACUAACUUUUAUAAUAAUAUACAUGUAAAGGCCUCUUAUUAUGUUUUAUAUGUUUGGUCGGGUCGGUGGACACACUCACGCACGCCUACGUCGUCAUGAGCUGAGGUCACGAGAAAGUGAUGCGAAAACAUCUCAAUCUCAAUAUGAUGAAUUUGCAGAUGCCUUGAGAUUUUUCGUCACGGAGAAUGGGACUUUUUUUUCUUCUCGAAUUGGGAUUUUUCUCUCUGUAGAGAUAUAUCAAACAAAUUAAAAUGUUCUCUUUGUCGAUCCUUGUGCAGUUGUGUGUACAGUAUAGUACUACAGUACAAUGUACAAGUACCAAUCAGCGAAUGGGCAGUUCUAUGAUGAUGAGCAUCCGAGUCAUCACUCACCAAAUUGAAUGUGUGUGGGUGGUGGCUCUAUUAGCUGAUGAAGCUCCAUCGAUACGGGUUGGAUUUUUCUUCGGACGUGGCAGUGACGCAUCGACCUCAACAAAACUAGUGAUAAAUAAAUAUAAAUAAAUAAAUAAAUAUACUUUUUGGUCUGGUUUAUAUGGUGUAGUAUGACAUAACACAUUAUCUAAAAUAUAUUUUAACUAUUCAUUCAUGUUAUAUUAUAUUGUAUGUAUAUGGUUAUAUACCUAUAUAUUUGAUUACAAAUCUAAUACUAUCAAGUUCGUAUUACAAUAUAGUUAAAAAUGUUGACUAAAUAUUGGUCAAAGUUUAUAAAGUUUGACUAUUCAUAUGCACAAAAUGUGUUAUAAAAUAGAUCUGAGGAAGUACAUGAUUGUUGCUCUUGUGCAUUGUCAAUGGGGUCAUCCAACUGUCCGGUGUGCCACGGCUCACAAAGUGUCUUUUGCAAAGCUUACUUAAUGAUCUGAUUUAUGAUGAAAACUAGAUCCAAAAAUCUAAAGACGCACAAUCAAUUAAAGAAAAAUCUAUGCAAAACCUAAACAUAACAUAACAGAAUGAAUAGACUGGAGCAUCAACAUUACCAAGAAUUCUCACGCCCCCAACAAGUAACUUUGACUUCACCUCGACAAGCUUUGACUAGGAACUUUGAACACAAGGCAAAAACAAUAAGUGGAUCAUCAGCACCUCCAUGAAAGUGGCUCUAUUGUGUGUUCCUCCAAUGAAGUAGGGGAGACCGGCUGAGUAAUGCCUAUACCACUAUCGUAAAUCUAGUGUUGGGCCUCCUCUUAGUGUCGUGCAAUGCCAACAACCUCUUUUACGCGAACUCAGCAUUGGCCUCCACCACUAAUAGCCACCGCUCUAUUUUUCUGACGUUGGAGUAGGUGGUAGACCCUAGAAUUGAGUCAUAACCAUGUGCCAUCUUGUACUGGAAGCCUCAUUGACAUGAGCUCGACACCCUCAAAUUACAACUUAUUAAGGUGUGGGCACUAUCUUUGCACUGGUCAAACUUCUAACAAAGAAUUCUGGUGACAGCAGGGUCGAGCAAGGGAAAGGGAGGUUCUCAAGGCGAGGGAUCUUUGUUGCCUCCUAAGUCGCCACGAGAAUGCAAGGGCCCUUAGGAAGUGGCAGGGAAAGCUUAUGCUACCUCUUCCCCAAAAAUAAUGCAACAACAUAGUCCUUAGGCAAACUUUCUUAAGUUUUAUUUAAUUUAUACAAAAUCUACAUAUAUUUACAAUACUAAAUAAAAUAUUAUUAAAUUGAUCAUGUAAUAUAUUUUUAUAAUAUAAUUAUUUAAAGUCAUAAAUGUCAUACUCCUUUUUAAGUAGUUUUGACUAAGAACCAAACUAGACUUACAUUCUUUUCAUAAUGGAUGCAGCAUAUUUCAACUAUGGGACGGCGCCUUCUUUCCGUUUAAUUAAGGUUUAGACUCACCCAUUUUUAAGAGGGUAGCCCCAGUCCAUUAGCUAGCAUUACCAUCAGGACCUGCUAUAAAAGUUAAUGUGGUUACUUGACAGUUCUCAUAACCAGACAAUCUUGGCUCCAAUCCAUACAAAAUGACCACAGGUUGUUUCAUGAUCUGUACACAUGUGUCUCUAAGAGGUACAAUAUAAUGGAGAUGAAUCAAGCCACAACUUUGGGCUAGAUGCACGUGCAUCAUCCUGGGAUGAAUUGUGCCGCCAUUCUAGACAAAAUUCAUUGUGCUACUAUAUUCAUGUGAAGCUAGCAAAGAAAAUUGAAUCACAAGCGCCCGAAAUAAAGGCAGCAUUAAUGCAAUAGAUGAUAUAGUUUUCAUUGUAGCCAUAACAUCUCCAAUACUUUUUCUUAAACUUUCUAAAUCCUCAUUUGGAGAGACAUUUAAAUAAAAAUCUCUCUCUAUAUAUAUAUUUUUAUCCUCUAACAGGUUCGUUAUAUCUUGAAUAAGUUAAAGUUUAAAUAUUGUAUUACUUUUGUACAGACGCAGUGAUACAUAGAGACUUCUAGUUGCUUCUACUUUGGUCUAUUCUCUUUCUUUAAUUAUGUAGUACUGUUAUGAGAUUAUAAUUGCUUGCUAAUCUAAAAGAAAAGAAAAGUUCAUUUCGGCUAAAUUGUAGUUCAGCUUAAAAGCAUGCAAUUCAAGAGGGGUAAAAUGGUACUCUCUUUGUUCCAAAUCAUACUUGACUUUUCUAUAUACAAAUUUUUACUAUGUAGGCAUAACUUAUAUCUAUUUUCACAAAUCUUAAAACGUCCAAUAAUUUAAGACCGGGCCGGGGAGUAGUUAGUCAUAGUUCCCACCAUAUCCAAGGCAACAACCACUGUUCCUCUGCAAUAUAUCCUCUUUGAUUAUAUAUGUGGCAGAUUAUAAUUGGCAUUCCAGUGGUUACAGCAUAUAUAUUGAUUUCUUUCAUAUAAAUUUACAAGUUUGUAUUUUAUUUUCUAUGGACAGAUAUUUGUAUAAAUGAAUUCAAAGAUCUGUUGUAAUGAAAAGACAACUUGUGUCUCACUCUGUGCGCCAUAUGUCGUCAUAUUUUCGUAAGAUGGUGACAAGUGACAACAUCUUUUUCUUUGUGUUUCAUCUGUUCACACUAAUCUGAUUUUAUAUAGGGUAGUUGCAUGAUGGUCCUCAUUGAGAUAGGGGGGGUGAUAAUUGCUGCUGCAUGUGGCGACAGGACGCUGCUAGAAUCUGCCGUCUAAUUAACGUGUAGCAACGUUGUUAACGUGGACAUACAUGUAUCUGUGCACCUGUACACCUUGAGUAGGAAGAAAGCGAGUUACACAGAACCAUUUUGUAUUUUUUUUUGCGAGACUUAGACGCAGACGCUUAUAGACACGAGUAGACACUUAUCCUUAUGAACGCACGCACACACACCCUACCCCAUGAGCACAUCCAAAGAACCGAGUAAAUCCAGAAAAAUACGAGCACCCGUGUCAAGUCGGAGACUUGAACCUGGGUGAACAAGUUCAAUCACAAGGAACCCAACCAACUGAGAUCAAUUCGCGUAUAUACGAGAACUAUGAAGCACAGAUACACCAUUAAAAUAUCAAGGCGUGAUUGAUGUAAUUUAUUGGGGAGCCAAGGUGUUGUGACUUGUGAGAGGUCACAGGUGCAUGAGACCAGUGAAGAGGGAACUAAACAUAUAUAGCUUAGGUAGUCAGAAUUUUUUUUUAGUGAAACAUGUUCAACUGCUUCAGAUCUCCGGUUCUAGCACAAGUGCUCACAGUUACAACCAGAGAAAAUUCCUUAUUUAGCAUCAGAAUAUAUGACAUGGUUCCUUAUUUAGCACCGAAAGAUAAAAUCUUGUCAAUAUAGCAUUUGGUUUACUUUUGGUUCCCUAGUUAACUGGCUUAUUAAUCCACAUUUUUGGUUCCCUCAUAAUUGAGGCCACAUCUAUAUGGCAGUGCUAUAUAUAGGGAACCAAAAAUAAACCCAAUGCUAUAUAUUGAGAAGAUUUUAUCUUUUAGUGCUAAAUAAGUAACCAUAUUAUGAUAGGGAAUUUAUCUUAUAUACAUGUAAGCUAGCAUUACAGUUAGGAUGUACUAUAGAUGUUACGGUGAUUACUUGACAGUUCUUAUAGCCAGACAUGCAUCUUGGCUCAAUGUAGAAUUGUAGAUCCAUUAAAAAUCUGGAACGUACACAUUACUCAAACUGCCCCACGAACUAGCUCGCUAAAAGAGCUGUCGGGCAUUGUUCAGAUAGCCACAGAGCAGCCACUGGCUGGUUAGUAGGACCACAGGUUGUUCCAUGAUUGAUCUUUGCAUGUGGUGUCUCUAGACUCCAGCUAAGAGAUGAAUCAAGCCACAACUUGGGCUAGAUGAAGGUGAUCGUGCAAAGGAAAUGUACCACAUGCAACCUAGGUUGAAUUGUGCCACCAUUCCGGACUAGAUUCGUUGUGCUACUGUAUUCGCCUGAAAACAUAAUUGAAUCAAAAGCGGCCAAAAUAAAGCAGCAUGGAAUGCAGUAGAUGAGUGAGAUUUCAUUGUACUCACUCAUUUUUUUAUACGUCGUCACAAUAGCUUUGUCCUAAAUCAAAUAUUUGUAUCUGAUUCACAAAAAAUAUAGAUUCAUGUCAUAAGUUUUAUGUAUUUAGAUUAACUAUAAAAAAAUACUAUCAUAAUAUAUAAUUCAUAUACUGUAAAAUUAUAAGGAUUUUUUAAAUGGUUGGUCAAAGAUAACUAUGUUUGACUUAGAACAAAGCUAACAUAAAAAUGGAGGGAGUACCCAUUAUGGUAGUGAUGAAGUACGACUCUCUUUUCUUUUUACAAAUUUAGAUGCAUAUUUCUCCUUACUACCUCUGUCUCAAAAGAGCGCAACUCUAAAUAUAUAGUUUUAAGUCAAACUAUCUUAUAUUAUAUUGGAUCAAAUUUGUAAGAGAAUACAAACAUUUGCCAAGUGAGUAUGGACUGUGUUUAUCAUCAUGUAAUAUAUUUUUCAUAGCAUACCCUAUAGAGUAAAAAUAUGGAUACUCUUUUCUAUAAUUUAAGCAAGCUUAAAUAGUUUGACUAAAGGAAAAUUUGAAGUUGUAUGAUUUUUGGGACAGAGGUAGUAAUAUAUAGAGGCAUUUAGCUGCUAGCUUCUACUUUGGUCUAUUCUUUUCUUUAAUUAUGUAACACUCUUCCGUUGUUAAUGAAUUGCUUGCUCAUCUAAAAAAAUAAAGUUCGUUUCGGCUAAAUUGUAGUUCAACUUAAAAGCAUGGGGUUCAAUAGAGGGGGGGGGGGGG
rnacentral:lncRNA from 1 species